AUAUUUCUACAGCAUUAAACUUGCAAACGGCUCACUGCGAUCAUUAAAAUUAUUGAUUUUGAGCCCCUUCGAUCACUAGGCAAAUGAUAUAAAAAAAUCAUAAAAUUUGUUUUCUAGGUACUUCAAAUAAUCUAGAUCAAAUUUAACGGAGCCGAUCGACGAUUCGAAAGUCGCAACAUCGAAAACGAGCUGGAAGCACGGAAGGCUCCGUGCUUCCGAUAGUAUAUAUAUAUAUAUAUUUUAAAUUAUAAAAUAAAUAUUUAUAUAUUAUUAAAUAAAACUCUUAGGUCUAUGAUAAAAAUGAAAUUAAUUAAAAAAAAUAAAAAAAUAAACAUUCAAGAUGUGUCUAUUAUUAUUUUUUUUAAUGCAUAAAGAAAUUAUAAUGUUACUCGAAAAGUAAAUAAAAUUUGACCAAAUAAAUAAAAUCUGGGUGAGGUUAGAGAAAGAGAAAAAACUAAAAAAAAAAGGGAAAGAUUGGGAAAAAUAAAAUCUCACAAUAACCGGUGUAUGUUUUUUAUUUUAAAUUAAAUUUAAAUUUAAAUUUAAACUUAAAUAAUAAUUACUAAAAACUUACACAACGAAUCGAAAUAUAUAAAUCAAUCAUAUAAAAUACAUUAAUAACAUUAAUUUAUAUAAAAUUUUUUUUGAAUUAACAUCACAAAAAAAUAUUUUUACCUAAUAAAUAUAGAUUUAUUAAUAUUUUAUUUUUAAUUAUAAAUUAUGUAUGUUAGAUUUUAUAAAUUUUUAAUCCGUAUUUAUUAAUAUAUAAAAUUUCAAAAUAAUAUUAAUUUUGUGUUUGAAUAUUUAAAUGUUAGACUGGGCUUGCCCACAAUUCUAGUCGUAAUAACAAAUAUUAGUUUUGAACGUAUAAACUAUGUUAACUAGCGUAUACUUUUACAGAGAUUUUAAAAAAAUAAAUUAAUUGAUUUUAUAUAAUAAUAAAUGAAUAUUUUUUAUAUAAAUUAAUAAAUAAUUAAUAAAUAUUUCUUCUAUUUACUUAGGCAACGCUUCGUGACCAUGGAAUUGAUCAUAAUAUAAUUUAGAUUUAAAAAUUUCAUGUUUAAGUUUAUAUUGUAAUUUAAAUAAAUAUAUAUAUAUCUUAAUCCGACCUUAUGAUAAUUAUCAUUUUGCGAGAAAAACGAUAGUUCAAAAAUUGGGAACCUACUUUUUAACAUCCCAGUACUACUAUAAUCAGCCAAUCUCAACUCACCAGAGGGAUCCCAACUCACCAGGGGUGGACCAAUAUCAUAAAUUAGGUUACCAAUCUUUAUUACUUUUCUCAACUAGGUUUCCGAUUUUUUGACCAUCGUUGUUACUCUAAAACGAUGAUUAUCAUCGGGUCAGGUUGAGAGAGAGAGAGAGAGAGAGAGAGAGAGAGAGAGAGAGAUAUAUAUAUAUAUAUAUAUCACACUCCGACGAUAUNNNNNNNNNNNNNNNNNNNAUGCAUGCAACAAUAUAUAUAUAUAUAUAUAUAUAUAUAUAAAUCAAAGAACCGUUGGUAAGAAAUUUUUUUUUUUUUCUUUACAGCUUAAUGUUCACUCUUUUUUUCAAUAGUCUUACCCUCGUUGAUUUUUUCCAAUGGACAAUUUAUUUUGUCAUGAUUUGAUUAUGUAAUACCUAAAUUUAUAACCAAUGGGUUAAUGUUUAAAAUUGGUAUUCUAAACAAACUAAAUACAUAUACAAAUUUUUUUUGCAAAACAAUCAUAUAUAAAAGCAUUAUGAUUAGCAAAAAAAAAAUUAAAUAAUUAUUGUAAAAAUAUUUAUAAAUUGACAACCAAAUUAGAUUAUAUCAUAUAUAAUAGCAUUACGAUCAGGAUUGGGGAAAAAGUAAAAUUUUAAAUUAUUCACAGCAACAAAUUGGUAGGCAAAAAAAAAAGCAUAUACAUAAAAAUUAAAUCAGAGAACUUACAAAUUUUGAGACAAUUAAUCACGGAUCAACUGUACACAGAUAGUCAAUUUUCUGAGACAAAAUAAAAUUAUUCAGUUUUUUUUUUUUAAAAAUAAGUAGCCAAAUUAAAAUUCAAAUUGAAACAAAAUGAAAGGUGAAAACCAAAUCGGAGAAGAAAAUAGCACCAGUAGAGAAAUAGAGAUUUUUUACCGUAAAUAAAAAUUUUAUAGAGACAUAUUAUAUAGGCAAAAAAAAAAUCGCAUUCUACAUAAAAUAACCCUUCGGAUUCAACAAAUACAAAUAUUCGAUGAGUCGAAGGGAGCUUAGAGAAUGAAUCCGAACUAUUUUUGCAACCGAAUGGGGAUUAAUCGGUAGGAACUAAGCGUUGCUAAUAAAAAAGGUGCGACGGGAAAAAGGAUAGACAAUGAACUUGGCCCAAUUUUUUAUCUAGGAAGGACGCAUCAGGAGUCGGAGAAGCAUCUAGGGGGGCGAGCGGUAUCUAGGGAGGGCAAAAAAAAAUUGCAUUCAACAUAAAAUGACCCUUCGGUUUCAACAAAUAAAAAUAUCUGAAGAGUCAAAGAGAGCGUAGAGAAUGAAUCCGAACUAGUUUUGCAACCGAGGGGGAUUAAUCGGCAGGAACGAAGCGUUGCUAAUAAAAAAAGGCGCGACGGAAAAAAGGACCGACAAUGAACUUGGUCCAACUUUCAGUCUAGGGAGGACGCAUAAGAAAUUGGAGAGGCAUUUAGGGAGGCGAGCGGCAUUUAGUGAGGUAAUUUAGUAUAAUGAACUUAGUCCAAUUUUCUAUCUAGAGAGGACGCUUCAGAAGUUGGAGAGGCAUCUAGGGAGGCAAGCGGUAUCUAGGGAGGUAAUUUAGAAUGACAGGUAGGUCCCACAAAAGUCUAAAAUUAAGCUAAUAUCGUCACGUGGACAAAAAGGCAUGGAAAUUCAUAGGAGUUUAUAGAUGGCAUACAUAAAUGGCAUACAUAAAUGCCAAUUUUUUCGAAAGUUUGUAUGCAUUUAAUAAUCUAUAUGGCAUACAUAAAUGCAUAAAUUGUACACACAUGAAUCAUGCGUGUCACUGCUUUCUAAAAAAGAACAAUCCAAUUUAUAAAUCUAUAUGGCAUAGGGUUGGAAAAAUAUGCAUACGUAAAUACAUAAAUCGUACAUACAUGAAUGAGGCAUGCCAUCUCUAUCCGAAGAAGAUCAAAUUAUUUACACUUAAAAAUUUAACAGUCAUGCUUUUGGUGUUCAUGUAGCACAUCUAGAAUCAUAAAUGAUGCUUCGAUGUAUUGUCGCAGAAAGAAUCUAAUAAUAAACUCAAAUUAAAUCAAAAAUUUUGAAGUACCGGUACUAGUUUGCCAUAGUAUUGUUCAUGUAAUUGCUAUGUUCGCUGGUAUAAGAUGAAAAUUUUAUUGUUCAUGCAUAUGGUUCAAAACAUGUUAUAUACAUGAAACUUUUAACAGUACAUCAAUGCCCUAUAAAAAAACCUUAAUUGCCGUAAACUAUUCACCGCUUCUUAAAACUAACAAAUCAUUCAUCGCUUUUUCAUAACUCAUAAGUUUAUCACAUUCGAAUUCCAAAAAAUUUAUAUUAUUAAACUCUAAAAAUAAUUUUAAUAUUUUAAAAAAUGUAGUAAAUGAUUUAUUAUAUUUAAAAAGUAGUAAUUUAUUUACCACAAUAUAGAUAAAUAUUUUACUAAAUUAUUUUAUUGUUCAUGCAUGUGGUUCAAAACAUGUUAUAUACAUGAAACUUUUAACAGUACAUCAACUCCCUAUAAAAAAGGUUAAUUGCCGUAAACUAUUCAUUACUUCUUAAAAGUAAGAAAUCAUUCACCGCUUUUACGUAAUUUAUAAGUUUAUCACAUCCGAAUUCCAAAAAAUUGUAUAUUAUUAAACUCUAAAAAUAAUUUUAAUAUUUUAAAAAAUAUGGUAAAUAAUUUAUCAAAUUUAAAAAGCAGUAAUUCAUAAACUAUUUUUAUAAUAAUUAUAAUAUAUUUUACGUCUAUUAAUAAAAGAAAUUUUUUUUGCUAGAGUAAUAUAACGAUAAAAUAAUAGAAUAGUAAAAUAUUAGAAUAUUAAGUAACAUUGUUUUUAUCUAAAUAAUUUUUAUUAUAUGUUUUAUGUAAAUAUUUGUGGAAACAUGCAAUUUGGGACGACUUACAAGUGCUCGUACUGUCAAAGAGACGAAUUCAAUAGUCUCUCUUCUUUAACCUUGCAUGUGAACAAUUGUGCAUUGAGGCCCGGCGCCGGAGGAGUGCAGAAGCCAGAAAACGAGGGGAAUUGAGGGCGAAAUGACCGGGAUCAAGGGGCGCAGGAGCAAUAGAGCCACCCGGGCGUAGGGGUGGAAACGAGCCGAGCUUAUUUCAGCUCAAGCUUGGCUUGAAAUUAAUUUCAAUCCUAAAUUUAGGCUCAAGCUCGGCUUGAAAUUAAUUCGAGUCGAGCUCGAGCGAGCAUAACUUCGAGUCGAGCGAACUCGAGCCCUAAACGAGCCGCUUGAAAUUCUUAACAUCGUGCAAUCUAUAGUUUAAUUUUUAUAAAACAAUAUCUAAAAUUUGAUACAAAAAUAUCUAAUAGUUCAACAUACAAAAUAAAUGCAUGAAAUACGAUAUUAUAAUAUUAAAAAAGUAGGAAAAGUGACUCUGCGAGCAAGUGAAAAAAAGAAAGAGAGUAAUUAGAGUAGGAUUUUACUGGUUUGGUUUUGUUGGCCCAAUAAUUUAAAUUCUAUAUACAUAUAAUUAAAAUACAUAAUAUAUAUUAUUUUAUAUAAUUAAAAUAUAUAUUAUAUAUAAUUAUAUAUAUAUAGAGUCCGGCUACUAUAUUUUUAUAAGUAUAGACCCUUUAUACUCAUAAAUUUUCAACCGUUAGAUCUAUUCUUUUGACCAUUUCCAUCCUGUAACAUACCAGAUUUUGGUAUAAAAAUAAAAAUAAAUAAAAAUAGUGUUAGAAACUAUUUUUAUUGGAUUUGUAGGAGUAAAACAUAAGUCAGAAGUGACUUGUACUGAAAUCGGAUUGAAAACAGAAAAUCUAAAAUUUUCUGUUGGAAACGGGACAGAUAAAUUAGCAGAAAAUGCACAGUCUCAGAAAAUUAUGAAAAUUGGAGGAUAAGUCAGAAAUAUUUUUAUUAGGCUAGAUUCAAAGUUUCAUAUUUUUCUGACACCCGUAGAGUGAGAAAUAAAAUCCGACAGCUAUCUGAUAAAGAUUACAGUUCGGCACAAUUUUCGGUGACCAAAUGGGGUCGAAACUGAAAACUUAAGAUAUAUUCUUACUCAGUACAUUAAACUGAGCUUUCUUGUCAAAUUUGAGCUCAAAUGGACAUUCAGAAGGGCUCCAACUGUUCCGAACUGCUAAACAGCUGCCCGGAAGUGAAUAGUGUAAAAGUUGAGGGGCUGAUUUGUAAAAAGGGAUUUAAUCCCUUUUCUUCUUCUUCUCCUCAGCCGAAUGCGCACACACACACACGCCACACACACGCAAGGAGAGGGAGGAAGAGAGCUCUCCUUUCUCUCUCUAAAUCUCUCCCAAAAUUGAUGAAAUUGGAGGAGAAGCAAGCUUGGAGGUUGAUCUUCAUCUCUUUUAUCUUCUUCCUCUCCAUUGGAGCUUGCUUGCAAGGUAAGUUUUGAUGCCCUUUAAUGGUAUCUCUUUGUAGUUUGGGUUUUAAGCUUCAAGAAUGGAUUUAGAGCUAUUCUAGCAUGCUAAAGAGAUGAUUGUUGCUUAAAUCAUGGAUCAAUUUGAUGAUUUCUUGCCUAGUUGUAAACCUAGGGCUUGAACUGAGCUUUUUGAACCCUCUCAUGGUAGUGUUGGCCUAGUGGCCCUAAUCGUCUAUUAGAUUUUGAUGAUAACAAAUAAUCACGAUUAUUGGACUAAUCUUUUUAUCUUGAGUCUUGUGUUUUAGAUCUCUCUAUCUUCAAAAANGCUGUUGGCCUAGUGGCCCUAAUCUUUCAUUAGAUUUUGAUGAUAACAAAUAAUUACGAUUAUUGGACUAAUCUUUUAUCUUGAGUUUUGUGUUUUUGAUCUCUCUAUCUUCAAAAAGAAUUCAAGAUGGGCAAUAUUCUAGCACCUAGCUUCACCAUUUGAAGCUGUGUUUGCUUCUUUUAUCAAAUAAACAAACUCACUCUCUCUAUUCUUAAUUUGAUUAAUAUUAUGCUUUGAGUUAAGUUUAAACUAUUCAUCUUAUCACCUUAUAGAUCCCUUAAACAAAAUUCUAAAUUUAUGAUUAGGUGAAAAUGACUUUUAAAUAUUCAAAAAUUGCUCAAAUUCUGUGUUCUGUAAAAUUGCAAUUUCUGGACCCUGUUCUGGGCGCCCGAAAGUGGAUCCGAAUCUUUUGAGACCUUUUGGAUCCUGCCUGUUUGCUGUUCGGGUGAUUCAGAAACACAAAGACUGUUUGACUUGACAGGUUGCGACAACAGGCGGCGCAAAAUCUGGGCGCCCAGAUUUUACGGAAGCAGCGGCGCACGCAAUCUGGGCUGUUUGGCAAGAAAGUCAGCACGAGAUCUGGGCGCCCACAACUUUUGAUGGCUCGAAUCCAGAAAAACGGCGCAUGUCAGAAAAGUUGUCCCUCGAGAUCUGGGCGCCCACAUUUUCUGAUGGCCCAAAUCUAGAGGAAGCGGCGCGUGUCAGAAAAGCUGUUCCUCGAGAUCUGGGCGCCCACAAAUUUUUGACGGCCCAAACAUACAAAGUCAAGAAAAGCGGCGCACGUGGUCCGACAAGCAGCUGGCGUGCACAAACUUCUGGGCGCCCGGAAACAGUUUGUGGGCGCCCGAAAGUACAACUGCAGAUCUGUCCGAGGCUAUAAAUAGAUGGUAUUGAGGCCUCACUCUGCAGCAACUUGAUAACUCAUUUUUGAGCAUAAAAACUUCAGUGAUCUUAAUACUCUUAGCUAUCAAUUCUCUCUCUAAACUUGAGUGAAACUUGUAGUGAGAUUUAAUCUUGUAAAAAGAGAGAAAAGCAAAAUCUUGAAGCUUGAAAGAAGGAGUUGAUGUGAAGGCUUGGUGCUUGCCCGCAAAAGCAUCAUCUAGUGGAGAUCCAACAUUCUCGAGUGUUGAGAAGUUGGCGGGGACGUAGGCAAAGUGCCGAACCUCGAAACAAAUUGAUUGUGUGCUUUUCGAGUUUGCAUUUCUUUUAUUUGCAUCGUUUUUUUAAUUUGCUUGAUUAUUUGGUUUUUUUUUAUUUUAGAAACCUAAUUCACCCCCCCUCUUAGGUUGCCAUUUUGAUCCUCAGGUAGAUCUUUAAAGCUUCAUUAUAAUCCAUAGAAAUGGUUUAUUUGGAAUCCUAGCAUGCUAAAUAAAGGAUAAAUGCUACAAUCUAGGAUCAAUUUAAUUAAUUCUUGCAAUAGAUGAAGCCUAGGGUUCAAAAUGCAAGUUUUGUAAAUAUGAGGGUUUGAUCUCAUUUGACCCUCUGUAAACCUAAUUGCCAGGUAAACGAAUGCGUUGGCGAAGUCGGUUCGGCGAUUCGUUGAGCCGUUGCGAAGUUAUUAAAGAAACAGACGUUUAGGCUUCGUUUCCGCCUGGAGGGCCGAGGCGACAUCGUAUAUUCAUGAAAACGGAUUUGAAGCAUCGUGGCACAUAACCGAAGACCUUAAUUUUCGGAUCAUGAAUUGAAGGCCGUUCGGGUGGUCGCGCAAGAGAUCGGGCCAAACCGGGUGCCGGGUGCCGCUGGAGGCCGAUUGCAAGUGACUACAAGCAAUCGGAAUGCGUAAUGAGGUGGGUUGUGCUCACCGAAGCGACUAUGUAGCCUAUAUGUCUUAGAGUAAUGGUUUUCUAAUUGAUGCAUAUGGUUGAUGUUACUUACUGUUGAGAUAAAAUGCAUAAUGACAUAUAAUGUGUUAAAUGCUAGAUGAAUACAUGAGUUAAUUGUCACCUGAAUGCAUGAAAAUAAUGUUAUAGUAAUAUGUUAGAGGUAAUAUGCAUGUUGAUAAAUUAUGGAACAUGUUGGAUGGCAAAUGAAUGGUUGGUAUAUAUAUAUAGACAUAUUGUGGAAUAUGAGGAAUGAGUGCAUGUUGAUUUAUUAUAGAAUAUACUAGAUGAAUGUAUAUUGACAUAUUGUGGAUUAUGUUAAAUGACACAUGCAUAUUGAACUUGGGUCGAUAAACUCUAGGUGAAUUAGAGAACUCGACAUUGGAAAACAAUGACAUAUGAACUAUGAUAUGUGACGUAGACAAUCUAUAUAUAUUAGAUCGAGUGGCAUAUGAUUAAUAUAGUGGAAACACUUAUGGCAUGUUGAACAUUUAGAAAACAAGUAUGGCAUGAGUCCAAGAAUAUAGUAGUGUAUAUGACAUAAGUGAUAGUAAAGAAUGCAAAGAAAAGAAUGAUGAAAAUAUUAUGACAUUUCAAUCCUAGAGUUAGGGUCAUUUGAGCAUAGUCUUCCUAAAGUUAAGGAAUGGAUUGAACUUGACAUCCUCAAGAUUUUGGAUUUGAUCAUUGAUCAUACUCACCUUUAGUCCUUGCUCGAGGUUGUGGUAGCUCCCCCUCGGGCGAUGUGCUCCGGAGUCGACAUCACUGGGUUGUAGAGAGUAUCUCCCCAGAGGACGGUCCCAUCGGGUGUAGCGAGUAUCUCCCUGAUUAUUGGGAUUUUGAGUUGGUGAGUUUGUUGAGGGCGAAACCUUCGGGUUAGCCAAGAGAUUGGGUAACAAGCACAUGAGUUGUAAUAAUAUCCUAGUUGAGUAGACUUAAGGCUGAGGUGCAAGUGAGACGUCCUUCGCCUCGAGCCUGCCUUUGCGCGGUACUCCGCGAAUGAUUGACUCGAGACCGAGUCGGGUGGGUAGUUGAUAAAGGUAAAUGAGACCUUAUGAUUAAAAUGGUAAAUGACAGAAAACCUUAAAUGUCAAUUGGAUGAAAGUAGUAAUCGAUUGAAUUACUAAUUGAUUGUAUAGUCGCAUCAUUGUAUGAUCUUCAUAUUGUAUUCGUGAGGCAAUGCAUGGUUUCAUUUGUUGCAUAAUCAAGAUAUAUAUCUAUCUGUUUAUUGAACUAACUUGCAGUUGCCUCCCUUGGACCUAUUGGUCGAGCUUUUCCCUUGGGUGGCCGUACCUACUGGAAACCAUGGAGUUGGUUCUCACCCCACGUGGUUUUGGAGUGUUACAGGUUCACACGUGAGCGGCGCGGCGGCGCGAGGCGAGGGCGUAGCAUCAUAGUUAGCGCCCUACCACCGAGACCAGAGAUAGCGGUACCCUGAGUCGGCUUGUUUAGGAUCGUAGAAAAUGAAAAGAAUCAAGUUGUAAUAAUCAUGUUAAAUCGGAUUGUAUUUGGAAGUUGAAUGUAAUAAGUAUUUGGGAUGUAAAAUGUAUGAAUGUGAAUGCUUGUAAUAACAAGAUUAUGUUUUUGAUACUUCCUUAUGCAAUCUUUGAUUGAAAUGUGUUCCUGGUUGAAACUUUGUACAUUGUAUUGAUUGCGACGCCUUGAAUGUAUAGGGGAGACUCUGUCCGCGGUACCGGAAAAACCCUAUUCGUUUGGCGGUCUGUUACGGCGCCGCGACCCGGCCAAAUAGGCGGGCGGUCGUGGGGCGUGACACAUCCCUUAAAUCAUACUAUUCAACCAACCACCCACUCAAUCCUAGGGGACCACUAUCAUCCUAAUCGCACAUCUAAUGCCCGAAAAUUUAUAAGUAUAAAAGGGUCUAUACUCAUAAGAGUAUAGUAACCCUAACAUAUAUAUAUAUAUAUAUAUNNNNNNNNNNNNNNNNNNNNNNNNNNNNNNNNNNNNNNNNNNNNNNNNNNNNNNNNNNNNNNNNNNNNNNNNNNNNNNNNNNNNNNNNNNNNNNNNNNNNAAGAGAGAGAUCGGCGUUGAGUGUUAGUUUAGCGACUUUUUCGGUCAUAUUAGAAUUUAUUAGAGCUGUUGAUUUUGAGGUUUUAUUUGUGGAACUUGGGUUGGAUUUAUUUGUGAAUGUUGGGUUUUGGGAUUUACUCUUGUGGUUUGGAUUUUGAAUUUAUUUGUGACUUAUGUGUUUGAAAUUGUAUUGCUGGAUACUUUUGGGUUUGAAAUUUAUUUGUUAACUUGGGUUUGGGGGUUGGAUUAACUCCUCUGCUAUUUGAUUUGGGAUAACCAUUAAGGAUCUCAUAUUGUUUAAUACUUCUCGAGGUUGGUUUGGGCUGAAAUCCGUUAGACUUUGGUUCUGAACCCACAGACUUGUUUGGUUGAACACGUUAUGCUUAGGUUGGGAAUCAUCAAUGCUUUUUGAGUUUGAACCGACUUAUGACUUUAGCUUCGGUUCAUCAGAUUCUUCAUGGUUGGAUUUGCUGAGUCGGGUCCCUUCAUGGUUUUGUUCGAAUCGGAUCUCAUAUUCGAUUCGGGUGCGGACAUCCACCUUUGGUUCGAGCUCGCCAUCGCAUUGAACUCGAAUCAACUCAUAGUCGGUUCAAAUGUCGGAUCUUUGGUUCUGUUCGAUCGUGGACCUCUUCAUUUCGAUCGAUCCUAAUCGGGUGAACCGAAUCUCACGACUCGAGUCCUUUCAAGUUGAUCUUUUCGUUCACAGAUUGACGCUACUUCAUUCGAGUUGAUCUGUCAUGUUUGGAUUAAGCCACAUAUCGUUUCGAGUCGAUCCAUUAAUGGUCUUGUACUUGGAUUGAUUUACUUUGUUUGUGUUCUGACCGGUGUCGUCAGUUCGGAUUCACUUUAGGUUCAAGUUUGACUGUUCGGUCGUAUGACAGGGAUCUGGUUCGAUUCGGAGUCCGGUUCGGUUCAACUCGCAUCCUUUUCUCGGCUGUUGGAUGCGAUCCACUUGGUCGAUCGGAAUCGAUAUUCGCCUUCGGUAUCGAGUUUCAAGUCAAAUCUAUGAUUAUGGUUCAAGAAACGAACGUUCGGAUUCAACCGACAGAUCCUCUUGGUUAAUCGAAUUCCAUUAUGAUUUUGUCAGAACGGGAUCGGUUUCGUUUCAGCUUCGCGGUGACAGGUAAUCGUCUAAGUCGAAUCCUUUAUGAUCCGUUCAGUUCGAUCCGUUUCGUUCAGAUUCAAUCGGAUUCACCGCUUGGUUCAGAGUCGAUCUUUAAUGGUUUUCGGUUCGUUAGAUCCGUUCAGUUCGACAGAUCUCCGUUCACUUUAGUUUCAUUAAUCCUUUAUGGUUCUGUCCGGAUCGGAUCCGAUUCGGUUCGGAUCAGAUCGGAUUCACUUUAGUUCAAGUUGAAUCCUUUAUGGUUCUGUCCGGAUCAGAUCCACUUCGGAUCAAGUUGGAUCCAUUAUGAUUUGGUUCAGACGGGAUCCGGUUCGGUUCAGCUUGGAUCGGAUCCGCUUCGGUUCGAGUCGAAUCCUUUAUGAUUCUGUUCAGUUCGGAUCCGGUUCGGUUCAGUUCAGAUCGGAUUCACCUUGGUUCAAGUCGAAUCCUUUAUAGUUCGGUUCGGUUCGGAUUCGGUUCGGUUCGGAUCAGAUCGGAUUCACUUUAGUUCAAGUUGAAUCCUUUAUGGUUUUGUCCGGAUCAGAUCCACUUCGGAUCAAGUUGAAUCCAUUAUGAUUUGGUUCAGACGGGAUCCGGUUCGGUUCAGCUUGGAUCGGAUCCGCUUCGGUUUAAGUCAAAUCCCUUGUGGUUUGAUUCGGAUCGGACCCAUUUUAGUUCAGGUUGGAUCCUUCAUGGUUUGGUUCAAGUCAAACUAGCUUGUAGUUUGAUUUGGUUCGGUUAAUGUCUUUAAUGGUUCAAUUAGACUUAUUGAUUAGACUUGAUCGGCUUAUAAUCCGAUUUGAUUUAUCAUUAUGGUUUAGUUGACUCGGGUCUAGUCUAUCACGAAAACGACGACCCGGUUUAAUUGAACCGAACUCGGGUCAAGCCUAUAACGAAGACGGCGACCCGGUUUAAUUAAGCGAACCCGAGUCAAGCCUAUCAUGAAGACGGCGACCCGGUUUAAUUAAACGGACUCGGGUCAAGUCUAUCACGAAGACGACGACCCGGUUUAAUUAGUCGGACUCGGGUCAAGCCUAUCACGAAGACGGCGACCCGAUUUAAUUAAGCGAACCCGAGUCAAGCCUAAUCACGAAGACAGGCGACACCGGUUGUUAAUUAACGAAAUACCGGUCAAGGCUCUACACGAAGACCGGCGACCCGGUUUAAUUAACCGAUCCCGGAGUCCAAGGACCUACUCACGAAGACGGCGACCGGUUUAAAUGAACGCGAUCCCGGGUCCAAGCUACUCACGAAGACGGCGACCCGGUUUAUAAUGAACCGAACGAGUCAGCCUAUCACGAAGACGGCGACCCGGUUUAAUUAACCGGAUCCCACGGUCAAGCCUAUCACGAAGCACGAGCGACCCGGUUUAUUAACGAUCCGGGUCAAGCCCUAUCACGAAGACGGCGACCCGGUUUAAUUAACCCGAUCCCGGGUCAAGCCUAUUCACGAAGACGGCGACCCCGGUUAAUGAACCGAAACCCGGGUCAAGCCUAUCAACGAAGACGCGACCCGGUUUAAUUAACGGAUCCAGGUCAAGCCUAUCAGAAGACGGCGACCCCGGUUUAAUUAACCGAACCGAUGGUCAAGCUAUCACGAAGACGGCGCCGGUUUAAUGAUCCGAACUCGGGUCAAGCCUAUCACGAAGACGGCGACCAGAGAAAAAUAUUUGUUAUCAUUUUUUAUUAUUUUAUUUUUGUGUUCUCAUUUUGGUCCGAAUCGAAGUUCAACCGUGUCGAGCCUAUCACGAAGACGGCACUCGGUAUGAUCAUAAGUCCAAUGAGGGCAACGAUCCAACGUCGAGAUUGAAAGUGUUGAGCCUAUCACGAAGACGGCCGCUACUCAAUGAUAACAAGGAUCGUCAACCGUCGCAGUCGCCUCGUGCGCACAAUCUUUUCUUUUGAUGUUGAGGAGAGACGGGCUUAAUGAAUACGCGCGCAUGAUAUAGUAACGAUUGAAUGUCAAAUUUGAUCGGAAUCGACCUAUCACGAAGACGUCGUGUUGAUCAAACCGACAUAAAAUCGCGCAGCUAUAUCGUUUCACAUGUAUCACAAAACCCAUCGCCGUCGUAGAAAAGAAAAAAAAAGAGGCCGCUAAAUGGCCUCUUUGCGCGUCGUCGAAGUGCGUCGUUAGCGCGCCAUUGUCGACGUCGUCACCGUUUUGUCGUCGUUGUCGUCGCGCCAUUGUCGAAGUCGUCGCCCGCCACAUUAUCGUCGUCGUUGAAUAAAAGGCCAAGCUUCUCCUUCUUCCCCUUUUUUUGGUACGAUUUGGGGUGAGAGGUGUGCUCACAGCACCUCCCUCCCUUUGUUGCUGACGCGCGGCAGGAGGAGAGGGGCGAGUGUUGCCUUGUGAUGCACACGAUGGAGAGAAGAAAAAAGAAGAAAAGAAAACUUAUUAUUUUUGUUUUUUUUUUUUACCUUCUUUUUUUUCUUUAUCUCAACUUUUUCUUUUUUCUUUCUAGUUCCUCUCAAAAAAAAAAACACUUACAUCUUGGAUCCAAUUUAUAGGGAUCCAAAGAAUCAGUAUUAUUUUGGAAACAAAAUUCAAAUAAACCUCUAAAAAGGAAUUAUAUCAUUCCUUAUAGCUUAUAAGGAAUUUAAGUAUUUGAUACUAUUUUUAAAUCCUUCCUUAUUUUAUUUUAUUUGAAAUGACAAGAUUUUUUUUUUUUUUUUUUUUUUUUUUGCUUUUUUCCAUCUUUCUUCCUUUUUUUUUUUUUUGUUUGUUUUCUCUUUCUCUUUUUUUUUUUUUUUUUUUUUUUUUUUUAAUUCGAACAGUAGGUCUCAUAGGUCUCAUAUAAACUGAUCGAAAUUAGUAUCCCAUCCGAUGUGGGACUAUUGGGGCGUUACAAUAACUAAAAAAAAAAAGAGGAGCAAAAAACACAUGGAUCUAACCAAAACAUAUACAAACAAUUGUUGAGAUAAAACCCAGAAAACGUCUAAGCAUCAGGGGAAAUAAAAAAUCAGUGCAUAUCAAUUAAUAUAAAAGUCCAAACAGUCAAAGAGCAACAUCAUCAUAGGCAAAAACAAAAAAAGAGGGGAACAAAAAUACAUGCAUCUAUAUAACCAAAACAUGUGCAGACAAUUGCCGAGAUAAAACUUACAAAACCUCGAAGCAUCAAGAGGAAAAGUAAAAAAAACAAAGCAAAAAAAAUUUAGGUAAGCUUAGCUUUUCAAAAGCACAUAGUUAUGAUCAGUUGAAUUUUUUAUAGUUAUGAUCAGUUGAAAUAACAUUCAACAUUGCACGCCACUCACAAUAAAGCACCAACAUUUUUUGAUGUACGCAGGCUGCAAGAAUCGGCAUAAGAAUGGCCAACCCGCCAUGCCUUAGUAGAGUUUGUAGCAUUUAUUCUGAAAUUCAAACAUUUGCUAUGGAGAAGACCAACAUCAUAUACUCCACAAAACCAUUAAUUUAAUUAAUAACUAAAAUACACCAUUACUCAGAUUAUAGUAAAAAACUCUGCACCAACAGAAUAAAAAAACAAAUUUGUUUAGCCUUUCUUCUCCAACAAAUGAAAAGGUAAUAGCAGAAAAAUAAUUGCCAACAUCUUGCACUUCAAAACAAAACGAAAACACGAAACAAACCAAUGCGUAUCCAAGAAAAAUAAUAUACAAAAAAAGGGCUCAGAUAGAUUCAUAAAUCUGCAAUUUCAUGAUUUGUCUUUUGUAUAUAUGGAGUUGUAUUAUUUUCCUUUCUUUUUGCAUGAUUUGUUAGGUAUCCUUCAGAUUGGAUCUUAUAGUUUGAUAUGACUUAUCUGUUUUGCUUUACAAAACUUACUUUCGGAUUGUAUCUAAACAUAGAAGGGUGACAUCAGUGACAGCUUAUGGAUUUAAUUGAAUGAGCAUAAUUGAUAGGCCAGGAUAUUUCACUAUUACUUCAGUCACUUGGGAUUUGUUUUCUAGUUUUACGGGGUGCUUAGUCAAACUCAGAUAAGAGGCCAGAUUUAUUAGGCAUCCUUCAGAUUGGUUCUUAUAGUUUGAUACGGCUUAUCUGUUUUGAUUUUAAAAAUAUACUUUCGGAUUGUACCUAAACAUAGAAGGGUGACCUCAGUGACAGCUUAUGGACUUAAUUGAACGAGCAUAAUCGGUAGGCCAGGAUAUUUCACUAUUACUGCAAUCACUUGCGAUUUGUUUUCUAGUUUUAUGGAGUGCUUGGUCAAACUCAGAUCAGAGUCCAGUUAAAUAUUUUGGUUAAUUUAUGGACUUACCAUACGACAAAUUGCCAAGGUUAGGUUACCUAAGGAGAAGUCUCACGUACAGCUAUAUCUGUAGAUGGGUCCUGCUUGGAUGUAAGGCAAGGCGCAUCCAUCUUUUCUUAUGCAUCAGCUGCCAGUAAGCAAAGAUUUAUUUUCAGCUGACAAUUUGUUCUAAAAGACCUUUUAGAUAUCAGUUUAGAUUGUCAUGUGAAUAUUUUGAAAUGCAAUCGCAAUCAUAAGUGAAUCUUUGACACUUUUGUGAGACAUAUAAUCAACGCCAUGCUCGCACUUAAAGGUUUUUGAUUGGCUGGUGAUUUAUGAUGAGAAAAGCUAAUUUGCAAGCAUAAAUGUGAUAUCAAAAUAAUAUAUACUUUACAUACAGAUUGUAUUGCAUAUACAUUUUUUUUAAAAGAAAUUCGAGUAUGCACCCCUUUCUUUUCCAAGAAAUAGGAUUGAAUGAUAGCAUGUACUUAUUUCUUGUACCUCUGCAGUAAAUUUUCACAAUUCCAAAUUUUGAGAAGAAUCAAAAGGCAUAAACUUAUACGACAUGAAUGAUUGCAAAUCUUGUAGCGGAACCUCUAUUUGUCCAAGUAGGAAUAAAAUGUUAUUCAAACCAUUUCAAUUGCGAGCUAUCAAUUUGCUAUCAAUUUAUAUGUUUUUUUUCUUUUUUUGGUUCUCACUCACUUCUUUUAAGGCGAUAGUAUCAUAUAGUAAGUAUUUUAUUCUUCAUACUAAUUAUUUAUAUACAAUUUUGUUGGCUUUUUUUUUAGUGUUGAGAUUCUAAUCCUGAAAAUGGUUUUAGAAGAUAAGAAUGCGGCCUCAGUUGGAAGACCUUGGUCCAACCUUGCAACACAUAUUCUUGAGUUGAUUUCAUCCCAGCUCUCUCCAUCUGAUCGUUCCCACUUUGCUUUAACUUGCAAGCAGUGGAAUUCAGUUGUUGGUCCUACUUUUCCUGCUGAUAUAUGUCCACUUUUGCUAAACUGUCCAAGAUGGGGUUCCAAUGUGAUCCGGUACUACAGUCCUUAUUUCAACAAGAAUUUUGAACUAGAUUGUCCCUUUGACUUGUCAGGUGCCACAUUAUGUUCUUCAAGCAAUAGGUGGCUGACGUUAGGCUGGGAAAAUAAGAUUAUGUUAGCUGACCCUUUCACUGGCAUCUCACAUGAGGUACCAUUGGAGGAGGUAUUUCUUUUCUCUCAAUAUGGUUUUUUUUGGGAUCCGAUUACUUCGAAACUCCAAAUCUUCGGCAUUAGUAACGGUGGCUAUGAAAAUGUUGAUAUUGGUAUUUUUGAUGGUGAAAGUUGGUUCUGGUCUACAUACGAGAGUGGUCUACCAUUCUUUGUCUUCACACUCUAAUCCAGUUUUGUGCCGAGGCAAUUUUUAUUCCCUAGGAUCAGGUGGAGAGUUGGGAGUGUACAAUCUAAAAGAGGAUACAUGGACAGUUCUAAUGACUAAGCCUAACAAGUUCAGUUAUGAAGAAUGCUACCUAGUUGAGUCAGAGGGAGAGCUCUUUUCGGUACUCAUUGGAAAGUAUGGAUUACCUCUUCAUGUUCUUCGUCUUGAUGAACGCGAGAUGAUGUGGGAAAAGGUUGAAAGAUUAGAGGGGCGAAGUCUUUUCUUGGGAUCACUCACAUCGGUUUCUAGUAAUAGUACCACAUUGGAAAGCAUGGAAAAUAAAGUGUUUUUUCCAAGGUUUCAUGGUGAUGUUGAAGUCAUUCGCGCAAAAGUAAAGUACUCUAGUGGCCGCUCAUUUUUUGUACCGAAGAUGAAUGGAGAGAACAAGAGAAAAGAUGAAUCUAAUAUAUGUUGGUACUCAUUAGCAGAUGACAAAUUUCAUCUCAAAUAUUUUGUGUCCAAAAAAUACGUGAACAGCAUAUGGAUUGAUUCUAUAGUUGCAAGUGAUUAAACUUGAGGGCAGCCUUUUUAUUUUUCGAUACCUUUAGGACAGGUUUGCUAUAGAAUCUAAAAGCUUGGAAUUCUUAAAUUUUAGAAUGUAUGCUGUGAACAAUCACGAAAUAGUUUUUACCAGCCAUUUCAAUUUUAUUUUAUCACUAGUUCGAUCAUUUCGGGUCCAAAAAUAGUAAUACUGUAUUUUAAAUCUAGUACCUUUAGUAGUGCUAUGUGUAAGAAGUGAUGUAACUUUUUUUUUAAUAGGAGAAAAUAAUACUAAGCUAAAUGUGUACUAUUCUUGCAUUGUUGUUUGAUUUAUGCUUGUAAGCAAAUGGAACUUUAUAACUGACCUUGACGAAGUAACUUGUUUGGUCAGAAGCUGAUUGGAUAGAAUCAAUUUAUAUGAGAUAGAGGGGAUAAAGUUGUUUUUGGUCAUAAAUGUUCUCUUAUGUUACUUGAUUUGUCAUAAAUUAAUUUUUUUUGCAACAUCACAUUUUCGAAACUCGAACUUCACUCCGGAUAAUGUCAAAGUCAAUUAUGAAAAAGUGAUAUGAAAAAAUAAGUAAAAUUUUAAGUAAAUAAAUAAAGAUGUGGGAUAAUUGCAAUUUGAAAGCCAUAGACUUCUUAUCAAAUAAAAAAUAGUAGAGAAAAAAAAUUUCUUGAAUUUCAGUUUAAUUGAAAUUUAUUUUCAACUUGAAAAUUAUUUUUGGACAAACGGUCAAAACUUCAUCACCUUAAUAAUAUUUUCCAUUUAUUCAAAUAAAGCUCCCAAUUUCACAAUUGACACGGCCCUGGCAAUCCAAGAGGGGGGUUGAAUUAGGUUUCUAAAAUAAAAAGCCAAAUAAUCAAGCAAUUUAAAAAUCCGAAACAAAUAAUAAAGAGAGGAGUUUAAAGAAAUGCAAACUCAAAAGGCACACAAUCGAUUUGUUUCGAGGUUCGGCACUUUGCCUACGUCCCCGCCAACUUCUCAACACUAGAGAAUGUUGGAUCUCCACUAGAUAAUAUUUUUGGAGGCAAGCACCAAGCCUUCACACCAACACAUUCUUCUUUUCAAACUCCAAGACUUUGCUUUUCUCUCUUUUUACAAGAUUAAAUUUCACUACAAAUUGCACUCAAGUUUAGAGAGAGAAUUGAAAGCUAAAAGUAUUACCGUAAACAUGAUUUCGGGCGCCCAGAUGUUGUGCACGUGCACUCUACUUCCAGCUGCCUGUCAGACAAUGUACGCUACUUUUUCUGGAUUCGUACAUUCGGGCCUUCAGAAUUUGUGGGCGCCCAGAAUAUGCGCGCUGACUUUUCUGACAUAGAUAGACCACGUGCGCCGUUUUCUCUGAGCGGAAUCAUUUUGGGCUUCCAGAAGAUGUGGGUGCCCAGAUUUCCAGCACGCGCGCUGCCUGCGUCGCGUCGUGCCGCCUCAGAACUUUUCGGGCUGAUCCGUCGUACUGUCCGGAACACACAAUCUGUCAAGUCAAAUAAUCCGGUCGCCCUAAACAGACAUUCGGGCGCAAAAAUCAGGUAAAGAAAUUUCUGAACCACCCAAACAGCAAACAGGCAUGAUCCAAAAACACAUGAGAUUCAGAUCCACUUUAGGGUGCCCAGAACAGAGUCUAGAAACAGUAACUAGACAGAAAACUGAUUUUGAGCAGAUUUUGAAUAUUUUAAGAACCGAUGAACUUUAUAAGAAGAUCUUUGGAUAAGAUUCACUUUGAAUCAAAUAGAUAUUUGUUCAAGUGAGCUAUGAUAAAAAGAUCAAACUUAGCUCAAAGUUUCUCACUCUAAUCAUAAAGCAUAAUAUUAAUCAAAUUAAGAAAUAGAGAGAGUGAGUUUGUCUAUUUGACUGUAACAUACCAGAUUUUGGUAUAAAAAUAAAAAUAAAUAAAAAUAGUGUGAGAUACUAUUUUCGUUCGACUUAGAGAAGUAAAACAUAAGUCAGAAAUGACUUGUGCUGAAAUCGAAAUGAAAACAGAAGAUCUAGAAUUUUCUGUUGGAAACGGGACAGAUAAAUUAGCAGAAAAUGCACAGUCUCAGAAAAUUAUGAAAAUUGGAAGAUAAGUCAAAAAUAUUUUUAUGAGGCUAGAUUUAAAGUUUCAUAUUUUUCUGGCACCCGUAGAGUGAGAAAUAAAAUCCGACAGCUAUCUGAUAAAGAUUACAGUUCGGUACAGUUUUCAGUGACCAAAUGAGGUCGAAACUGAAAACUUAAGAUAUAUUCUUACUCAGUACGUUAAACUGAGCCUGCCUGUCAAAUUUGAGCUCAAACGGACAUUCAGAAGAGCUCCAACUAUUCCGAACUGCUAAACUGCUGCCCGAGGUGAAUAGUGUAAUAGUUGAGGGGCUGAUUUGUAAAAAGGGAUUUAAUCCCUUUUCUUCUUCUCCACCUCAGCCGAAUGCGCACACACACACACGCCACACACACGCAAGGAGAGGGAGGAAGAGAACUCUCCUUUCUCUCUCUAAAUCUCUCCCAAAAGAGAGGGUUUUGGUGGCGAUUGAAGCUCAAGGAUGGAUUUUCAUCUUUCCCAUCUUCUUCCUUGAAUGAGAAGCAAGCUUUGAAGGUAAGCUCCAAAACCCUUUAAUGGUAUCUCCUUGUAGUUUGGGUUUUAAGCUUCAAGAAUGGAUUUAGAGCUAUUCUAGCAUGCUAAAUAGGUGAUUGUUGCUUAAAUCAUGGAUCAAUUUAAUGAUUUCUUGCCUAGUUGUAAAUCUAGAACUUGAAAUGAGCUUUUUGAACCCUCUCAUGGUAGAUCUUUAAAGCUUCAUUUAUAAUCCAUAGAAAUGGUAUAUUUGGAAUCCUAGCAUGCUAAAUAGAGGAUAAAUACUAGAAUCUAGGAUCAAUUUAGUUAACUCUUGCAAUAGAUGAAACCUAGGGUUCAAAAUGCAAUUUUUGGAAAUAUGAGGGUUUGAUCUCAUUUGACCCUUUAUAAACAUAAUUGCUAGGUAAACGAACGCGCUGGCGAAGUCGGUUCGGCGAUUCGUCGAGCCGGUACGAAGUUAUUAAAGAAACGGACGUUUAGGCUUCAUUUCCGCCUGCAGGGCUGAGCGACAUCGUAUACUCAUGAAAACGGAUUUGAAGCAUCGUGGCACGGAUCGGGCCAAACCGGAUGCCGGGUGCCGCGGGAGGCCGAUUGCAAGUGUCGACAAGUAAUCGGAUUGCGAAAUGAGGUGGGUUGUGCUCAUCGAAGCGACUAGGUCGCCUAUAUAUCUAAGAGUAAUGGUUUUCUAAUUGAUGCAUAUAGUUUAUGUUAUUUACUGUUGAGAUAAAAUGCAUAAUGACAUAUAAUGUGUUAAAUGCUAGAUGAAUGCAUGAGUUAAUUGUCACAUGAAUGCAUGAAAAUAAUGUUAUAGUAAUAUGUUAGAGGUAAUAUGCAUGUUGAUAAAUUAUGGAACAUGUUGGAUGGCAUAUGAAUAGUUGGUAUAUAUAUGUAGACAUAUUGUGGAAUAUGAUGAAUGAGUGCAUGUUGAUUUAUUGUAGAAUAUACAAGAUGAAUGUAUAUUGACAUAUUGUGGAUUAUGUUAAAUGACACAUGCAUGUUGAACUUGGAUCGAUAAACUCUAGGUGAAUUAGAGAACUCGACAUUGGAAAACAAUGACAUAUGAACUAUGAUAUGUGACGUGGACAAUCUAUAUAUAUUAGAUCGAAUGGCAUAUGAUUAGUAUAGUGGAAACACUUAUGGCAUGUUGAACACUUAGAAAAUACGUGUGUCAUGAGUCCAAGAAUAUAGUAGUGCAUAUGACACAAAUGAUAGUAAAAAAUGCAAAGAAAAGAAUGAUUGAAAUAUUAUGACAUUUUAAUCCUAGAGUUUAGGGUCAUUUGAGCAUAGUCUUCCUAAAGUUAAGGAAUUGAUUAAACUUGGAGUCCUCAAAUGUAGGAUUGAUCAUACUCACUUUUAGUCCUUGCUCGAGGUUGUGGUAGCUCCCCCUCGGGCGAUGUGCUCCGGAGACAACAUCACUGGGUAUAGCGAGUAUCUCCCCAGAGGACCGUCCCAUCGGGUGUAGCGAGUAUCUCCCCGAUUAUUGGGAUUUUGAGUUGGUGAGUUUGUUGAGGGCGAAAUCUUCGGGUUAGCCAAGAGAUUGGGUAACAAGCACAUGAGUUGUAGCAAUAUCCUAGUUGAGUGGACUUAAGGCUGAGGUGCAAGUGAGACGUCCUUCGCCUCGAGCCUGGCUUUACGCGGUACUCCGCGAAUGAUUGACUCGAGACCGAGUCGGGUGGAUAGUUGAUAAAGGUAAAUGGGACCAUAUGAUCAGAAUUGUAAUUAAUAUGAAUUUAAAAUAGUGGAAUAACUUCGAAGUCAAUUAAAUGAGCUUUGAAUAGCAGGAUUAAAGUAGUAUCGAUUGAACUACUAAUUGGUUGCAUAAAUCGCAUGAUUUUCAUAUUGCAUGGUUGUGAGGCAUGACAUGUAUUUCAAUUAUCAUAUAUAUAUAUAUAUAUAUAUAUAUAUAUAUAUAUGUGUUGGAUAUUUGUUGGACUAACAUGUUGCAGUGCCUCCUUGGACCUGUGGGUCGAGCUCUUCCCUUGGGUGGUCGUACCCACUGGGAACAUAUUUAUAUAGUUAUCACCCCUGUGUUGUUUUUGGGGGUACAGGUUCCCACGUGAGGGGCGCGGCGGCGCGAGGAGAGGGCGUAGCUCCGUAGAUAGCGCCCUACCACCGAGACCAGAGAUAGCGGUACCCUGAGUCGGCCUUUACUUAGGGAUGUAAGAAAACGAAAAGAAUCAAGUUGUAAUAAUUUUGAUUGUAUUUGGAAGUUAAAUGUAAUAAGUAUUUGUGAUGUAAAAUGUAUCUAGUGAUUGAGAAUGCUUGUAAUAGCAAGUAGAUUAUGUUAUUGAUCCUUCCUUAUGCAAUCUUUGAUUGAAAUGUGUUCCUAGUUGGAACUUCGUACAUUGUAUCGAUUGCGACGCCUUAAACGUACAGGGGAGACUCUGUCCGCGGUACCGGAGAAAUCCUGUCCAUUCGGCGGUUUGUCGGCGUGCCUAAAACUGACCAAAUAGGCAGGCUCGGGGCGUGACAUUGACAAAAGAAACAAGCAUAGCUUCAAGUAGUGAAGCUCGGUGCUAGAAGAUUGCUCAUCUUGAGUCCUUUUGAAAAUAGAGAGAUUUAAGACACAAAACUCAAGAUAAAAGAUUAGUCCAAUAAUCGUAAUUAUUUGUUAUCAUCAAAAUCUAAUGAAAGAUUAGGGCCAUUAGGCCAACACUAUCCCUGUUUCAACUCCGACUUAUGGUACUACCAAUAUUGCAUCUUUAUUUCUGAAAACUUCUCUAUUUAAGAGUCCCUGGCACACCCUCUGCUCAUUUCAGCUCGAAUUUAGGCACUGGUUAUAUUACAUCCUUAUUUGAUUAUAUUGGAUAGUCCCAAAACCUCUGUAUUGUGCUAUUUUCGGACUAUACUUUUACAGGCACGCCAUGUUUUUUACAGAGUUGAGUGUUUAAAUAAGUUUUAGAAAAUUUUACAUUAUACUAUAGCAAAAUGCCUUAAACUCUAUAAAAAAGAAGACAAAAGGUAAAUUAAAUUGAAGUUAGGAGUCAAAUAAAGCAACUAAAGAUUAAACAGAAAACAAAAUAUUUAUCAACGGAUGGAGGAACUCACUUACACGCAGCCUCUUCUCAAGAGUUAAUCUAAAAGAAAGAUAUUCUAAUCUCUUCUCGAGUUUAUUUUUUGCUUCACGCAACGCACCAUUUUCAUUUGCAGCCGACAAUAUUUUUGAAAACUUUGACUAUCAAUCUCUUUCUUGAAAUAUUCAUAUAUAAAAGCAACAAAGCAUAGCCUUCUAAAUUAAAGUAAAGACAACAAGCUUGAGUCACCGAGAGAAAAGACGGUAAAUACAUAUAUUAGCCAGACAAUCUAGUGUACCACAAAGUGCGUGCGUCAAAUUUUAGACCUAUAGAUAGACCGUUUGUAUAUACAAUUUUCUUACUGAGACUUAUGACUAGAAGAACCUAACAAGUGGAAAAAUAUGCCUGCCCUGAUAUUCCAAACAAAAAUAAUGUGACAAAGAUGAGAUGAAGAUGAAUAUUACCAUACCCGUGUGUAUAUAUAUAUAUAUAUAUAUAUAUAUAUAUAUUGGAUCUCGGUAGAUAUAGAAAUUGAUUUAGCCUCUCUCUCUUCCAAUAUAAUUUUUCGUGAAGAUCAGAAUAUCUCAAAAAGGGAACGUAGAUAUUAGAGGAUUGCUAGCAUCAUCCUUGUAGUCUACGACUCAUCUGUUCCGUGCGACGAAAGACGUUGGAUCUGCAUCAAUUCCAUGUGGAUACGCGUAGAGGCUGGGUACGUGCGCGACUAAUCGGAAUCUCAGUUUUAACCGUACAGUAGAUCAAGAGACCUUAACUAGUCCGAGGUGAUGCAACCUGAACUUCAAAUCUGUUUAGGUUUGAUUAUUAUUUUACACUGUAACAUGAGAAUGAUCCGCUAGCACUGGAUUGAUUUGUUUUCGAUUUUAUUCAUAUGUGAUAUGGAUUUUAGUUUUCAAAAAAUUUUAAAAGGUACAAUAUUAAUUUCCGCUGCGAUUUGAAUUUUAUUUUUGUGCCGGAUAAAUUCUUACAAAUAUUUUCCACUCCUACAAAACACAAAUCUUUAAAUCCCAACAGCUUUUUUCUCUCUGUUUUCUCUAUUUUUCUUUUUUUUCUUUUUUACCUUUUUCUUUUUUUCCUUUGUAUGUUGGGUCUCUACACCGUACUGCCACUAUAUCGACCCCUUCCAUACCACAGGUCGUCGUCUAGUCCAUCACGACCGACGAUAAAUUUGUUACCAUUCUCCAUAAUAUUUGCGCUUAAGAAAUAUGGAAAGAUGAGAAAAAUAGGAGUAAAAAAGGAGAGUAAAAAUUUAUAUUAAAAAAUAGGGUAUAUCCCUGUUUAAUCAAAAAAAAAAAAAAAAAAAUUUAUAUUAAAAAAUUGUCUAUUAGAAAGGGCAGAAAGAAGAGGAGCCAAGGAUUUCUUCUUUUUUUUUUUCUUUUCUUUUUGUGUGUCGGAUAUCUACUAUCAAGCUGAAACAAGGGAGAGAGGUAGGUAUUGAUGAAGAUGGGUUUCUUCUUUUACUCUCUGUUUCUCUUUUCCUUUUUUUGGCUAGAUCUCUACUACCCAAUUACCCCCUUCGAUCAAGCUGAAAUAGGGGGAGGAUAGGUAGAGAUGAAGAUGGGUUGAAAGAAAGGGAGAGAGGAUGGAGAGGAACAGUAAUUGAACAAAUGUGAACCCAUGUGAAUGCAUUUUUAAUCAUAUUAACUUAAAUUUCAUGAUCGUGAGAGAGAAAGGGAAAAAAAAAAAACUUACACAUAAAAAAUCUAUGGGGAAGGAGGCGGCGUUGCUUAACGACAGAACGUAUUUGAUUUCUCAUUUAGUAUAGAGUUUAAUCCUAUGCAUAUAAAAUCAGAUAACGGAAAAAUUGAAAUCAGAUUUUUAUAUUUCGUUAUAAUAGAUUGGCAUGAAAUCUUGAAUACUGUAGAAUUUUUUACUCUCUUUUUACUGUUUGGAUAAAAUACAGUAGUUUUUACACCAUUAGAAAAAUAACUAGUUUUUUCCCCCUAAUUUAUAGAAUUGCAAAUUCACAACUCCUGCCAACUUAUCAUAUAAAUAAAUGAACUAUUCCUUAUUAAUGCAAUGUUAUUUAUUUUACAAAAUAAAAACAAUCUAAUAUAAAGAUACUUUUCAUUAGAUAUCUGAAUGCAAUCUUCUCAUUAGACUAGUGUAAUGACCCGCGCGAUGCGGCGAAUAGGUAAUAUUCGAUAUUUAACUUUAGUUUUUGUGCUAAAAUUUAUUCUUUCUUCUCUUUAAAUUAUAAUAUUUGAUUAUUUUUCUUACAAUAUAAAUAAUAUAUCAUACUUUCAACAUAGAGAACAAAUAAAGAGUAAAAAAAAUAGAACCAAGAGAAUGAAAUUUGAUGCAUAAUUAAACUGAAGAAAUAUUUGAGAUCCUGUAGAAAAAGCUGAAGCAAUACGAAAUAGCAAAUAUAUAAGAAAAAUAAUCAAAUAUUANAUCCUGUAGAAAAAGCUGAAGCAAUACGAAAUAGCAAAUAUAUAAGAAAAAUUAAAAAAUUUUGAGUAACAAAUAAAUAAAAGCGUAAGCAGUUAAUUCAACAGUAGCAGCAACGACUAUAAAUACAAUGAAUUUUAUAGCGGUAGAAGUCGAAGAAAGGCUUGCAGAGUUGGCUGAAAGAAAAAGUAAUAGUCAGUAAAGAAUUAAGAAAAGAAUGAAAUAGGACUAAUAGGAAAAGUUGGUUUUAAAAUAUUACUAACCAGCUAUCCCAAAAAUAUGCGACUACAGUGGUGCAAAAUCAAGUGAGGUAGCAACUUACAAAAUUAAUUAGAAUAUAUAAGUUGCAGAACUUAUAGUCAAAUAAUUUUAAACAGGAAUAGUAAAAAAACACCAUCACAACAAUUGAAAAAAAUAAUAUAGAGAGCAAACAAAGUGAAAGAAAAAUAGAACAAUCGAAAACAAUAUUCAACAAACAAACGAAGAAAAUAGCAUAAACAGUAGCAGUAGAAAUUUGAGAAAAACGAAAAAGAACAACAGCUAAUAAAAUUCUAUUUUUACUAUAGGCUCAGACAUGUAAUGAGUAUUAUCAAUAGUCAACAAAUUUAUUUUUCUCAUUUCAGAAGUCUUCAAGAAAAUGUGUCGCGUAUAGUUAUAUGUCAUCAAUAGCUUAUGUAUCCCUUGCUGGGGGGAAUCACCAGUUGCAAUUAUUUUGUAAUUGCCAUCACCAGAAGUCUUCAAGAAAAUAUGUCGCGUAUAGUUAUAUGUCCUCAAUAGCUUAUGUAUCCCUUGCUGGAGGGAAUCACCAGUUGCAAUUAUUUUGUAAUUGCCAUCCUAGUUGAUACUGAACCAGCAAAGAAAUAGAUUUUUUUUUUUGCCGCAAAUAAUUUUUUUACGGAGGCAUAUUAUAUAAGCAGCAAGAAGGAGCAUGGAGAAUGAAUCCGAACCAUUUUCAUGACCGGAGGGAAUCACUAAGCCGAAACGAAGCGUCGCUAAUGGGACCGGCGCGACGGGAAGAAGGGCCGACUAUGAACUCUGCCCAAUAUUCCGUCCUGAUAGGGUACAGCAGGAGUCGGAGCGGCAUCUAAGGGGUUGAGCGGCAUCAGUUGGAAGACGAACCUCUUCGUUGAACCAAUUAAAUGGGAAUCGGUUGAACCAACUAAAUGGGAAUGAGAUAACCGUCAGGAAAGAAGAACGACAACGAACUCGGGCCAAUUUUCCGUCCAAGAGGGCACAUCAGUAGUCGGAGCAGCAUCUAGAGGGUGAGCGGCAUUGGCUGCAAGACGAACGUAUUACUCGAACCAAUUAAAUGGAAGCGGUUGAAGAAAUUAAAUGGAAAAAAGAUAAGGUUCCCACAAAUCAACAAUUAAGCAGAGUAGCUUAAGAUGUCUAGUAUGGCCCAAAAAAAUCAAAUUAAGCUAAUAUCACAAAAGGAAACGAAUUUUCAUAGGAAUUUAUAGAUAAUUUGCUAUAGACCAGACAUGUAAUCAGUAUUAUUAGUAAUCAGCAAUAAUAUUUUUCUCAUUUCAGAAGUAUUUGAGAAAAAGUGUCGCGUAAGAGGAUGAACCAGUUUUUCUAAACCAAUUUAAUGGGAAGAGGAUGAGGAAAGAAAAAAAACUUAUAGGUGAGGCCCAUGGGCCAUACAGAUAGGUCCUACACAAAUCUCACACAAACCCACAAUUAAGCAAGAUAGUUUAAGAUGACAGGUAGGUCACACAAAAGGCCAACUUAAGCAAAUAUUUCCAUGUGCACAAAAGGAAACGGAUUUUCAUAGAAGUUUAUAGAUGCAUCCCUUGCCGAGGGGAAUCACUGGUUGCAACUAUUUUGUAAUUGCCAUCCUAGUUAGUUAAGCGAAAUACUUGGUUGCAAUGGAUGCAUAACUACCAUCCGAGUUGCCUUACCAUGUAUAUACUCUUUUCAUAUUAAUCAUAAGAUUAUUCAUUUUGUCAUCAUCGCCAAUCCCAAUAAAUAGAAAACUUAAUAUUAUGGUCGUAGAACUUAUUAAAAAGUAUCUGAAAUCAUAAAGUAGUAAAAAUAAUAGAGAAUCAACAACAAAGUAAAAAAGUGAACUACCUCAAGAUUGAGAAUAGGAACUGGUUCAACGGAAAUAUAGAAAAUCGAAUUUGUAAUUACAAAGAAAAUGAAAAAAUCAGAGUAAAAUUAUACUAAAUGGUAGGAAAAUCGGGGUAAAAAAAUAAGAAAAUCAAAAAAUUGAAAACAAUGAGCUAUAAGUAGUCAAAAUGAAAUUCCAAAGAAAAUGAAAGGCAUAAACCAUAGCAGAGAAGAAAGCAACAUGAUAGAAUACAACAUGGGCAUUUAUGGUUAUAGCUCCUCAGUUCUGCUUUAGAACUCUUCCUAAAGGUAUUGUUAAUAUAUUUUCACGUAUAUGUGAUGUUUCACGCACUUUUAAAGUUGCGUAUUUUCCCAUUUAGGCUACUUGUGAUUGGUUUCUUUAUUAUAAUACCUUAUUUGUAAAAUGAAUGUAUGAUGUUCUUGUUACAUUAACAUUUCGGAUCAAGUGAUAAUAGAAUUUAGAAUCAAGACAGGAGUUUUGAGUUUAGCCUGGAUGAUACCUUACUUACUUUUAACAAAAUAAUUCUAGCUAAAUGUCAGUUUUCUAAUAAAACAAUUCUUUUCCAAUCUUCUGUUCUUUCUGAGUUCAACAUACCUUGAUCAAUUCGAAGUGGGUUCUACUAAAACAUCGAAGGUUCAAUCUCAAAAGGUGUUGAAAACACCGAAGAGAAUUAUCGAGAAAUAUUCUGUUGGCGGACAUGGCGAUUUUGGGACAAAAUUGAAAUUCAGAUCAAUUCCUUUAAUUUGCUGCAAUAAUGGGAUAAGAAAUAUAUUUAGGAUCAAGAUCAUUAGCAACACCAUUUUCAUCCAUGUCAAUUUUGAUUUAGACAAAUUAAAGGAACGAAAACUGAACCGGUAUGCCCAUAUAUGUUCCAUUAAGUCAAUUGAUCUUCUGGUAAAAUCUACAUAGAAAAAAAGCCAUUAUAUACCGCAAAUCUAUCCGACAGUUCCAGCUUUAGAAUCGGAAUAUAUCCAAUUGCCAUCAGUUAGAAAAAAAUGCACUUGUUAUGCUGAAUAUAUCCAACAGGUUGAGAUUGUUAACUUCUACAAAAGAAAUGUGGAUACCGAACAAAAUUUAUGCAAUUCCAAAAAAUGGUGUUAAUUGUUACCGGAAGAAUCACUUUCAUCAAUGAAAAGUCUGCUUACUAUGUUUCUUUUGUAGUCAGAUUACUGUCUUUUUUAUCUUUCACAUAGAAAGAUUCUGUAAAUGGACUCUAUCUUUAUUCAGUUACUUUGAAAUAUAGUUAGAAUUUAGAUCCUCAUAACAAUUUAGUCCUUGGUAGUCUAUCUUCUUUAAGAGAUGCACUAUCAUCAUGAUUCUUAGGUUUUGCAAUACAAACUUCAAUGAUUAAAUUGUCAGAAUUAAAACUGUGCGAUAUUGAACAAACUUCGAGUAAAUUAUUAACUAAACCCUCUCUAAUAUAUGUGGAUGUUGGAUAAUGUUACUUGUUUCAUUGCAUGCUUUGGAUGCUUGACCAUCUUUGAGGCCAAGAUAGAUAUACAUAAGCACUUUCCACAAUACUACUUUGCUAUCAGCAAAGCCGGUCCAACUCUAGGCACAUCAAGGUACUAUCGGAAAGUGCAAACUUGCGGUUUGAAGGUUCUAUGUUGUUUUGAGAUCAAGCCUCUUUAUUAGCUAAGUUGACUGAUAGUUGUUGCAGCAGGAGAAAACAUGUUUAUUGAACAUUAAUGAUGGAGGAAUAUCUUUUUCUCUUAAUUGCCACUCAGAUAUUUCGAAGGUAUUCUAACCUGGUUUUAUUUUGUAAUUUUCUGACUUUGCUAUCAGUACUUGGAAUAUCAUUCCUAUUGCUAACUAGCAUGUUUUGUGUUUCCUCUCAAAAAGGUAUUGGCAAUUUGAGCAUGUUAAAGUUGAAUUGUUGGUCUAUAUACGUUCUCUGUCUUACUUUUAUAGCUUAGUAAAUUUUGUUUAUGAAUAAAGCGAGUAGCAUGCUACCUUUCUUCUUAAAAGGUAAAAGAAAAAAAAAAAAUUAGUUGCAUCCUAAGCCCAAAAAACUUACAGAACAUCAUCUGAGGGAGUUGCUAGCUAGAGGAGGUAGUACUUAUUGUCACUGUUUCCUAAGUCAAGUCAAUAAGAUAGUAUAGAUUAGUACUGGUAUUAAUGGUCGACAUGUGAUAUUUCAUAGUACCUAAUUAGAAAAGAUUAUACAUGUGCACAGAUAGUGAAAAAGGGGUAGUUGAGUCAAUUGUUAUUAUUAGUAUUAGGGUAAAUUGCACAUUUGGUGUCAAACUAUGAGUUGGCCGACACUUUUGUCCUCACUUUAUUUCGCUAUAAUCUGUAACUUUUUAGUUAUUUGAUAUAGCUUGGUUUUGAUGUUAUAGUCUAUUUUUGUAGUAUCUUAUUUUCUCCAUUGUUUAGUUUUGCUCAACUAUUAAAAGUGUAGUUUUCAAUUAAGAGUAUACUAUAGGCUGCAUACUUUAAAUUCAAAGUUAGCUAUAAGUUUAGUUAUUAGUUUAGUUUUGCUCAACCAUUGUUUACUUUUCCAGUCAAUCAAUAUACACUCUAGGCCGCAUAUUUUAAUUUCCGAGUUAGCUCCAAUUUCGUUUAUUUUGUUUAUUUUGAUCUAGUACACAGCAGCACCUCUUUUGUAAUUCCCUGCAAAUCAUUAUUUCAAUUUGGAUUUUAUAUGUAUUUCAGUUUUUUUCCUUUUGUUUUGUUCUUAAAUUUUUUGUCUUUUUUAAUGGUGGUUGGCAGUAAAAUUAAGGUGAUAAUUUGAUUUGGAGUUUGAAGCAAAUCUUGCUUUGGGACUGUGCGAUCAAAAACAGAUGGAAUUAGACACAGUGAACUAUUGCUUAUUAAAAUCAAAACUUAGAAAAUUACCUCAUACUUUCAAGGGCAAGUUUCUGAAUGCCGACCUCCGAGGCAAGAACUCCUUCAACAUAUUCUUCAAUGCCAAAUCCUCAUCCGUCUACAAUCUUGCACCUAAAGCAUCUCGAAAUCACCGAAAAUACAUCAUAAUUAAUAAUUAGAAUAGUAUUAUACACAAAAUCCUAAUAUAUAUAUAUAUAUAUAUAUAUAUAUAUAUAUAUAUAUAUAUAUAUAUAUAAUUCGUGGGAUUCCAGAAUAAGUUUUUACACUUUAAUGCACCUUAUUAGUAUUGUUCUCGAGUCCCAACUGAAUAUGCCCUUAUAAAUGGUUUCUAUACGACUUAUUCCUAAUGCCAUCUCAUGCAGGUUAGCUUUUUUAGACAAUUUUUCAGAUCAGUUCGCAAGGCUGAUUACUUAGCAAUGUGCCAUGGUUUCAUUACCGUAAGUAUUAUCGGCUAGGAAAUGAGAAAUUACUGAAGAAACUAUUGUCAGCUUUGUUGAUUAUCUUGCUUUUGCAAGUUCAUUUAGCUCCAGGCAGUAAGUAUAACGACAUCAAAGGAUGGUUGAUAGGAUUUUUUUUUUUCUUUCUUUUUUUUCUCUUUAUAGCUUCGUGCUCUCUCCUUUUUUUUUUUAAGUGGUCCUAUGCUUGUUAAUUUAUAUUUUUUCUUUUCAAUGGACAAUUUAGAUUGUCUUCUCAGUUUUUUCGACAUAAAAUGAAAAAAUNAAAUAUUCUAAAAGAAACUAAAUACAUAUCCAAUUUAUUUUGCAAACAAAUCAUAUAUAAAAGCAUUAUGAUUACAUAUAUAAUAACAUUAUGAUCAGGACCGGGAAAAAAAAUAAAUUGCUAAAUUAUUUGCAGAAACAAGCUGGAAGGCAAAAAGAAUUAGUAUAUAUAUCAAAAUUAAAUCAAAGAGCUUACAAAUUCUUCGCCAAUCACUCUCAGAUCAAACGUACGUAGGUAGGCAAUUUCCUGAGACAUUUUAAAAAAAGUAAUAAGAAACCAAAUUGAAAUUCAAACCAAAAAAAAAGUUGAAACCAAAUCUGAGAAGGAAAAAUCACCAGCAAAGAAAUAGAUUUUUUUUGCCACAAAUAAAAUUUUUACAGAGGCAUAUUAUAUAGGCAUCAAGAAGGAAACGUGGAGAAUGAAUUCGGACCAUUUUCGUGACCGGAGGGGAUCAAUAAUCUGAAACGAAGCGUCGCUAACGGGAUCGGCGCGACGGGAAGAAGGGCCGACCGUAAAAACAAAGGGAAGAACUUGCCAUCAAGCCUUUCCACUGCUUUCUGAGCCUCAUCAGCAUAUUUAUACCUCAGGAACGCAAAACCACGCGAUUCCCCAGUCCUAUAGAUCAAACAUAUUAAAAAAAAUGAAUUAAAACAUUAACAAAAAGUAGCAAAAACAUCCAAACCCUAGAAAUCCGCACCCAAGAGCUGAUCUAACUGAAAAAACCCUCAAAAAAAACACCAAAUCUCGAAAUUUUAAUUAGGUAGGCACCUGCAAUCUCUAGGGAUGAACACGUCCACCACCUUGCCUUACCGAUCAAAGAGGGGGAAUAGAUCAUCCGCCGUGGUACCUACCAAAAAUCGACUGCCGUGGUACCUACCAACACUACAACAAAAACGGUCUAUAGCGACACUUUUAAAUGUAGGUACAUGUCAAAAAAGUGCUGCUAGCUAAAAUUACCGACACUUUUAAAAAGUGUUGCUAUAUGUGGGGUCGCUAGGGAUAUAGUGACAGUUAAAGAGUGUCGCUAUAACCUAAAAGAGUGCUGCUAAUUUACCAACACUUAUUUAAGCAUUUAGCAACCGCCGAAACUCUAUCUCGUUGACUGCGGUGGCGGAGGAGGACGACAGGAAAGGCUCUUCGUCUAGAAUUUCAGUGGAUUGAGUGAAGAGAGAAGAAAAUAUGGUAAUUGAUUUUUCUUUUUUUUUUUCUUUUCUGUUUGUAAUCGGGUCAAAUGGACUGGGUGUGGUGGGUUGAGUAGAGUAAUCUUUUAUUUUUAGUUGGAUUGGGCUUUAUAUUUAGGCAUAAGUAGAUGUUUUUUAAAGUUUUAGCAUAAAUGGUACACUUACUCAAAAGUGUCCCAAACAUGUGUCCCUAUAACCUAAUUCUGUUGUAGUGCAAAAAGCAGUCGAUUUGUAGAGAGGGCACAGGAGGGGUCGAAGCGUCAUCUAGGGGGCUAGCGGCAUCGUUUGGAAGACGAAACUGUUCGUUGAACCAAUUAAAUGGGAAGCGGCUGAAGCAACUAAAUGGGAAGGAGAUAACCAUCAGGAAGGAAGAACGACGGCGAACUCGGCCCAAAUUUCCGUCCAAGAGGGCACAUCAGGAGGCAGAGCGGCGUCUAGAGAGCAGUGCGACAUCGGGAGGCGGAGCGACGUCUAGAGGGUAGUGCGACAUCGGCAUGUAGAGGGGCGAGUAGAGGGGGCGAACGGUUGAAAAAAUUAAAUGGGAAAAAGAUAAGGAAAUUAAAAAAAAAAAAAACUAAGGUGGGCCCCACAAUAACUAAUUAAGCAUAGAAGGUUAAGAUGAUAGGUAGGGCCCACAAAAACAAAAUUAAGCUAAUGACGCCACGUGGACAAAAGGAAAUGGAGAUUCAUAAGAGUUUAUAGAAACUCAGGUGGGCCCCACAAUAACUAAUUAAGCAUAGAAGGUUAAGGUGACAGGUAGGGCCACAAAAACAAAAUUAAGCUAAUGACGCCACGUGGACAAAAGGAAAUGGGGAUUCAUAAGAGUUUAUAGAUAUCUAGAAAAAACAAAGUUAGCAUUUUUUUUUUUUUACACACUUGAAAAUAAAUAGAAACAAAGAUAACAUUUUUAUAAAUAAAUAUAAAUAAAAGUAUGUAGGUAAAAUAGGCACUUUAGGUCUCAAAAUUUUGUUUUUUAUAUUUUUUUUUCAAAAGUUUAAAUAGUUACUUAGUUUUUUUCUCUUUCUUUACGGAGUGUUUGGUACUUUAUUAUAAUGUAAUGUAAAAUUUUCUAAAACUUAUUCAAACAGCCAUCUCUGUAAUAAAUUUAGCAUGCCUGUAAAAAUAAUUCCGAUAAAAAUAACUCCAGAGGUAGCACAACAUAGAGUUUUUGACUAUCCAAAUAGCCCUAUAAGCGAAAAAGUUUUUGCCCUCUUUUAUUUUUCCAUUGAGCAUGUAAAAAUCCAUCUUUAUUUUUUUUAAAUGAUGAUCAUCACUUUUUUCCUACUAUUUUUCUGCUGGGGAUUUGAAGAUUUGGGCCCAUUUAGGAUUGGAUUUAUGUCGUGGCACAACCCAUAUUACAUCCCUACUCCUGAAGCCUUUUUUGCUUAUAGGUCUAUUUGGGUAGUCAAAAUGUGGCGCCCCAACUUUUUAGGGGGUCACCCAUCCUAGGGCUACUCCCGUAGUAUGCUUAACUCUCUUAAUCUCUUGGGUCUAGCCACCACCCAAAAUGUUUAAAUCGAGUUAAGAGUUUAGCCCUAUUAUAUCUUAUAUAUAGGACUAUCUGGGGUUUCAUAAUCUCCCUCCUUAAGCUUCUCGCUAGCCUAAAACGACCUUGUAGUGAGCUGCGCUCUAUCCACAAUAGUCAACAGCAUGAAAGCCUCGCUCUCCCCGCUGUAUAACCUAGCUCAACCGAGACUCAUCUCACACUUUCAAUUAGUAAUUGGCUCUUAUACCAACUGUGGAGUCCCAACUUCCUAGGAGAUGAAUUAUCCUAGGAUUAUUCCCGUCCUAGCACUCUUAACCUCUUGAGCCUAACCACCGCUCAAAAUGCUUAAGCCGGAUUAAGAGUUUACCCCUAUUAUAUCUUAUAUAUAGGACAAUCUGGGGUCUCACACAAAAACUCUGUAUUGCACUACCUCCGGAGUUGUGAAUUUACAAUUCUAUAAAAUAGGGGGAAAAACUAGUUGUUUUUCUAAUGGUGUAAAAAAUACUAUAUUUUAUCCAUACAGUAAAAAGAGAGUAAAAAAUUCUAUAGUAUUCAAGAUUUCAUGCCAAUCUAUUAUAACAAAAUAUAAAAAUCUGAUUUCAAUUCUUCCAAUAUCUAAUUUUAUAUGCAUUAAUAUUAAACUCUAUACUAAAGGAGAAAUCAAACACGUUUCGUCGUUAGCAAUGUCGCCUUCUUUCGCAUAGAUUUUUUAUGUGUAAGUUUUUUUUUUUCCUUUCUCUAUCGUGAUCAUAAAAUUUAAAUUAAUAUGAUAAAAAAUGUGUUCACGUGAGUUCACAGUGAGUUCACAUUUGUUCAAUUACUGUACCUCUCCAUCCUCUCUCUCUCUCUUUCUUUCAACUCAUCUUCAUCUCUAACUAACCCACCCCCUAUUUCAGCUUGAUUGAAGGAGGUAAUUAGGUAGUAGAGAUCUGGCCAAAAAAAAAAAGAGAAAAGGAGAGUAAAGGGAAGAAACCUAUCUACAUCUCUACCUGCCCCUCUCCCCUGUUUCGGCUUGAUAAUAGACAUCCGGCACACAAAAAGUAAAAAAAAAAAAAAAGGAAAAAAAAAAUCCUUGGCUCCUCUUCCUCCUGCCCUUUCUAAUUGACAAAUUUUUAAUAUAAAUUUUCAUUCCCUUUUCCUUUCUCCUAUUUUUCUCAUCUUUCCAUAUUUCUUAAGCGCAAAUAUUAUGGAAACUAGUGUUGAAUUCGCGCUUCACCGCGGACAGUUUUAACAUCAAUAUUUUAAUAUAAAUUUUAAUAUAUAAUAAUUAUAAAAAAUAAGAAAAAAUAAAAUUAAAUAUCAAUACAUAUAUAUGUAAGAAAAAGCAAAAGAAUAAUAGCCAAAAAUGAAUUACUAUGCAAAAAUAAGAUGGAAUAAAAACAAAAUAUGUAAUUAUGAACUAUGCAAAAUAUAUAUUUAGCUUGAUUGAUUACUAAGUAUUUUAAUACAUAUAUAAGUAUUUUGGAUUGAUAACAAACUAUGUAAUUUUUUUAUUUUUAAAGAAUAGUAGCCUUUUUUUUANAUUUUGGAUUGAUAACAAACUAUGUAAUUUUUUUAUUUUUAAAGAAUAGUAGCCUUUUUUUAUUUUAUUUUUUAAAUCUUUUUGUUUGUUUUUUUUUUUUUUUAGUGCUCUUCUUUUCUUUUUUCUACCUUCUCUUAACUUUUUUUUUAUGUGUGCAACCUGUGAAGUGUGUGCACCGGCUUGUUUUCCGGAAAAGUGAACAAAGGAAAAACGAAAAGAUUUAAAUAAAUAAAUAAGAAAGUGUAGGCGUUGGAAAUUUAUUAGGGAUGCAAUUUUUUUAUCUUUUUUUUAUUUUGUAUUUUUUUUUUACUAUAUAUUUCUUAACAAUGAGUAAAGAAAUAUAUAGUACAAUAGAUAACGGUUCUCAGAGAUAAAAAUGUUCAUGCUUUCCGGGUACCCACAGGUACCCGGUUAAUUACGCCAUUUUUAGUACAUGCAGACCACCUCCGAUUAAAAUGGUCAUAAAAAAAUACCCUCUUCUAAACAAUAAUAUUAAUAUAUUUUUUUUGUUAAACCGUAAUAAUAAUAAUAAUAAUAAUAAUAGUAUGUGCCAGGUGUGUAUUAUAUACAUUUAUUUAACACCUAUAUAUAUAUAUAUAUACACUAAUCUAUGAAUCCCCAAUAUUUUGCUGAUGUGGCGUGACCUCCUUCUCCCAAAACCUCUCCCUCCUCAUCUCCCAACCCCCAAGACCCCUCAUCUUUCAAAACCGCUCUCUCCUUAUCUCCCAACCCUCGAGACCCCUCCCCCUCCUUAAUAGAAUCAUUAAUUAGUAAAAUAAUACUUCAUAUUUAAUUAAGAGAUUAAUCAUCAUUAUUAAUCAAAUUGCUCAUAAACUGCUAUAAUACUAAGCACCUAAUUAAUUCAAUAAACUGUCGACCCAUACUUAUGUCUCAUAUGGGGCCACGCAAUUGAACCUAGAUAUACUAUAAGAAUAUGCCUGUAACAUUAAAAUUUUGCCAAUUAAAAGUAACAGUCAUUUAGAGCUCGUGGCUAUUAUUUAUCUAAUUAGUGUUCUUUAUUUUUAUUUGAAUAGGGAUUUGGAUUUAAUUGACUUCUUUUUAAAGCAUCCGAGAGAGCCCCUUUUUAAUUUUUGUAUGCAACGUGCAUAAAUUUGCAAUUACAAUUGCGUUUUACGAGUAGUUAUCUUGGUGUGCAUUAUGCAGGUGAACAUCACUCCUUAAUGCAGAUACAUAUUAUCUUCAUUGUGCCCGUGAGGAGAACCUCUUCUCCCUCGCCCGCCACCUCACUUCCCUCGCCGACCUCGUGUCGAUGCGCACCUAUUCUCUCCUUUGUCGCCCCUCUCCUCUUCUCCUUCCUCCUCAAUCGUCCUUUUACUGAUUUGUGUGCUCUUUUUCAGACUUUUGUUUGCCAAUUAGUUUAAUUUUUUUCGCUUUUAAUGCUCAUUUAAAUUUGUGCUUAUUUUAGCUUUGUCAUUGAGAUAAUAUAUGUCAUAAAAAUUAACUUGGUAUAAGUUUAUUGUAUAAACUUAUUACCAUUAGUAAUAGAUUUGUUUUUUUUUAAAUGCAAAUGACAUUGUAUUCAAAUGAUAUUGUUCUUUUGAGCAUUUUGUCAAAUAAGUGUUCCUUUUAGUGUAUUAAUUUUCUAACAAAUUUAUGAGAGUAGUGAUUAUUAUUUUGAUUUAAGUCGUGGAUAGAGGCUACAACUUCUAAUAAUAUUAUUUUUCAAUUUUUUUUGUUGUACAUUACUGUUCAUGAAUUAGUUAUUUGAGUUACACAAAAAUUGAUGGAGUAAAAUUAUCAAAAAAUUGAUUAAAUUAGCAUUUGCAUCAACAAACUAAACAUAGUAUAUAGAUUGUUGACUUAUAAAUAUAUGAAAAGUGGGCUUUACAAUUUAACGAUAGUUAAAAACUAACUAUUAUUAUUUUUAAAUUUAUUUGUAUGACUAUCAUAUAUUCCUUCAUACUUUUUCUUCUAUUUUUUUACAUUUCGUAUUAAUUCUCUGAUGGCACGACAAUUUAGAUGUCCAUAGACAAAUGCAAUAAUAAUUAGUUUUUAAGAAAAAUCUAAUUUGAAUUAGAAAAGAUGAUAGGAUAGAUAAAUAUCUUUAUAUGAUUAGUUAAAUGUGAAUUUGAGUAUCUUUAGUUUUUCUUUCAUUAUUUAUUAUCCUUCAUAAUAUUUUAAAUAUUUCUUCUAUUUUUUUUUAACGUUUUUAUUUGUUUGUUAAAUCUGUAGUCUGUAGAAUUUUACUAAAAUAUUUUUACCCGUCGCAUCGCGCGGGUCCCUACGCUAGUAUAUAUAUUAAUUAUGGAAGAUAAAAUAAAAUUAAUUAAAAAAAAAACUGUAAAUAAGUCUCAUUAUAAAAUAUUAUAAUACAAAAGAAAAUUAUGAGGUACACUUUAAAGUAAGCAAACAAAACACUCCACUCUUUUUUUUAUUUUCUUUCUUACUCCCGAAGCAACCAGGCUGGUUGAUAGGUGCGACCUCUAGUUGAGCAGCGACUCGAGUUGAGCGACCUCUAGUUGAGCAGCGACUCAAGUUGAGCGGCGACGUCGGCGAUGGCAACGGAUGCGGCUCAAGGGGUGUCAAGUGACUUGGGCGGUGGAUGCUGCGGACGGCGCCGGCUUGGGGCAGCUUCAAGCGGUGUUGGGCGACGUCGGCGGCGGGCACGGCAGCGGACGGCGUCGACUUGGGGUGGCUCCGAGCGGCGACGGCGGUGGGACGCUACUCGGGUGGCGUCAGCGGCGGACGACGUCGGUCUUGAGGCAGCUUCAGGCGACGUCGGCGGUGGCACGGCAGCAGCAGACAAAAUAAGGGGAGAAGCACAGUUCUUCUUCUUCCUUCAUCAUUUUUUUUUAUUAUUUUUUUAUUUUAUAUAUAUAUAUAUAUAUAUUUUAUGUGUGCAACCUAUGAAUUUUAGUGUGCGACUAUCUCCACUCGCACAGCCUAUUCCCUUGAUCCCCUCUGCACUAUAUCUUUUUCUUUUCUUUUUUUUGGGUUCCUUUUUAGUCCCUUUUUAUUUUUUUGGGUUCCUUUUCUAGUCCCUUUUUACAGUAUAUAACGUGAAUGUGGGCAAGUGGAAAACAUGGAUGUGGAUGCCUUUUUCCUGUGCGAUUCCUCCUUCUCGUCCGCCGAUUCUUUGUGCAACGCCCUGACCUCCUCCGCGAUGCCCGGAUCCUCCUCCUGCGAUGCCCCCGGCUCCUCCUCUCCGGUCGUGUGCGAUCCGCCACUCUGGCUUCCUUGUAUCAACUAUUUAUAGAGUUCCAAAGAGCCCAAAUCUGAUGAAGAUUUGCACAAGCUCUCUGGAAUCGUGCAAGAAUUUUUUGGAAAUAUGCAACUGUGCAAAAUUUUUUUGGAAAUAUGCAAUUGAUGAUGUGGGAUUUGUGAUCCCGGAUUUUGCGGAUUUGUUUGUGGGAUCGCAUUGGUCUGAUAGAGAGAGAAGGAAAGAGAGAAGAGAGAGAGAGAUUGCUGUCUCUCUACAGAAGGAAAAAUUCUAGAAUGCACGGGUGCAUUGGUGACGUGGCGUCACAAACCAAUCAAAUAUUUUCUUUUAGAGAUAUAUGUUUCAUUAUGAUUGUAAAAAAAUAUUUUUAUUGUACUUUUGUUUGAAAAGAAGAGAUGUGAUUUGUUUGUUAUUGAUAACGUGAUGCUAAGUGUGACAGUGUAGAAUUCCUGCUACAGAAGAGAGAAAAGAAAAAAAAAUGAAAGGACGUGGAGGCGUAAUAAUUAAAUUGUGUAUUUGAUAUCGACUAUUAAAAUUAUAAAUUUUGAAAUCCUUUGAUCAUUAGAUUAAUAAUGUCGAAAAGAUUUAAAAUUUAGUUUCUAGAUACUUUAAGUGAUAUAGAUCACGUUCAACGGUGUCGAUCGUUGAUUUGGAAGCUCCAUCAUUAAAAACAAAUGGAUGGCAACGAAGUCCAUUUGCUACCGAUAGUAUUCUAUCUCAACUUUAUAUAUCUAUACUAUAUAUAAAAGCACGUAUUUCAAAUUUCGGUCUGUCGACAGACUCAUUUUUUGGCGGAAAAAAAUUAAUUUUUCUUUUCUUAAGUAAAAUAAAUAACAGAAUUAAACAAACCUUAAUUCUUCUUUGUUUCUACAACAGAAAAAAAUUUAUGCUUAUCCAAUUUUUUUGCCUACCGGAGAAUAUCUCCUUAUCUCUCUCUCUCUCUCUCUCUCUCUCGCUCUCUCUCUCUCUUAUAUAUAUAUAUUAUCUCUAUUCUAUCUACUAAUAUUUUAUUACUAUAUUAACUGUUUAAUUUUGAUACUUUUAGUUUAAAAUAUUUAUUUAAAUUUUAAAUUUAUUAGAAUUAAAAAAUAUAUAAUGUAUAUCUAUAUUUAAUGUAUAUCUAUAUCUACACUAUAUAUAAAUUUAUCAGAAAAAUAUUUAAUAUAUAUCUAUAUUUAAUGUAUAUCUAUAUCUACACUAUAUGUAAAUUUAUCAAAAAAAUGUUUAAUGUAUAUCUAUAUCUACACUAUAUAUAAAUUUUAUAAAAAAACUAUAUAAUUAUUGUUGAUAAAAUAUGGAUGUAUUUUCUAGUGUAUAUAAUAAAUAUAUUUACUUUUAAAAAUUGUAAUUUUUUAAAUAAAUAUGAUAUACAAUUUCAUAUUAAUUUAAAAAUAAUUAUUAAAUAAUUAAUUAUUACGUGAUUUGUACGUAUAUUCAACUAGUGCAUAUAUAUAUAUAUAUAUAUAUAUAUAUAUAUAUAUAUAUAUUAUUAUAUAUAUAUAUAUAUAUAUAUAUAUAAUAUAUAUAUAUAAUAUAUAUAGUCCGGCUAAAUCCUUAGAUUUAUUCCAUUAAUUAUUUUCAUCCGUUAGAUCAUACUAUUUAACCAACUACCCACUCAACCCUAGGGGACCACUAUCAUUCUAAGUGGGGACCAUCAUCCUAACCACACAUCCCAUCAAUCAACGGUUAAAAAUUUAUGAGUACAAGGGGGUCUAUACUCAUAAGAGUAUAGUAGUCCCAGCCUAUAUAUAUAUAUAAAAUGGUGGCAACUAUAAACCCUAGCCGUACACCCCCUGGCCGCCACCCUUGGAGAACCCGACCUGUACGGGUCACCGGCGGCGGCGUGGCCGACUCGGGGCUCUCCCCCUUGAUCUCUCUCUAUUUCUCAUAUAGACCGUAAUCAUGGUACAAUAGCCUCCUCAAUCUUGCAAUCGAUUUUUAAUUUUUCGGAAGAAUUUAGUGGCAUAUCCAACUCCACACUAUAAUUUAAAAUUUUUAAAUAAAUAUAAAGCGUUGUGUACAAAGUCGAGGCAAUUUUAGAUGCCGAAAAUGACUGAUGAAACUAGAGUUGACACAAUGAGAGUAUGCAUAGGAGAGAAUAAGUUUGGGAUCAAAGUGAAAAAAAAAUAUAAUAUUAAGAAAAAAAAUGUGUGAUUAAUCCUAAUGAUUAAGGAUUUAAUUGCAUAAUAUAUGCAUAUUAAAAUAAAAAAUUUGACAUGAAUUAAAAUAAAAAAUUGGGAUAAAGAUGGAAACUAAUGGUGCAAUUAAUUAAUAAUUUAAAAUCAAGUUGGUUCAGUCCGUUCGAUCGUGAUCCAGUCAAAUAAAGCGGUUUGGUUCAUUCCUUUGAACAGGAUAAGUAAAAAAAAAAUUGUUUUGAACCCUUCAGACCGGCGGUUCACCAAUCGAAUUCGUGAACCAACCUAGUUUUAAUCAAGCCGACUGAGUUUUUUCGAUUAAGUCAUAUUAAAAUCAAACGACUUAAAAUCAACCCAACUUAUUUAAUUUUCAAUUAACAUUGAUUAGUCUUAUAGAAAGUAAACUUUGAAAUUUUAUAUCUACAUAAUUUAGUCAUCAGUAUGUUGUAAUUAAAUAUAAUAUUUAUAUUUAUAUAUUUCUAUUAUAUUAAAAAUAAAAAUAAUAAUUAUAUAUUUAUGAUGUCACGCUGACAUCAUUUCAACCCGUUACAACCAAUCUAUAAAUCUAUCUAUAAAUCUAUAAUCUAUAAUCUAUAAUCUAUAAAUUAUAAUGAAUUUUCAAUAACUUUGCCACGUGGCAAGCUAUCCUUCACUCUUGCAACCUCUCUUUUGAACCAAAUCGUUUUUCUGAACUGAACCACCCUUUUUCUUUGAACCGAAGAGGUCCUCUCCUCUCUCUUACCAUCCCAUUUUUGAACUGCCUUUGAACCGAACCGCUCUUCCUUUUUUUGAAUCGCCUUUGAACCGAACCAUCGCUCUCUCCUCUUCAUGUUUUUUUUGUAUGCUAUUCCAAAUUGAACCAUACCUCUGAACCGGAUAGCUAUAUUUCCCUCGAACGGUUCUCUCUUCUCCACGUUUUCGUAUAGCGUUUCCUCUCCCCUCCAUCCCGAGUGUCUCUCUCCUCUCUCCGCUGCGCGUUCCCUUUCCUCUCACCAUUUCAUACGAUAGAUACAUCAUUCCCUCUCCCCUCUCCACCGCAUACAAUGGAUCCGAUGAGAUGGAAGCAAAUCUCAUCAAAUCUGCCCUCUCUUCUCACCAUUUCGUAUGGUACAUCGUUUCCUCUCCCCUCUCCACCGCAUCGUCCCUCUCCCCUCUUUAUCGCAUACGAUGGAUCCGAUGAGAUGGAUCCGAAUCUCAUCAAAUCUACCACUCUGCCUACGGUUCAUCUUGCCUACUAUAUUAAUUUUUUUUUUCCUUAUAGAAGUAUGCUAUUGUCUUCUUUUCAGGAAUCCGAAGGUUUUUAGAUGAAACCUGCAGUGGCAAAAGGGGGUUUACAAGUUUUGCUGGCCAAUUUCGAUGAAUGGGUUUUUUAGGUAUCUCUUUAUCUCAUGCUUAAUUUGUGAAUUUGCAUAUUAUAUAUUUAAUGUAGUGAUGAGUUUUGUUGGUUGUUUGGCUAUAUAAUUUUUCGAAAUGCUUAGAUGGUUACUUUCGAAAACUUUUUAAUUCCUAAAAAUUUUGUAGCUUUUUAAUUCAUAAAAAUUUUGUUAGCUGGACAGAUUAUCAUGCUUGUAAGUCAUAUUUCAUUCUUUUCAAUGUUUGGUUAAUCAAAAUAAUAAUUUUAACGAUUGAAAUGAUCGGCUGUGUUAUUGUGGAAGCAUGAAAGCAUGGAAACGGAUUGAUUCUUAGCUUACUAAAUAAUCUAAAACAUUACAGUGGGAAGACACAAUAUAUUAAAAAGGCGUGAGACAAAGGCAUAGGAUUGAGCUCCUCAAAUGAUUCUUUCUUCCUUGAUCCAUCGAUUUGGAGUUAUUCAUGAUUUAUUAGAGGGUAAUAUCAGCCCGCUGAUAAAUAUGUACUAAAAAUAGUUUAUUGCUAAGUCGUAAUCUAAUUUAUUUGGGAUUUUCUAAGAUAUGAGCUUUAAAUAUGAUGAUAUUUGAUCCAAUAUCAGUUACUUCUCAGACAAUGUUAACAAAGAAAAACCACCUGGCUGGAACUGAAUAGAGAUAAUUCCACCAUCUUUACAUGCAAUCGAUGAAUGAGCCUUAGUAUAUAUCAGAUGCAUUUGGUGACACCUUUCAAGUAAGUGUUCUCAAUUUCUUUUUCUUUUUUUAGAGAAAUAAGUGCCCUCAAUUUCAUAUGUCAUUGAUGUGUAAUAAAAUAUCAUGUCACUUUGUAAUAGAAGUGCAAUAGAUAAUAACAUUACAUUGUGAGUUUUCAAUUGAUAAUUUUUGCUCUAAAGAAUUGCAGGAUUGGAUUGAAAAAAUGGCAGAAUAUGUAUAGUUGUGGGGGUGAGGAGGAUGAUCUGAAGCAUCCAAAUAUGCAUGCCAUACACAUACUACAGAGGGUCAAAUGGGCCCUGCCUCCUCUCCCCCAUUCCUAUGCCAUUAACUGUAAUUUACCACACAAACUCUUUGAAUUUUGCUCUUUUACUCCCAAAUCCUGCGAUUACCUUGGUUGUAAUCUCUAGAUUAAAAAAAACAAAGAGAAAAAAAUGGGUCUCUUUUUGCAUAUUUACCCUUGAGAAAUACAUCAAAUACUAAUUUUUCAGGUUUGUCCCUACAAUUACACAUGUUGACAAGGGUAUUUAUGCAAAGAAAGGAAAAAGAAAACGCAAAAACUAUCCAAAUUGGUUUAUUUGAGUAGUGCCUACGUAGUAUUUGAGAGAAUGACUAGGAAAGAUAGGAGGAGACUAUAUUACACUCCUGGUCCUCAAACUAUAAGUUGCACAACACUUUGGUCUUCAAACUUAAGUAUAUGAUGAUGGUAGUAUUGAGGCCAUUUUACAUCUAUCUGUAAAUUCAUGAAGAAGAUGGAUGAUGUAAAAUUACUAAUUUGUAGAUACUAAUGUUUAUUGCAUAUUAAAAUAAUUAGAGAAUGCUGUGAACCAUGAAAAUUGUGUAAGAUUGUAGACAUAUCACGUACCUCUGAAAUAACGACUGUACAAUGAAGGAAAAUACCGUGGAAUUAAAAAUAUUCACACUACAUGAAGUCUAAAGUUUAAUCAGACUGAAAUUAAAUGUUUUAUACCCUGUUUUUCAGUUUUCAGGCAGAGAGACUUUCUGGAUUCUAUGAAGUAUGCAAAGGUGUUUAUAUCGGACGUGAAGAAAUAUUGUUGAAAAUUGAAUAGGUUUGACUUCAAAGCUAUGACUUCAUUUCUAUUUUAUGCAAUCAUCAUCAUCAUCAUUAGUAGUAGUAGUUAUUGUUGUUGUUAUUUACUUGGUGCUGGUUAUUGUGCUCCAACUCUAAAGAUGACAUCAUAAAUUUUCAAUUUAAUUUUAAAAAAUGUAGCCCCCAAAACCAUUUCUUAUGGCUAUAGUUUGAAAAUUAGAUCUUUGACAGUCCGUAAAAAUCAGGUUUGAAAAUUAGAUCUUUUAUUGACAUGAAGAAGUAAAUGAAUAGAAUUCCUCAGUUUGGGCAUUUUUUCAAAAUGCUUAGAUGGUUAUUUUCGAAAGCUUUUUAAUUCAUAAAAUUUUUGUAGCUUUUUAAUUCAUAAAAAUUUUGUUAGCUGNAAAUAAUUACUUUGAUUAACCAAACAUUAAAAAGAAUGAAAUAUGACUUAAAAGUAUGGUUAUUUUCGAAAGCUUUUUAAUUCAUAAAAUUUUUGUAGCUUUUUAAUUCAUAAAAAUUUUGUUAGCUGAACAAAUUACCAUACUUUUAAGUCAUAUUUCAUUCUUUUUAAUGUUUGGUUAAUCAAAGUAAUUAUUAUGACGAUUGAAGGCGCUCGACAGUGUUAUUUUAUAUAUAUUACAUGAUCUUUCAGUUCACUUUUAUUUCUAAAAUCGUCUACCUUUUUUGUAAGAUGCAUGCCAUUGUUGCGGCCCCUGUGGACCUCUAAUUAUCAUGCGAAGAUGAUGAGCUCGAUUUAUAAUCUUAUACAGGAAAGCAAAAUGUUGAAUUUUUGGCUGCUAUCAUUUAUUCCACUUUAUUAUUUUCACACUGUUGUGAUUUAUUUAGAGUUCUGAAGUAACAGUAUGUAAUUCUCAAUUUUCUUUAAUUGCUCUUCAAUUUGUAAAAAUGAUGACUUUCGGGAGUAAAUUGUGGUUUUUGGGUAAAGUGUUCCUUCAAUAUAGGAUUACUAAAAGUGCUUGAGUUUCAAGAAUGCUGCUUUUUUUGGGGUCAAUUUUUGUUGUUAUAAAUGUCAGGUAGUGAUUUUAUUUCUUUUUGAUGCAUCCAAAUUAGCGAUUGAUGAAAUUUUGUGCAAAAUUUUCCAUUGAAAAGAAAUUGCAUGAGACCAAACUCAUUUACGAAGGUUGAUUAGUCAAACUAAUUCACAUUUCUGAUUUCUUUUUCUCAAGAUUUUGGUUGGUUCAUCAAAAGAUUAUCUUUUGAACCAUCAAGUCCCCUACUUUGUUCUUUUCAACAACUCCCAUUAGCGGAGCCGUAGCCAAUGAUGGGAAGGGUAGUUUGACAUUAAUCUUUCUAAGUCGAUUGAUAAAUUUGAAUACUUUCACACUUUAUUCCUAAUGUUGAUUGAUAAGAAUAUAGCUUAUUUUGUAUGAUAUAGUGUCGCCAGUUUUUGCAAAAUUUUCAACAGAUAUCACAAUUUGACUUCACAUAUUUUGAGCAAAAACACAUUCCAUCCCUAUUCCCUACUAAAGUUGAUCAUGUUUUAGGAGGCCUUAAACCAUUCUUUUUUUCUUUUUUAACUUUAAUUUUCUUUUAAUUGACACCUCUGUAGCUUUCAAUUAUCUUAUUUAAUUUUUUUAUUAUGAAUUAAUUUAAAGUUUUUGUUAAAUUUUAUGUUCAAUUAGUUAUAAACCCACAUAGCCGGCUGCUUCUUUACUUACCUCUGCUCUCUGCCAACCUUUGUAAGUUCUACUCCAUCUCUGUCUACUUUUGUGCACUUUGUUUAUUUGUAUACAUCUAUAAAGUGGUUCUAUACUUUGGUCGAUUAUGGAAAUUAAUUUAUAAUGUAGUUUUUUUUUAUCGCAUAUAGUUACGAUAAACAUUAUUCGAAAUUUUAAUUUGGAAUUCUUAAUUGACACAACAUUAAUUUUUCAGAUUAAUACAUAUAAUAGUGAUCUACAGUGCAAUGCUCCAGUGUAAAGCCUUUUCUAUUCUUUAUCUAUAGAAUGCAGAGUGAAGUUCUCAUGUGGCAUGUUUUUCAUUUUUAAGAGAUAGCUCUGUAUGUUAAUUUUUGUCCAAAUUCCUAUGCUUUGGAAUGCUCUCACCAUUUAUUUGUAUACAUUCAUGUUUUCCCAUGCAAUUUCUAUGCUUAAUAAGGUCGAGUUAAGUUCUUUGAUUUUGCUUAGAGUUCGAUACAUAUAUGUAUCUAGAUACUAUGAAACUUUGGAAGAAGAGGAUGCAAAAGCUAUCAAAUUAGUGCACAAAAUGUCAGAGUAUCAAAAAAGUACAAAGAUGCAAAAAAUAAUCCACAAAGACACAGAGGAAGAAGACAAAAUGGAGUGGAGUUCGAGUAGUUUCUUCCUUUUCCUUGAGUUGGCAUGUUGCACUUUUUCAAAUUAUUACUCUGAUUGCCGUUAAGAAUUCUUUGUUUCUAGCUAUUCAGUUAGGUCUUCUUCCCACUUUUUGAAGUUUGAAUUAUGCACUGGUGUGCACUUUUUUCAAGUCUCUUUGGUUUGUAAUGUGCUUGAUUAUUUCUCCAACUAAUUAAUUUUUUGUUUUACCCUUGAACUUCAAUUCUCAAUUAUUUACACUAAGUGCUCAAGCUAUUAAUUUGAUUUAAGUGCAAUUAUAACCAUGUAGGUUCCAACCGUGUUUAACUGUUCAUCGAGUAGGUAGUUCAUCCACUAUGUAACCUUGCGCAACAUUCAUCAUGUGCUGUUUGAAGUCUAAAUUUUAUUUGCUCACUUGGUCAAAAAGUUUUCCUAGAAGGCAUUGAAAAUUUGUUUAAGAAUAUGUGAUUUUCAAAGUGGCAUUCUAUGUUUAAGAGCUCACCGAGGAAGGAUUAGCAACACUUUAGGUUGCUGAUUUUCAAUUCUCUUUUAAAGCAUAUAAAUUAGUGAGCUUUUCGUUUCUUUAUGAUCUUAUUGACAGGUUCUAAUUGAGACAAAAAUUUUGAUGCCUUUUGAUAAAGGGCACUCUUUUCCAUUCUUUUUGAAGGGUCCUCUUCUCAUACUAAUAAUUGGUUUAUUAAUACAAAAUACUCAUGAAAAUUUUUUGUUAGCAAAAUUAAAUCUAAUUUUGACAAUAUGCUACACUGAGAGAAGGUUUGAAUGAGUUCACGUAGAAAAUAUUUGCUUAGAUGCAGUUUCAAAUAAGAAUAUUUGCUGAAUAUUGCAAAAUGGUUUUAAAGACUAUUUAAGAUCACCUUUCUUUCCUCUUUAUUUGGAUGCUUUAAAUAUAUAGUUCUAUAUGUAAUUGUUGGUAAUGCUUAAAACCUGUUAGAUGUCAUUUGGGCUCUGCAUCUCCCCAGUUGAUUGGACCAUGUAAUUCAUUUACUUAUAUUGAGUUUCUUGGCAGUCAUAUAUAUUGCUUAAUUAGGCAAUGUAAUAUAGUGAAUGCAAUUUUGAGUGCACUAUACAAGGAAACAAAAAAAAUGAGAAGUUUAUAGUAUUUUAAUUGCAAGUAAUUUUGUUAAGAAUCUAGCUACUCUGCUAGGUAUAUGCUUGGAAAAGAGGGGGGUAUGAGAGCCUUAGAUUCGGAGAUGACAAGAGUAGUAAAAUGGUUCUUUAGAAGGUUCAGCUCUUAGUUGGAGAAACCAAAUACAAUAUUACAAAAGUAAAAUUAUUCUUUAUAUUGGAUAAUAGAGAGAUCAUAUGAAAAUUUCUUGAAUUUUUCAUUGUUAAGUUAUCUAAGAAAAGUUGAACUUACUAAUUUAAACAUCUAUAUAUAGGACAUUCAUUCCAUCGCAUGCAGAAUAUUUUUUUUAGGUAUUAUGUUUAUCUAGCAAGCUGUUAAACAAGCUAAACUUAUGUCAGUUUGGUUGUCAACAUUAAACUGUGUGUGUUAAGCCUUUUGACUAGGAUUUUUAUGUCUAUUAGCUUAUUUUGAGGUUGAUGAGAGUAAUAGUUGAAAUUCUUCCUUUUUUUGUUUGUCAUUUGCAAUUUUGUGAAAUUUUGUUCAUAUUUGAUGAAUUUUUUAUAUAAAUUAUUGUUUUUUUGCCUGAAUCUAAAGAAAAUCUUACUUGCUCCCAACAAAUAUUUGUAGAUUAUACUGUCAUUUUCAUCAUAAACUAUCUAAUUUCGUUUUUUCUAUAGAAUCAACCCGCCGCAACGCGCGGGUAUCUUCACUAGUUAUUAUCUAUGAUACAGUAAAAUUUUUGCGCCGCUUGUUUGACCGAGUUCUAGAACAUCGUUGAAAUUAAUCCAGCAGUAAGUUUCAGAGGACUGUACGGAACCCGAUUCCCAACCGUUGGACGGACGAGAUCUUCCAAACUCGUCGAACAAUUCGAGCCGACAAUGUGGACGGUCAAGAUCGCCGAGUUAUCUCUCCGCUCCACCACUCUCACCGACCUUCCGGAUGAUGUCGUCGGCCCCGGUGCGGUUCUCCGCCCACUGGAUCUCGUCACCGCAGGUGAGGUUAAGAAACCCCUCACCAUCUUCGAUAGUUGCGCCUCGUCUCCUAUCUCUUCCUCCUCCUCCUCCGCUCUGAAACGAAAUCAUCAACCAAGUUUAGUUUCAGCCUAACAAUGGCGCGUCUCCCCCGAGCUUCACCUCUAGGGUUUCGCCAUGCGGCAGAGCACGUCGGAGAGUUUCCUCUUUGUGCUCGUUUGUAGCCCCCAUGUGCUGCUCCAAGAAUGGUCAUGGUGAGGUGAGAUUGAUUUAAUCCUUUCCAUCCUGAUUGGUUCCUGGGCUUAAUUAGAAUUAGGUCAUCCUCGGGUGCUUAUUUUGCGGAUUUGUACAUUAUAUGUGAUGCGCUCUGGCUAAUUCUCGCUAUUUUGUGCUUUGCAAUGAAGUAAUAAGAUAGUAUGUUCCAAUGGAGCAGAUCCGUAUCAGUAGUUAUACCUUCAUUCAGAUAUAAAUAAACUAUGUUUAGAUUGUGCAAAAAUAUUUGCCGAGCGAUGAUCAUGAAUAAAAUGAUCAAGGAAAUUCUUGAAUUGUAGAUUUGUGUUGGUGUGUUGACCUGUUUUUCGGGAUAAAUGGUGGUAUAAUGUUAAUAAAGUAGCGGAUUAAGUUGUCUGUGUAUUUUCUCCGAUUUUGGGCGACUGUAAUUAGAUUAUAUAUAUAUAUAUAUAUAUAUAUAUAUAGGGUCCGGCUACUAUACUAUUAUAAGUACGAUUGCCCUCGUACUCAUAAGUUAUUUUCGAUGAUAGAGCUUCCGAAUUGAUAAUCCACACCGUUAAACGUGUGUGUAUAUAUAUAUAUAUAUAUAUAUAUAUAUAUAUAUAUAUAGGGUCUGGCUAUCAUACUAUUAUAAGUACGAUCGCCCUCGUACUGAUAAGUUGUUUUCGAUGAUAGAGCUUCUGAAUUGAUAAUCAACACCGUUAAACGUUAUUUACAACAUUUAAAACUUCUAGAAAUCAAAUUUAUUAUUUUUUGACAUCAUUUAUCUUACGAUCAAGAGGUCACAAAUUUGACAAUUUUUAACGGCCGGUAUGGGAUACUUGCUAGUUUAACGGUGUAAAAGAAUCGAAAUUUGUUGAAUUUUUUAUAGAAAAUUUUAUCCACUAUAUUGAUAAAGAUCAAUAACUCUUAUCUUGAAUUAAAGGAUCCGAUCAUCCAUUUUUAAGAUGUCGUUCGAUUUUGACCAUUCAUUUUAUAUCCGCUUGAUAAACUUUAUUAUGAUUUUGAGAAAUUACGAAAUUUAUUUUCUAGAAGUUUGAAAUGCUCUAGAUCAUAUUUAAUGGAGUGGAUCGUCGAUUCGGAAGCUCCAUCAUUGAAAACAACUUAUGAGUACGAGGGCUCCAAUACUCAAAAUAGUAUAGUAGCCAUGGCCUACAUAUAUAUAUAUAUAUAUAUAUAUAUAUAUAUAUAUAUAUAUAUAUAUAUAUAUAGGUUAGGUUAUGAGUAUAGAGCAUUUCGUACUCAUAAGUUGUUUUCAAUGACGGAGCUUCCAAAUCGAUGAUCCACUCUAUUAAAUAUGAUCUAGAGUAUUGGAAACUUCUGAAAAAUAAAUUUCAUAAUUUUUCGAAAUUAUAAGAAAGUUCAUCAAGCAAGUAUAAAAUGAAUGGUCAAAAUCGAAAGACGUCUUAAAUAUGGAUGAUUGGAUUCUUCAAUUUAAGAUUGGAGUUAUUGAUUUUUAUCUAUGUAGUGAAUAGAAUUUUCUGUCAAAAAUUCAACUGAUUUCGAUUCUUUUACACCGUUAAACUAGCAAAUUUCUCAUACCGGCCGUUAAAAUUUGUCAAUUUUGUGAGCUUUUGAUCAUAAGGUAAAUGAUGUCGAAAAAUUAUAAAAUUUGAUUUCUAAACGUUUUAAAUACUCUAGAUAACGUUUAACCAUGUGGAUUGUCGAUUCGGAAGUCCUAUCAUCGAAAACAACUUAUGAGUACGAGGGCGAUCGUACUCAUAAGAGUAUAGUAGCCGGACUAUAUAUAUAUAUAUAUAUAUAGUUGAGCUAGAAUACUCUCAAAAGUACUAUAAAGGUGAUGUUUUUGAGUUUUUAGCCAUUGGAUGGAGAGAUGUGAGGUUGAGAUAAUGGUGGUAGGUGGUGGUAGAUGGAAUAGUGUUUGAUCCAAAGGCUAUUACUAAUCAAAGAGUAGAUACAAGGACUAAAAACUUAGAAGCACCAAAGAGGUGGUGCUCCCAAAAGUAUUCUAGCUCAAUUCUAUAUACAAUUGUAUUAGGAUUCCUACUCCUUACUAAAUCAUAUUUACUAGUGCAGUAACCCGCGCGUUGCGGCGGGUAGAUACUAUUAAAAUAAAUUUAAUAUUUAAUCAAUAUAUCAAAAAAUUGUUAUUAUUUUAAAAAUCAAAAUAGUCCAAACAUAUUGGCUUCUUACAAAAAUAUAUUAAUUUGCUGAAGUCGAUUAAUAACAAAAUGCUCAAGAUAAUAAGUAUGUUAACCUAUUGAGCCGAAAGGCGACAAACUAUUUGAUAGAGAUUUAGAUAAAAAAUUCAAUAAAAAUUAACAUUUUAUAAAUCAAAUCAAAACAAUUAAAGGGUUAAAUAUUUUUUUUUUAUAAGUUAUAUAUUUAUCUCUUCAUUUUCUAUAUAAGUUAUGAUACUUCAAGAAAAUGAAAAACUUUUUAGAUCAUAUAUCAAUGUAAUUUUGUAAAUAUUCUUAUAUUAGUUAAUAAAAAGAAUCAUGAAAGUAGAAAAAAAGUAAGUAUAUGAAAAGUUAUAUAAUAAAUAUUUAAUAGACAAAAAGAUAUACAACCUAAUAUAGCCUAAUAUAGCAAAUAUAAUACAUAAUUUUACUUUCAAAAAAAAAUAUAAAAAACAAAGGAUAGAAAAAGAAAAAAUAAUAAAUAUUCAAUACGACAAACACAUCAGUUCGAAUACCAUACAAAUAAAAAAAACUUGAAAAAACUGAAUAAAAUUAUCUAAGAAAUUUCAACACUACAAUAUAAAGAAUAUAUAUAUCUUUUUAAAAAACUUAUGAAAUUUGGAGGAAGGCUCCAUUUGAUGAAGAUGGCAGCGCCAAGCUUGGCAAUGCAGCGUGCAAACUCAUAUUUCAUCCACAGAACGUGCUCGAUCUUGGCCUCGAAACUCAUGGAGGAGGAAGAGAAAGUAGAGAAGGAGAGAAGCGGGCUUUUUGGCCUCGGAAUUCAUGGAGGAGGAAGAGAAAGUAGAGAAGGAGAGAAGGGAGCUUUUUGUGGAUUUUUAUGAUUUACGAUUUAGAUUAGGGUUAAAAAUGAGUGGACCAUUAAUUAAACGUUAUGUGUGGAGGGAAGGCGAAGGGUUGGAUUAAGGUGGGUGGACUAUUAAUUAGACAUUAUGGAUGGAGGGAAUGAGAAAGGUUCGGUUAAGGUGGGUGAACUAUUAAUUAGACGUUAUGGAUGGAGGGAAGGUGAAGAAUUGGUUUCGUAAUGUGAAACCUAAAAGUAAAAAAAAUAUUGCCACGUGGUACUUGGGAAUAAUGUAUAGGUAUUGAUGUCAACUAACUUUAAAUAUUAGGAUACUUUCUUCUAGUACAAUUGUUAGGAUUCCUACUCCUUAUUAAAUCAUAUUUAUGUCAACUAACUUUUGAUAAUUUUGACCUAACAGCGUGUAAUUGUAUAUUUAUGGUAAAAGUGUACACUGAACUGUUGGCCUCCUUAACAUUUUUUUUAUAUUUUUUAAGUUGAGUUUUUAUACUUAGUUUCAAAUUUUCUGGAUCUAUUGUUAUUAACUAUUAAUUGGUACACUUUUAUUUACUAAAAAAAUUAGAAUUAUUAAAUUUGAUGAAAUCAUUAAUCAAAAAAAUAAUUUUUUUAUUUUUUUUUUGUGAUAAAGAAUUUAGUAUUUUUUUUUAUGUGUUGAUGAAAAAUUUCUUCUUUAAAUAAAAAUUGUGUUUUUUUUUUGUUUUUUUUAUUUUUUUUCUUUCAAAAGUAGGUUGAUUAAAAUUUUCUUAAUUUUAAAUUUAUUUUUUAUUUCUUUUUUCUUUUGAUUGUUAAAAUUUUUCUAUUAUUUUUUAAGAUACGGUUGAAAUCAUAAUCUAGCAUUUGUUAAUUUUAUCUAACAAUCUACUAAUAUCUACUAAUUAAGUUUUACCGACCGUCCCUAGAGUAAGUGCCAAAAGGAUUUGGUAGUUGGUAUCCGAGCUCUUAAGUUCGAGUCCUAGUUGAUUCACAUUUUCAGCUAAAUUUAUUUCUAAAUGAAAUAAGCGAAACGGGUAGCGUAUUAUCUAUCUCUCAAAAAAAAAAAGUUUUAUGGCUUUUGUCUCACCGGGCUUAAUGACAUUUCUUUAUAUUGGGCAUACAAUAUUACUGAAAAUUUUAAAUUGUCAAUUUUUUCAAAAGUUUUCAUGCAUUUAAUAACCUAUAUGACACAAGUUAUGAAAAAUAUGGAUACAUAAAUGCAUAAAUCGUACAUACAUGAAUCAUGCAUGCAUGCGUGUCGCACUUUUUUAUAUGGCAUAGGGUUGGAAAAAUAUGCGUACGUAAAUACAUAAAUCGUACACACAUGAAUGAGGCGUGCCAUCUCUAUCCGAAGAAGAUCAAAUUAUUUACACUUAAAAAUUUAACAGUCAUGCGUUUAAGUGUUCAUGUAGCACAUUUAGAAUCGUAAAUGAUGCUUUGAUGUAUAGUCGCAGAAAGAAUCUAAUAAUAAACUCAAAUUAAAUCAAAAAUAAAGUACCGGUACUAGUUUGCCAUAAUAUUGUUCAUGUAAUUGCAAUGUUCGCUGGUAUAAGAUGAAAAUUUUAGUGUUCAUGCAUAUGGUUCAAAACAUGUUAUAUGCAUGAAACUUUUAACAGUACAUCAACGCUCUAUAAAAAAAAGUUAAUUGCCGUAAACUAUUCACCGCUUCUUAAAAGUAACAAAUCAUUAACUGCUUUUACAUAACUUAUAAGUUUAUCACAUUCGAUUCCAAAAAUUGUAUAUUAUUAAACUCUAAAAAUAAUUUUAAUAUUUUAAAAAACGUAGUAAAUGAUCUAUUAUAUUUUAAAAGUAGUAAUUCAUUUACCGCAAUAUAGAUAAAUAUUUUACUAAACUAUUUUUAUAAUUGUAAUAUAUUUUAUUUCUAUUAACAACAGAAAAUUUUCUUUGCUAGCCUAUUUAAUUAUAAUUAUACAACAUAAAAAUAAAAUAAUAGAAUAAUAUAAUAUUAGAAUAUUAACCACUUUUGCUAUCAUAACAUUGUUUUUAUCUAAGUAAUUUUUAUUGUAUAUUUUAUAUAAAUAUUUGUGGAAACAUGCACUGAAUAUUGCUAGUGUUUUAAAACUUGGAAUCAUUCACGCUUCAGAAAUAUUACAAAGUUAUAAUUCAUUACUUCAAAAGCUACCUCCAUUCUCCUCCGUGCGCCUUCAUCUCCGGCCUUCGUCGAGGGCUCCCUCCAUUCUCCUCUGUCAAGAACGCCUCCAUCUCCAGCACUCGUGUACUAGUCUCCUCCGAGAAAGACAUGCUCCAAGAUAUGAGUUUGGUGAGCUACAAGUGUAUACACUACUGGAGAGCCAACUUUGACGGUCAACGAGAAGUAAGGGCAGCAAUAGAAGUAGCAGGGCAACGGCAAAGGUUCCUGCGAUGAAGAAAACAAAUAAAGAUAUCGGUGACUAUAACCCCACCUGCUUUCUUUUUUAACUUUUGCAGCCACUUUUCCUUUUUCUUUUUUUUCUUUUGUUUUCAUUUUCUAAAUAAUUGGCUGACUUGGUAUUGAGAGUAGUAUUGAGCAUUUUUCCUUUUUCAUUUCUUUCUUUUGUUUUCAUUCUCUUCAUUUCUUUCUUUUGUUUUCAUUCUCUAAAUAAUUGGCUGACUUGGUAUUGAGAGUAGUAUUGAGCGUAGGGGAAGGAUUUCUAAACUUGCAUUCUUUCUUGGGAUGAAUCUAAUGAUUCUUUGAAUGUUAUGAUAAAUACACGUAUCAUAAUUUCUUGAAUUUUUUUAAUGUUCGUAAAUGAAUCGUGUUUCCAAUAUUAAUUAGUUAUUAAUGUUUUUAACAAAUUUCAAAUCUAAGGAGAGAUGUAGAUGAAAAAUCAAAAAUAUAUUUAUAAGUAUUUAAUUUGCAGAGUGUUAGGAUUUGAUUAAAUUUGUAAAUUAAUUCUAGUUGGAUAAGAAUUAAUAUUUAAAUCUAUUGGAGAUAAAUUAAGAUUUAGAUAUUACUUAGAGUAUAAAUCUAACUAGAUUAGGAUAAAUGUUUAAAUCUAUUGGAGUAAUCCUAAAUAUACUAGGAUUUGGGUACGGUUUAUUGUAAGCAUUAUAUAAGCACUAUGUGGGGUGCUUUUGGAGAGAGAGUACGGCCAAAAAGUUGAAACUCUUUGGUGGGUUGUAUGAGAGAGAGAGUUGGCCAGUUGCAUGCACCUAGUGCAUGGGUGCAUAGGUGCAUGUGAGAGAGAAAAGGAGUUGUCUUUUAGAUUUAUAAAAGACGAGAGAAGGGUAGGAGAUAUUCAGAAAGACGGCUCGGGUUAUAGCUUCUCUAUUGCAGAAGAGGAGUCGGGUGUAAUCUUCUCUUAUUUAAUGAAUCUUAUUUUAUUCGCAUAUUUUCUGUUUUGAUUUUUUUUCUCUCUUUUGUGAUUGUUCAGUUUUUACUGAGGAGACCGGUUUAUGGUAAAAAUUCGAUUUGACUCUUCCGUUGCGGAAUCCCAACAAUCGAUACCGGAUCCACGGCAGUUGGUAUCGGAGCGGGUUGCAGAUCACAAGAUUCGGUACCGGAGCGGGUUGCAGAUUCACAAGAUCCGGUACCGGAGCGAGUACUGGAUUCCCAAUAAUUGGUAUCAGAGCGAAGGUUACCGAUCAGCGGGAGAGAUCGACAGUGAUGGCCACGAAAUUCGAAAUCGAGAAGUUCGACGACAAAAACAAUUUUGGAUUAUGGCAGAUUAAAGUACGGACAAUCCUCGUACAACAAGAUUAGAUGAGACGUUGAACAGAAAGAAGGCGAAGCGGCGAAGGUCACGGAUGCGGCAUGGACGAAGAUGGAGCGGAAGGCGCUGAGUACGCUUUAUCUAUUAUUAGCAGAUGAGAUUCUUUACAACGUAGCCAGCGAGACAACACCAGCGAAGUUGUGGAAGAAACUUGAAGAUCUGUAUAUGACCAAAUCCCUGACGAACAGGUUGUAUCUGAAGCAGCGACUGUUCACGCUGCGGAUGCAGGAAGCGGCGAGCCUUCAUGAGCAUCUUAAUGAGUUCAACAAAGUGGUGGCCCAGUUGACCAGCAUCGGAGUCAAUCUGGAUGAUGAAGAUAAGGCGCCGAUUUUAUUAUCUUCGCUACCGGGGCAAAUGAGCAUCUAGUGACCACGUUACUUUAUGGCAAGGAGACCAUAAGCGUGGAGGCGGUCACGACGGUGCUUUUCUCGAAUGAGAUGCGGAAGAUGACUCAGGAGUCUAGCACGAAUCCAAACUCGAUCCCGACAACCUCCCCAGCCCGAAUUGAUUUCCCCCCUCAAAGUUGAGCGCGCUCUCUUCGUCUCUCCAUAUAAACAUCCCUCGCUUCAUUCCCUUGCUGGUCAACCUCUCUUAGAUUCAUUAAUCCCUCACCCCUCCCCUCUCUUUUGUCCCUCGCCCGUGCGACGCUCCCUUCGGUGCUCCGGUUAUUGUUCUGAGUCUCGCCAACAAAAUCCGCUUCCUCUCCUCCUACUCUGCUGUAAUGGCAUUGUACCCUUGCCCACAUUGUGGUAGCACGGCCUCCAAACGAUUCUCUGAAUUCAUUUGGCAUGUGGAAUGCUGCGAAAGUGCCAUCAAGAAUGGUGCUGGAGAGCAGAGACACUCGAAUGAGGCGAAGAAGACAAAGAAGGGUGGCGGUGAUGAUAGAGGUCGCAGCAACAGCAAUGGCGUUGGUGGCGAUCGUGUUGGUGGCCUCAAAGAAUAAGAGAUAAGCGUCAUGUUCAAAGCAAUGAACCCCGGCUCUUUCUUUAAAAAUUUCUUUCGUUCUCGUGAAACUUUCCACUCCAACGCUCUGUUUUGUUUUCCUCUUUUCCUUUUUCUGUCUCUUUUAAAGGGGAAAAAUGGGCUACAUGUAUGCGCUGAGUGGAGAAUGGGCUUUGUAAUCGUUUCCGAAAUGCUUUGGGAUGAAAGAAUCUAAUUUAGAAUGAAUAGAGUUCAAAUUUUAUUUAAAUUAUUCAUAAAUCAAUCAACGAAUUAAUAAAUUUUAUGAGUUUUUUUAAAAGAUUUUGAUUGAUGAUAUAUUAUAAUUAAAUGGGCUACAUGUAUGCGCUGAGUGGAGAAUGGGUUUUGUGAUCGUUUCCGAAAUGCUUUGUGAUGAAAGAAUCUAAAUGCUCCGUAAUCAAAGAAUCUUUCUGGGCAAACAAUGAUUGCCUAAUGCACCUUAGGUAGCAUAUUUAUUCUUUUUUAAAAAAAAUUAUCUAAUAGUAGAAGACAAAGUGGCUUGUUUGUUUUAUUCCUUGUAGAUGCAUGACUAGAUUUAAUACAAAGCUAAUCUUAUCCAUUUGAUUGUACUAUUACCUGAUUGUGCAUAAAGUACUUUGUGAUUAUUGGGAUAGAAAAGGGAUUAUUUGUAGAAACUAAAAGUCGAAAUCUGAAAGCCAGGAUCAAUUCAAUAGUUCUUGAUCUGAUGCAGCUUCAAUUCAGAGGACCAUGUGAUGAUGAUUAUUCAGCACAAUUACUACUAAAAAGGUUUGUGGACCUUAUCAUGGUUUAUUCGAUUCGAAUGUAUGAUAAAACAAAAAGAUAGUGAUUUGUGUGUGCAUGUUAUUAAGGGACCAUUUUGUGUGGACAGAGAUAGGAUUGAGAGAAGUAUAAGUUGAAUACAUCUAAUUGAAGCAGCAUUAAUGGAUUCUCUGUUUAAAUCUCUUUCAUGUAGUUUCGCACUAAAGGCAUAAAUAAUAGUUUUUCAUUGCAGAUAUUAUUUUGCACUUGUUACUUAUGUCGGAAGCCGCAAUUUUUCUUUUUAUCUCAAAUAAAUGACUUCUGAAUUUUGAGCAGCGAAUAUUUUUGAAGAACUAUGCCAUAGACUCAAAGAGGCAGUUAAUAUGCAUCGGUGCAUUUUUUUAAUUUCUUCCGCUUAAUGAGUAUUAGUAGAUAGAAUAGAAUAUAUCAUAGUUUUGACAAUUAUUUAUUUUGUUAACAAUUCAUUAAAUUAGAAAUUCAAGAGGACAAAUUAUUUGUGUAUCUAAGUAUGAAAAAAAUACUACAAUGCUGGUCCUGCCUGAAAAAAAAAACUCCAAGGCGUCGGGUCAGGAGGCACGGUGCUGCAGCUAGCACCAAUGCCGGUCCGGCCUGGCCUGAGCUUCCGGGUCACGUUGUGACUCCCUGUUUAGGCCCAAUGCCCGGGCACAACCCGGCUGGAAACCCGCUUGGGCCAUGUCAGCCGGUCCAGCUUGCUCUACACCCAAGGAGCUCUCACUCCCACUCCCACCGUCUGCAGUGGCUGCAAACCUUGAGAAUAGUUUUUGGUCCAAUGAAUCAAAUAAUUUUUAUCCAUUAAAUCAAAAUUACAUUUUUUUUAAAAAAAUAACACUAUAUAUAAUAAUAAUAAUAAUAAUAAUAAUAAUAAUAAUAAUUUUAUUAUUUUAUGAUUAUUUUUAUAAAUUUUAAAUUUUUUAGUCAAAAAUAUUAAUGUAAAUAAGAAUAAUUUAUUGUUCUUAGUUUUAAAAUUUUAUAUUUUUUAAAAAUAAAAAUUAUAAAAUUAAAAGUGCCGGCCUGGAUCAUGGCCCGGCCCGAUAUGGCCCGUGCCUUUCGGCUUGGAGGGCCGUGCAAGGCCGGAGGUUUGCAAGCGCAGGUGUCGAUGAGCCAGACUAAAAAGUAGCCUUUUGCGUUUUUAUUACUUGGCCCUGCUACAUUCCGCUUCUUUCGGAAACUUUAUUACUCGGCCCUGCCACAUUCCGCUUCUUUCGGAAACUUUAUUACUCGGCCCUGCUGCAUUCCGCUUCUUCCGAAAACAAUCAAAGAAGGCCCAUACAGAAGAAUUGAUCAAAACUUGUUUGCUUUUAGGCUCGUCUAGCAUAUUAAUGACCUAAUAAUUGUCGUAUGCCAUUAUUAUCUUUAUCUUGAAUUAUAACACCAUAGAAUUUUAAGAUUUUUUAAAUCUAAUCAACAAAAUUACAGAUAAACUAGAAGUUAAACAUACAUCUCUUAGAAAUUAGAUUACAAGAGAAUAAUAUGUUAUAUACUGUUUUUGUUACGACAAACGCACAAAAGAAAACAAAAUGACGAACACAAAAACAAUCAAACCACAAGCAGAAAAUAAAGAGACACAGAUUUACGUGGAAAACCCUUUUGCAGGAAAAAAUCACGGGCGAGUGAGGAGAGGACUUCACUAUGGAACAAAAAGGGAAUGCAAUGUUCUUCAGAUUACAACCAACCACGAUCACACGCCUCUAGGGCAUAAACGAUAAACGAAAAGAAAAACUCAUAACGGAUUUCGGAUCCGAUCUGUACCGCAGGGUUUUUUCUCCAUAAUUUUCUUUUCCAAAUUGGUCGCACCGCGAAGCUGUCGGCGAGUCAUAAACCCGAACCUAAAUCAAUAGUAGAUUUCGAGUCACAUCUAACAGUUUUUUUUCUAAACAAUUAAAAUAAAGCUUCAAAUCCUUCCCUGAAUAUAUAUAUAAUAUCUAUAUAGUAUAUAUAAUAUAUAUAUACUAUAUAUAUAUAUUAUAUUAUAUAAUAUAUAUAUAUAUUAUAUAUGAUUUAGAAGAAUAAGAAUGGUAAUGAAUACACCUUUAAUAUGUUUGGAGACCCCUCACCUAAGGCCGAUUUUAAUGGCUUUCUUAAUUUUAUUAUUAUAUAUUUUUUAAUUGAGACUGUCUUAACUUUAUCUUUUCAAAAUUAGUUAAAUUUAGUUUCAUCAAAUUUAAUUAUUUUAAUUAUUUUUUAGUAAAUAGAUAUAGAUCAUUAAUAAUUAUUAGAGUCAAAAAAAAAAAUUUAAUUUAAAUAGUUGAACUAGAUACGAUUUAGGGAUGGGUAGAAUCCUAAUCUAAUUGGACUAGCGUAAUUGAAAUCGCUGGGCGUUUUUUUUUGCUGAGUCCUAUUCCAACUAUACUAUAAUUUGUCUUUCCGAUUAGGAGUCUAAUUAAGAUAAUAAUGCAUCUAUAUAUAAAAUAUAGACUUUAGAUCCACGGGGAUUGUGAAAUUUAGCCGUGGUCCGUAUACAUCGAGAGUCGAGGCGGGCAUUACCAUCAGAGAGAGUCGAGCCACGUGCGAGUUUCUGUACCUAGUCCCUAUUUUCGUUCCGGCUUCGUCUUUGGAUAUUGUUUUGGUCAGUACUUGAACCAUAAAAUUUUUACUUAGCUUUAUUCUCUUCUUUCUUUCUUUCUUUCUUUCUUUUUUUCUCUCUUUGCCAUGCACAAUUUGUCGCUAGGUAAAUAUUUCGUUUUCCAAUUUGGUCCUAAGGUAAUGUGUAUAUUUGGAUUUGCCAUGCUUAUUAAAGUGUAACAUCGUAUUUGUUAAUAGCAUACGUGAAUGUAAGUAAUGCAAUAUUUGAUGGUUGUGUGUGUAUAUAUAUACAAAAAAUUAUGUUUGAGAUAGGGUUUGGAACUUAAAAUUUGAAUUUGACUUUGGAAAUUGAACUUGAAUUUUGUGUUUCAAAUUUUGAAAUCUAAUUUUGAUUUCCUGAGUCAAAAUUGACCUUAAAUUUUUAAUUUCAAAUUUAAAUUUAAAUUUGUAACUUGAAUCUAGAAUCUAAAUACUUAAAAUUUUGGACUCAUUAUUUUGUAAUUUAAUCCGAUAGAAUUUUAAGAUUUUAUAAAUCUAAUCAAUAAAAUUACAGAUAAAUUAGAAAUAUCCUAACAAAUCCUAAUUAGAACGAAUCCUAUUAACAUAGUUAGUUAAUUCGCGAAUUAUUCGCGAAUUUUUGAAAUUCCGAAUAAAACGUCCGUUUUCGAAUUUUUGGAAAAAAUUCAGAAAAAUCACGUUUUAUUGUAUUUGCGAAUUAUUCGCCGAAUCCAAUUGGAAGCCCUCCUCUUCAGAAAUCGAAGAUCGAGUUCUUCACUCUUCAGAAAUCAAAACCCUCGGCCCUCCUCGUCGCCUCUUCCUCUUCCGCUUCCGCUAUCCAACGAUAUAUAGAUCGGUAAUAAGGUGGUUCUUUACAAACCAAGUACGAUUUGACUUUUCAUUCUUUAAAGCAAAAAUUGGAAGCUUUUAGUCCAUCUGAUGGAUACUUUUUUUAUACACAAAUGCUUCGAGUGCUUAAAUUGAAUGUGUCCCUUCUCUGUUAUGCACCUUAAAUUGUUAAGAACUUAAGACCCAAUUAACCUAGGGACCAGGAACUCUUGUAUUAUACCUAAUCAAUUUCAUGAUCUUGUCGACACUUGCAAAAGAAAAAUUUUGUUGUGGUCUUUCAUGGAAAAUUUUGUUGUGGUUAAAUCAAGAGUCGGAGUUCGCCGAUUAUAAUUACUAAAACUUUCUGUGUUUGUAUGCUCUAUAUUUAUUCAAGCUUUUAUGUAUGUUUAUAUGUGGAAUUAUAAACUUUAUGUAUAUUUUAUUUGUUUACUGUUUAGACUUUAGAAUUUAGAUAUGCUAGUAUGCUGUUAUGCACUAUGCAAAGUGCCUGUUUCAUCUUGGAUUUAAUUUCUAACUAUGCUUGUAUGUGAAUCUUUUAUAUUUUACAUUUAAAUAUGGACUAUCUUGAUCUCUUAUUUGCUUAAUUAUUUAUUUUUUUUUAGGCAUAAUAUAGUUUAUUAUUUUUUUUUUUAAUUUUGUAGCUCUUUAUUCUUAUAUUCUUAAAAAAUAUGAAUAUUUAUGCUAAUAGCAUAAAUCUUGAGAGGAAACAAAUUUAAUUUAAUAGCCGAAUUUUUGAUCCCGAAUUUUUAAUUGGUGAACGUAUAAUAUCCGUAUAAAUCACGUAUCCGAAUAAUUGACUAAUCCGUUUUUUAGCCGAUUUUUUCAACGAAUUUAAAAAUUAGAAGACGAAUUUUAUCCGAAUUAUACCCGUACCGAAUUUUUGCCGAAUCCGAAUUAACUAACUAUGAUCCUAUAUAUAUACAUAAAUACACGCACGUAGCAGGCCCGCAUACAGCGAGAGCCGAGUAGGGCAAUCCGAGUAUAUCGAUAGUAAUAAAACAAUAAAAAUUUCGCCACGUUUCCGUUCAUAGAUAUAGUACAUAAAUAUUUAUUUUUUAUAUUUUAUUAUGUUUUUGUGUCUCGAUGAACUAAUUUUAUUCACUUUUUAUGUUUUUCAGUUAGGCCCUAAGCUAAUAAGCGUAUCGGAUCAUGCAAUUCUUGCUGAAGUUAAUUGUCUUUUUUUUUUUUUUUGAGAGAAAGAUAGGUAGCAUGCUACCCGCUUCGUUUAUUUCAUUUAUAAAUAAACUUAGCUGGAAAUAUGAAUCAACUAAGAUUCGAACUUAGGUUUCGGGUACCAAUCAGCAAGCCCUUUGUCACUUACUCUAGGGAUGGUCGGUAAUUGUCAUAUUUAUUAAUAGUAGAUGUAAAUGUAAGUAAUAUAACGUUAGAUGGUUGUGUGUAUAAAAAAAUCACGUUUGAGAUUGGGUACAAUUGCUUUGCUUUUAUCAACUUUCACUUCAGUCCAUGAAUUUUUAAGUUGAAAAAUGACUACUCAAAAUUUUGGAAGUAUCGCUUGAGUCCUCGGCCUCAUCUACUGUCUAAAGAAGAUUGUUAUAUUUGAAGUGGUUUUCCUGUAGCAGUAGGCGUCGAUAUCAAACUAAGUCUCAAUUCUAACAUAAACAAUCUAAAAUUUGCAAAACCACACACAAACGCAUUGACUUCCGAAGUUAAGUUAUCCAAGGUGUCUAUCCAUCAAUCCUAAGGUAAAGAGGCUAAAUUGAGAAAAUAAUCCGUAGUCAUUCACAGGUAUUAGCAACUUAGCCAGGGGGAACUAGUAAGUAUGCAGUGUAGGAAUAAAAACUAAUAUUUGUGUUUUCUUUUUUUGUUUUUUUUUUCUAUAUAUAAUUGUUUUGGUUCUUCUAGAUUUGUUAAACAUGAAUGCCUGGUUAUAGAAUUCAUGUGUUUAACAUAACAAAUAACACUAUUUGUAAGUGGAUUUUGGCAAGAGAAGUUUGAAAGUUCAAGUGUAAAUGUGAUAUCAAAAUAAUAUAUAUAUACUUAAUACUUUACAUGCAAAUUGUAUUGCAUAUAGCUUCCUUUUUUUUUUAAGAAAUAGGAGUAUGCACCCCUUUCUUUUCCAAGAAAUAGGAUUGAAUUAUAGCAUGUACUUAUUUCUUGUACCUCUGCAGUAAAUUUUCACAAUUCCAAAUUUAGAGAAAAAUCAAAGGCAUAAUCUUAUACGACAUGAAUGAUUGCAAAUCUUGUAGUGGAAACUCUAUUUGUCCAAGUAGGAAUAAAAUGUUAUUCAAACCAUUUCAAUUGCGAGCUAUCAAUUUAUAUGUUUUUUUUCUUUUCUUUUUUUGGUUUUCACUCACUUCUUUUAAGGCGAUAGUAUCAUAUUAUAAGUAUUUUAUUCUUCAUACUAAUUAUUUAUAUACAAUUUUGUUGGCUUUUUUUUUUUUUUAGUGUUGAGAUUCUGAUCCUGAAAAUGGUUUUAGAAGAUGAGAAUGUGGCCUCAGUUGGAAGACCUUGGUCCAACCUUGCAACACAUGUUCUUGAGUUGAUUUCAUCUCAGCUCUCUCCAUCUGAUCGUCCCCACUUUGCUUUGACUUGCAAGCACUGGAAUUCAGCUGUUGGUCCUACUUAUCCUGCUGAUAUAUGUCCACUUUUGCUAAACUGUCCAAGAUGGGGUUCUAAUGUGAUCCGGUACUACAGUCCUUAUUUCAACAAGAAUUUUGAACUAGAUUGUCCCUUUGACUUGUCUGGUGCCACAUUAUGUUCUUCAAGCAAUAGGUGGGUGAUGUUAGGUUGGGAAAAUAAGAUUAUGUUAGCUGACCCUAUCACUGGCAUCUCACAUGAGGUACCAUUGGAGGAGGUAAUUCUUUUCUCUCAAUAUGGUUUUUUUUGGGAUCCGACUACUUCGAAAUUCCAAAUCUUCGGCAUUAGUAACGGUGGCUAUGAAGAUGUUGAUAUUGGUAUUUUUGAUGGCGAAAGUUGGUUCUGGUCUACAUACGAGAGUGGUCUACCAUUCUUUCUGUCUUCACACUCUAAUCCAGUUUUGUGUCGAGGCAAUUUUUAUUGCCUAGGAUCAGGAGGAGAGUUGGGAGUGUACAAUCUAGAAGAGGAUACUUGGACAGUUCUAAUGACUAAGCCUAACAAGUUCAGUUAUGAAGAAUGCUACCUACUUGAGUCAGAGGGAGAGCUCUUUUCGGUACUCAUUGGAAAGUACGGAUUACCUCUUCAUGUUCUUCGUCUUGAUGAAUGCGAGAUGAUGUGGGAAAAGGUUGAAAAAUUAGAGGGGCGAAAUCUUUUCUUGGGAUCACUCACAUCAGUUUCUAGUAAUAGUACCACACUGGAAAGCAUGGAAAAUAAAGUGUUUUUUCCAAGGUUUCAUGGUGAUGUUGAAGUCAUUCGCGCAGAAGUAAAGUACUCUAGUGGCCGCGCAUUUUUUGUACCGAAGAUGAAUGGAGAGAACAAGAGAAAAGAUGAAUCUAAUAUAUGUUGGUACUCAUUAGCAGAUGACAAAUUUCAUCUCAAAUAUUUUGUGUCCAAAAAAUACGUGAACAGCAUAUGGAUUGAUCCUAUAGUUGCAAGUGAUUAAACCUGAUGGCAGCCUUUUUAUUUUUCGAUACCUUUAGGACAGGUUUGCUAUAGAAUCUAAAAGCUUGGAAUGUGAACAAUUACGAAAUAGUUUUUACCAGCCAUUUCAAUUUUAUUUUAUCACUAGUUCGAUCAUUUCAGGUCCAAAAAUAGUAAUACUGCAUUUUAAAUCUAGUACCUUUAGUAGUGCUAUGUGUAAGAAGUGAUGUAACUUUUUUUUUAAUAGGAGAAAAUAAUACUAAGCUCAAUGUGUACUAUUCUUGCAUUGUUGUUUGAUUUAUGCUUGUAAGCAAAUGGAACUUCAUAACUGACCUUGACGAAGUAACUUGUUUGGUCAGAAUCUGAUUGGAUAGAAUCAAUUUAUAUGAGGUAAAGGGAAUAAAGUUGUUUUUGGUCAUAAAUGUUCUCUUAUGUUGCUUGAUUUGUCAUAAAUUAAUUUUGUUUGCAACAUCAGAUUUUCGAAAAUCGGACUACGCUCUGGAUGAUGUCAAAGUCAAUUACAAAAAAAAGCUAUGAAAAAAUAAGUAAAAUUUUAAGUAAAUAAAUAAAGAUGUGGGAUAAUUGCAAUUUGAAAGCUAUAGACUUCUUAUCAAAUAAAAAAUAGUAGAGAAAAGAAAUUUCUUGAAUUUCAGUUUAAUUGAAAUUUAUUUUCAACUUGAAAAUUAUUUAUGGACAAACUGUCAAAACUUCAUCUCCUUAAUAAUAUUUUCCAUUUAUUUAAAUAAAGCUCCCAAUUUCACAAUUGACACGGCCCUGGCAAAACACCCUAUCCCUGUUUCAACUCCGACUUAUGGCACUACCAAUAUUACAUCUUUAUUUCUAAAAACUUCUCCAUUUAAGGGUCCCUGGCACACUCUAUGCUCAUUUCAGCUCGAAUUUAGGCACCGGCUAUAUUACAUCCUUAUUUGAUCAUAUUGGAUAGUCUCAAAACCUCUGUAUUGUGCUAUUUUCGGACUACUACUUUUACAGGCAUAUUUUACGGAGUUGAGUGUUUAAAUAAGUUUUAGAAAUUUUUACAUUAUAUUAUAGCAAAAUGCCUUAAACUCUAUAAAAAAGAAGAAGACAAAAAGUAAAUUAAUAAAAGUUAGGAGUCAAAUAAAGCAACUAAAGAUUAAACAUAAAACAAAAUAUUUAUCAGCGGAUGGAAGAACUCAUUUACACGCAGCCUCUUCUCAAAAGUUAAUCUAAAAGAAAGAUCUUCUAAUCUCUUCUCGAGUUUAUUUUUUGCUUCACGCAGGGCACCAGUUUCAUUUGCAGCCUACAAUAUUUUUGAAAACUUAGACUAUCAAUCUCUUUCUUGAAAUAUUCAAAUAUAAAAGCAACAAAGCAUAGCCUUCUAAACUAAAGUAAAGACAACAAGCUUGAGCCACCAAGAGAAAAGACGGUAAAUACAUAUACUAGCCAGACGAUUUAAUGUACCACAAAGUGCGUGCGUCAAAUUUUACACCUAUAUAUAGACUGUUUGUAUAUACAAUUUUCUUACUGAGACUUAUGAUUAGAGGAACCUAACAAGUGGAAAAAUAUGCUUGUCCUGGCCUGAUAUUCCAAACAAAAAUAAUGUGACAAAGAUGAAAUGAAGAUGAAUAUUACCAUGCCCGUAUACUUUCUUCUCCCAAUCUACAGUUGAAAUAUUACAUAACUAGACUAGAAGCAUGCAAUAAAAUCAAGAAAACAACAGCAAAAUAUUGACCUUUUAAUUUUAUAUUAAAAAAAUUUAGUACUUGUUAUGAUUUUGUAAUAAACAAAUUAGCACAAACUCUUUGUAGGCGAUAAAUGUCCUAAACCGACCCAGAAAAAAUAUUGCAGCAUUAUCCAAAACCUCACUACGUCGCAAAUCUAGCACAACAAUCUGACCAACCCUGGGAAAAACUUUUGUCCUACCAAGCUGCAUAAGUUAAACAGCAUAUGAAAAUCCAUUAAGAGAAUCAAUGCAGGUAAAAUAUAUAAAUCUUGAGUUGUAAAAAUCUGUCUUUUUAGUAGGCCAUUUUUUUAAACAAGGACUUGCAUUUUGCGGUAUAUCUUAUGAAUUUGAGGGGCACAGAACAUAAAAAAAUAUUUAAUAAUGGAGCAGCAAAAUAUUGAAAAUUUUCAAGUUUCAGCUUCUAGAGAAUUCCCUUUAUCAGCGCCUUUUCAUCAUAAUUGCAAAUAAAUUAAACAGUAAGAUUCGUUAAGAUGUAAAAGCACAAAAAAUCACAAGUGUAUUAAAAAAAACAGCAUGCAUAUGUUUCAGAGUGGCAACCCAUCAACAUUAACAGAAAGAAAAUGAAUGUGCUUAUUAUGGAAAAGUCACAUGAAGUAUAUAUAAGUUUAUGAUGUAACUAAAAGCUCAAGGAACAUAACAUAUAAAUAAUCAGUCUAAAAUCACUUAAGAAAAAUGCAAUAUGUUUACUGUUCCCAUUAACCUUUUCUAAAGUGGAGUUUGGCAGCACUAUCUAUGUCAUCCUCAUGGUUGCUUGGAAGAUCAGGAAAUGAAGAUUGAUUAUAAGCACAACAUGGUAUUAACUAAUUCAAAAAGCUUAUGAUUUACAGACUAGGAAUUCAUGUGGGUUUCAUAAUAAAUAUUAGAUGUGAUCUGGGAUGAGAAUGUUCGAGCUAUGAACGGUGCAAGUGAUUGUGGAAGAGAUAAAAAGUAUGUUUUAUGACAAGAGUGUCAAACCAUGGAUUGAUACUGAGUCCUAAUAUUUUGUUAUACAUAAAAAAAAACUAACAAAAACUAGUUCAACAGAAGGUAGCUUUGUGCAUGUUAUUAGCUGGUCAUUGCCUCUCCGUUAAUGAGCAUAAGAAAAGUUUAAAUUCCGAAUAUGAAUUAUGUAAAAAAUAUUAGUUCUUUAAGAUGUUGAAAUUGAUGUUACCGGAGACGAUAGAAUAAGAAAUGCCUAAUUCUGAGGAUCCUGAUUCUGAGGACAAAAACUCUGCGUUGCGCUACCUCCGGAGUUAAGUUAUUUUUAUCAGAGUUAUUUUUACAGGUAUGCUAAAUUUAUUACAGAGUUGACUGUUUGAAUAAGUUUUAGAAUAUUUUACAUUGCAUUGUAAUAAAGUACCUAACACUCUAUAAAGAAAGAGAAAAAAAAAACUAAGAACUAUUUAAACUUUUGAAAAAAAAUAUAUAAAAAAAAAAAUUUGAGACCUUAAAGUACCUAUUUUAACUACGUACUUUUAUUUAUAUUUAUUUAUAAAAAUGUUAUCUUUGUCUCUAUUUAUUUUCAAGUGUGUAAAAAAAAUGCAAACUUUGUUUUUUCUAGAUAUAUAAUGAGAAGAUUGCAUUCAGAUAUCUAAUGAAACAUCUCUUUUUUACCUCUCCACAUUUAAUUACAUGCAUUAUAUUUCAUCAAUUAGUGAGCUUUGUAACACCAAUCUACUCCCCUCCACCAUUAAUCCCCUCACCCCCUCUUUCUUGCAUGACAUGUUAUUUUUCAUGCAAAAAGAAACAUUAUCAUCUAAUCUCUCACCCCACACUCAUCUCCUUCUCUCUAUCUCAUUGUGUUAACAAAGAUUAUGAGGAUGAUAAAGAAGAAGAACAUGCGAAGAACGUUGUCUCCUUCAAAAAAUAUCGUCCUGUAAAGUCCAGCCGCGGCCCAUAUAAGUGCUCGCUGGGCUGGUCUGCACCGGAGCCGUCGCUCGCCGUGAACCGCCGCCGCCUCGGUUGCCUCCUCGCACGGCUCGCACGCGCCCGCAACUAGGCCGAGGGGAGCGCCGUCCUAGCCUCCUCUUCGCGACGACGUUGCAUGAGAGCUCGCUUCUCAAGAAUCGCAGGAACUUCUUGGUAAAUCAAAUUGUUUAAGAAUAAGAAUUUCUGUGGUUGAUGUGAUGGCAAGACUGUAUCGGUUUAGAUAUCGCAGUUUGGUGAUGCAGAUGAGGUGUUUUUUCAUAGGUUACAAUAGAAAUCCAGAGCAACUACCAGCUGAAGAUUAAGAAGAUGUAUAAGAUUUGGAUGAGUAAGAGAAGUGCUCCAAAAAAAUAUUAAUUUUUUUAAGAUUGAUGUUUUUUGUUUUAUUUUCAUAUUAUGAUCAUUUUUUUGAGUAGACACUGUUGUGAGCAAAAUUUCUUUCGUAGAUUAAAAAGUAUGAUGCGGAGAUUGGAGUCUGAGACGCCAACUAAAAUUUUCUUAAGCCAGAUACGUUAAGUUAUUAUUUAUGUAUUUCAUAUGCUUCUAGCUAUUAUUUUAUUUUUUUAACAACUAAAUUUAGUCAUACAAAUUGACUGUGCUUAACAUGAUAUAGCUUUCUAUAAGCUGUAAAUAUAAAUUUUAUUAAAAUAUUAAAAAUUUAUUUUUAUUAUCUACCCGCUGCAUUGCGCGGGUCUCUACGCUAGUAAAAAUUUAAUAACAACAUCUUGAAGAAAAGAACUAUUAUCCGUUUAUAGAGGCGGAUAUCAUUAGAGAUGAACGAAAUUUCAAUCUCAAACACUUUAAAACCUAGUCAAAAUUUAAAUAUCAUCAGCAUAAUUUUAUCUCACAUGAUAACUAAUCUAUACUAUAUAUAAACAAGUAUAUGAAAGAAUAUUCUCUACGAAUGAUUAUCAUCAAUUUGUUAAAAAAUAUCUCAAAUAAGAAUGAACGAUAAUAAUCAACCUGUUAAAAAAUAACAUUCUAUAAAUCUAAUCCAAUGAACAGUUAUGAUCAAUUUGUUAAAAAAUAUCUCAAAUGAAAAUGAACGAUUAUGAUUAAUCUGUUAAAAAUUAGUAUUCAUAUCUAUAUAUUUUACAUUAAAAUUAAAUUUUGAGUUUAAAUCGUGAAUUUUAAUUUGAUAUCAAAUUUGAAUUAAUAAUUAAAAAAAUUAAUUACAGUGGAUCAAUAUUAAAUUUUGAUGCUUUUAGUUUAAACACAUACUUAAAUUUUAGAUUCAUCAUAAAUCAAAAAAUAUAUAAAAAUAUUCAAUGUAUAUAAAAAAAAAUAACAUAGAAGAUUACAAAAUUUUCUAAUAAAAUAUAAUAGACGUUCGGCCAACAUAAUAUUGCUCAAAUAAUACAUGAAGUUCCACUCAACUACGGGUAGGCAUCAUGAAGAAAGGCUCGCACCAAGAGACACUGAGAUUCGGGCAUGGAUCGUGAGUAGCAAUAGUCCCUUCUUCCAUGUCAAAGAUAUGUAAGUAUCUGUCAUCGGAAUUUACAAAAUAUAUGCAAUUUUUCUUAAAACCAAGCUCUCUCGCAGAUGCGGCAAAUCCUGAUAUUCUACUCACAAAGAACACCUGAUCCCCUAGACUUUCUACCGGAAACCAUGCCAGCUUUGAGAAAUCCAUCUUCCAGACACAGAUAUGGGCGAUUGUUCUAGCACUGAACCUUAGAAACCAAAAAAAUACUAGAAACAACUCCCCGCGAGACUCCAAUAAAUAGUGUUCAAACAUAUUACGGCCGGCUGGAUCCUCGUACUUCUUUAUAGGAAAAGUUAUAAUAUUCGAGAAUGGAGAAAAUUCGAAUAUUUCUAGCUUCUCAUCGCAAAGAUCAUAAUGAUAAAUCCUGCCCUUCACAACAGCUAUUCUAUCUAAGUUUAUCUUUGAGUAGCAGAUAUUCUUGUGUUUGACCCACUUGUUCUCUCCAGGAUGGCAGUACCAGAAAAUACUAUUUGUAGGAUCUAUAAUUACCACAGAACAGUUUGGGUCAGUAGGCUGUUCGGAGAGCAGGCACUUGCAUUCUUUCGGCAAAUUGAGCUCCAUAGAUGGUAGUCUAACCUUCCUUAAGGUUAUGGGGUCCCACAGAAAAGUUUUCAACAAUAGAGGAUCGAGUAGAAAUAUCCAACCUUGAGAAGUCACCCAGUAACUAAGUCUUUCCAUCUCAUCUAUUCUUAUCCUUCGAAUAUGUAAUCUCUGUUCGGAUAUGCUGAAGAGUACUCGAUCUUUCCUACCACUCUUUCCACAAAAGAAGACCAACCAUGGUGCCGUUAAAAAUCCUGGAGAGAUUGAUCGCGAGAUCUGUAUCUCUUCCAUCUGAUAAUUUUACACCUGCAAUAAAGCCGCGAUCAUGAAUGUUAACAGAAAAAUUCCUCGGAAAACAUAAUGACUACUCUGUAGUAAGAUUAUUGAACAGAUUGUAGAAUACUAAAAAGAUAAAUUUCGGAUAAUUUAUGUUUGAGUUUGAACUUGCAUGGAUAGCCUAGUAAAUCGAUAAAUGAGUUGUCGUACUUUCCAAGGAACUAUUACUAGUUGGCCACGUUUUGGAUAUUAUUUAUUUGGAGAACAUUGAAGAUAUUAAUAUUGAUAUGUUUGUUCAGGUGCAGUUUACUCUGCCUUGAAGAUUUUUAUUCAAAAUAAACUGCAAUAAAUGAAAUAAGAUGGUCUAGUUCAUUACUACUCUAUGCACAUCAAGUUGAAACAACACAGGAAACAAAGCAUCCAACUUAAAAGGGCAAAUUGCACUAGUAAUCUCGGAUGAAGUUGUAACAAGUUGUCACUUAUCAUAACCUACUGCUAUAAGAAAACAACUUCAAAUAUAACAAUCUCCUUUCAGCGGUGGAUGAGGAUAAGUACUUACGGACCAAAGUGAAAGUUAUAAAAUAACAGGGUGUAAAAGGUAGAGAGAAAUUUCACACAACAAUCUAAUAUUGCAUUGCUUACAUUCACGUUUUCUAUUAACAAAUAUGACAAUAAACUUUUGCAAGCAUUGGAUAUCCAGAUCUGCACAUUAGCUUAGGACCUAAUUGGAAAACGAAACAGCUAAGUUAGCUGAGAAGAUCUAAUUUGUCAGAUACGAAAUAUUAAAAAAAAAUCAAGAAAGAAUAAAUAAUGAAAUAUAUAAAUAUUUUCGGGGUACCUGCAUUCAUGGAUGAAGGCGGAGCGAAGAUAUUUGUUAAUGUCGAGAUCGUAUUAAAAAAAAGAAAGGUAAAAUUUCAAAAAAAACACUCAUUGGUUUCGUACUUUUUUAUUUUAGUACCAUGUGGUUUAAAGUGUAUCAAGUUAGUACCAUGUGGUUUCGCACUUUCUCACUUUAGUAUCCUGUGGUUUAAAGUGUAUCAAGUUAGUAUUAUGUGAUUUUAUUUUUGUAUCAAGUUAGUACCUUAUGAUUUUAUUUUUGUAUCAAGUUAGUAUUCUGUAAUUUUAUUUUUCUCUUAAUAAAAUAUUAAACCACAUGGUACUAAAGUGAGAAUGUGCGAAACCAUAGAAUACUAACUGGAUAUACUUUAAACCAUAUAGUACCAAAAUAAAAAAAUGCAAAACCAUAGGGUACUAAUUUGAUAUACUUUAAAUCAUAGGGUAAGUAAAAAAGAGUAAAACCACAAGAAGGGUUUUCCCAAAAAUAUAUACUCGCCCUCUAUUUAUAGAGCCCAAACCCGGCUCGGCUCUCUAGGUCGAAUACGACUCAAAAAAAGACUCCACGAAUAGUAUUAUGCCAAAGCGGUCAAUUUAGCACUUUUCACAAAGACAAUAGUCCUAGUCUAUAAUUUCGUCUGGACCAACCUUAAUUCGCAUCGAUUUUCCCAAUGAUCUAAAAAUCGAGUCCAACAAACCAGCUCGAUUGAUUCGAUCGUAACUCAAUUUAUAAGAUAUUUCGAUUCAACCCUUUAAACUGGAUAAAUCAAAACAUUAUUUUAAACCAUCCAAACAAGUGGUUCAACCAUUAUACCGGUGAACCGAUCCAAUUUUAAUCAAUCCGACUCAAUUUUUUUAUCAAGUCAUAGUAAAAUCUAACCGUUUUAAAAUUAACUUAGCAAAACUUAAAAACUUAUAUCUAUUUACCACAGUAUGAAAAUUAAUAUUUUAUAAUUAAGUAUGAUGCUAAAAUAAUAAUAUAUAUUUUUCAUAUAAUAAAAUUAAAAAUAAUAAUUAAAUUAUUGGUUCAAUAUGUGAUUGAUUCACUGAUUAAACAUUAAUGAUCCUUGAUCUAGUAAUAUUUUUCGAUCGCUAUUUAACCCAAUUUUUAAAACAUUACUAUUUUCAAUGGAGUUAAGAUAAUUAUAAAUUAUGAAUCAUCUUAAUUUUGCUUUAUAAAAUUUUAGUCCACUUCACAAAUUAGUUUGGAUUCAAAAUAGACAUAUAUAUAAUUAGAAGCUAUAUAAGACUCAAAAUGAUUUUCUUUACAAUUUAUUAAUAAAAAAACAUAAUAUGAUCUCGCGUCUGAAUAAUAAAGAAAUCGAUGCUUUUUUUCGAGUAUCAAAGAAAAUUUUUUAGAGGAUUUUUUUUUGUUUUUUUUUUGUUUUUGAAGAGAGAGAAAGAAGAGUUUUUUUAUAGAGAAAAAUCCUCAAGGAUUUCUGUUACAAUUAGGAUUCCUAAUCCUUCCUAAAGCGUAUCUCAAUUAGGCUAUUUGUAGUAAAAGUGUAUGUUGACCAGUCAACUCUUUUUAUUAUCUUUUUAUUCGAGUUCUUAUGCUUAGUUUGGUUAAAAAUUUAUCAAAUUUUUUAAUUAGUCUAUGUUUAUUUACUAAAAAAUAAUUAGAACUAUUAAAUUUGAUGAAAUCACCCAUCAAUUUGAUAAAACUUUUUAUUUUUUAAACGAAAAUAAUCUAAUUUAAAAAAGUUAAAGUUAAAGCCGUCUUAAUUUUAGGAAGCCAUUAACAAUGGGCCAUAGGCGCCGGGUGGGGUUUGUUAACCCCACCCUGAUAUGAGGUUAACAAACCUCACCCCCACCCCCAAAUGUUGCCGUUUGGGGCCCUUUUAUUUUUGAACCAAACGAUGUGUCAGGGCCUAAUUGAAAAACAAAAUAUCUAAUUCAAUAACAAAUUCUCUAUUACGACAAAAGCAAACAAAAUUAAUUCAUCGAGACAUGAAAUUAUAAUAAAAUAAAAUAAUAUAAAUAUUUAUGCGGUUCGACCACUUACCUAUAUCUAUGAAUGGAAACGUAGCGUAAUUUUUAUUACUAUCGAUAUGCCCUCUCGCUAUAAGCGGACCUGCAUGUGUUAACUCCACGAGGAGCUAACGUGCGUACGUGUAUUUAUAUAUAUAGGCAUUAGCUUAAUUAGGAUUCGUUAGGAUAUUUCUAAUUUAUCUGCAAUUUUAUUGAUUAGAUUUGUAAAAUCUUAAAAUUCUAUCGGAUUAAAUUUCGAAAUAAUGAGUCCAAAUCAGAGUUCAAGUCUAGGUGGUAGCAAUUUACUAUCAUCCAAAUUUGUCCCUGACCCGAUUUGAAUUUAGAUGAAAUCAGUGCAAGAACGUGAAUUUCAAAUUUUAAUUUUAUCUUGGGUUCAAAUAUUUAAAUUUACAUUUUGAUUUUGGAUUCUGAUUUCAAAUUCAAUUUCAAUUCCAAUAUCAAACUAGAUUUUGUAUUUAAUUUUAAAUUCAAAUUCAUAUUUUGAAUUCAAUUUUAAAAUUAAUGUCAAACACAUAUUUUGAAUUUUAAAUCCAAAAUGUAACUUUGAAUUUAAAUUUCAAAUCGAGUUAGAUUUGCAAUCAAAUUUUAAAUUUCAAAUUAAAAAUUUAUAUUUAGAUUUCGAUCUUGAAUUCACAUUCACAUUCACAUUUUGAAUUCAAAAUUUCUUUUAAAUUCUGAUUUUGAAUUCAAAAUUUUAAGUAUUUAGAUUUUGAUUCAACUUUGAAAUUUAAAUUUAAAUUUAAAUUCAAACUUACGGUCAAUUUUGACUCCAGAAACCAAAACUAGAUUUCAAAAUUUGAAACACAAAAUUCAAUUUCAAUUUCAAAGUCAAAUUCAAUUUAUAAGUUCCAAUUCAAAUUUCUAUUUAGUUUUAAAUCAAAAAUUAUAGCUUUAAGUUCAAAGUCAAAUUUUAAUUUUAUAUUUUUAGCAAUAAAUUUUAAUUGCACAAUUGGUUCAUAACCUUUUCAAUUUUAAUUUAUUAUCAUAGCCUGCUAUUAUAGAAAAACUAAUUCAAAUAUAACAAUCUGCUUCAAACAGUAGAUGAGGACUAGGACUCCAGUGAUACUGACCGAAGUGAAAGUUGAUAAAAGCAAAACGUUCAAUGAUGGCAGAGCAAUUUUAUCCUAUCUCAAACAUAUAUAUAUAUAUAUAUAUAUAUAUACACAGUCAUAAAAUAAUUCAUUACGUACAUCCAUGUCUGCUAUUAAAAAAUUCAACGGUAUACUUUAGUAAACAUUACAUAUCUAAAUGUGCACAUUAGGUUAGGGCCAAAUUGAAUAACGAAAUAUUUACCUAGCAACAAAUUGUACGUGGCAAAAAGAAAAAUAUCUAUUUUGUCGAUUAUAAAAAUAUGUUUUAAAAAAAUCAAGAAAGAAAGAAAAGAAUAAAGCUAAGUAAAAAUUUUUAUGGUUUAAGUAGUACUGACCAAAACAAAAUAGAUAUUUUUCCUGAGUCAAAAUUGACCUUAAACCAUAGCUAUAUAUUCAGUGAAGAAUUUGAAGCCCUACUUUAAGCAUAACAACACAGGCCCCAACCCGGCUCAGCUAUCGGUAUGUAGGAAGCAGCAAUUGUAGUUGGAAUACGACUCAACAAAGACUCUGACGAAUAGUAUGAUGCCAAGCGGUUUAUUUAACUUUUCCCAUAAACACAACAGUCCUAAGUCUACAAUUUUGUAGAGACACCGACCAUCCCUAGAGCAAGUGGCAAAGGGCUUGGCAGUUGGUACCCAAGACCCAAGUUCGAAUCCUAGUUGAUUCACAUUUCUAGCUAAGUUUAUUUCUAAAUAAAAUAAACGAAGCAGGUGCGUGCUACCUAUCUCUCUCUCUCUCAAAAAAAAAAAAAAAAAAAAAAAAUUUGUAGAGACCAACUCUAAUUCUUACUAUCUAUGUCCCAAUGAUUUAAAAAUCCGGUCCAACCUGCUGGCUCAACGGGUCCGAUCAUAACUUAAUCUAUAACACAAUUUAGUUUAACCUUUUAAACUGAAUAAAUCAAAAAAUUAUUUUAAAUCGUUCAAACAAAUAGUUCAACCAUUGUCCUGGUGAUCCGAUCUGGUUUUAUCAACCAAGUCGGAUUCUUUUGUCAAGUCAUAUUAAAAUCCAACGAUUUUAAAAUCAACUUAGGAUUUUAUUUUCUAUUAGCACAUAUUAAUCUUAUUAAUCUUAUAAAAAGUGAAACUUAAAAACUUAUAUCUGUUUAAUUUAAUCUAGAAAUUAAUAUUUUAUAAUUAAGUACGAUACUAGAAUAAUAAUAUAUUUUCUAUAUAAUAAGAUUAAAAAUAAUAAUGAAAUAUUUAUGAGAUUAUGCUCGUUCAAUCAGUAGUUAAUUUGUUGGUUAAGCAUAAGUGAUUCUUAAUCCAGUAAUAUUUCCAAAUCGCUAUUUAACCCGAUUUUUUAAAAAUUACUACUUUCAAUAGAGUCAAGACAAUUAUGAAUUAUGAAUCCUCUUAAUUUUGCUUUACAAAAUUCUAGUCCGCAUCACAAAUUAGUUUGGAUUCAAAAUAAUUCGAGACAUAUUUAUAAUUGGACUCAGAACGAUUUUCUUUACAAUUUAUUAAUAAAAAAACAUAAUAUGAUCUAGCAUCUAAGUAAAAAAGAAAUCGAUGCGAAGAAAAUCGCAACUCGUGUGUUUCGAAGACUAUUCACCAAAAUCGGACUAGAUUAGAUGCGAAGGGACUGGAUGNUUUUUUUUUUUUUUUUUUUUUUGAGAGAGAGAGAGAGAGAGAGAGAGAGAAAAGGAGGAGUUUCUUUUUAUAUAGAGAAAAAUCCUCAAGGAUUUCUAUUUCUAUUAGAAUUGUAUUAGAAUUCCUAAUCCUAAUCCUAAUCCUAAUACUUCCUAAAGAGUAUCUCAAUUAGGCUAGUCAAUUAUUUGACAAUAUUUAUCUUGUAGUAAAAGUGUAUGUUUACCUGUCAAUCCCUCAACUCUUUUUAUUAUUUUUUUUAUUCGAGUUCUUAUACUUAGUUUGGCUAAAAAUUUAUUAAAUUUUUUAAUUACUCUACGUUAAUUUAUUUACUAAAAAAUAAUUAGAACUAUUAAAUUUGAUGAAGUCACUGAUCAAUUUGAUAGAACUUUUUAUUUUUUAAACUAAAAUAAUCUAAUUUUAAAAAGUUAAGGUUAAAGCGCAGUCUGAAUUUUAAAAAGAAAAAAUUAAAGUUGAGGAAGCCAUUAACAAUCGGCCAUAGGUGAUGGGCCUUCAAAAAUAUUCAACUAUAUUUUGUUAGGAAAUAUGCUAUUCGUUUUGUUUAUUUUUGAAAAAUAAAUUUAACUCAGCACACGAAUUAAAUUGAACUUGGAACUUCACAUACCAACCAUCAAAUCUUUUACCACUUACGCAAGAAACUCUCAAUUAUUUUUAAGAUUCUUACACUUUCUAAACUAUAACUAUAUAUUGCGCAUGCAUUUGAAGCCCUACUAUAAUUGUUUAGUAAACCGUAGCUUCAUAUUUGUGGAUUUGAAGCUCUACUUGUUUACAGAAACGGCACAGAACAUUAUUAUUCUCUAGUAUUCUCUUGUAAUCUAAUUGUGUAUUUUAAUUUUUAGUUCAUCCAUAAUCCAUAAUUUUAUUGAUUAUUUAUAAAAUCUCAAAAUUCUACAGUGUUAUCAUUUUCAGAUGCCUAGCAAUUUAAUUUCUAUCAUCUAAAUUUGUUCUUCCAUACCGAAUUUGGCUCUAGAUGAUCAUAUCAAACCAAAAACGUGUAGUGAAAGGUUGGUCGAAGGUUUUCCUACUAAGGGCACAUUCUCAUCUUCUAAAAUUAUUUUUAGUGAGAAUCUCAAUGCGGGAGAAAGAGGAAAAAAAAAAAAAAAAAAACUAAAGAAUAUAAUUAACAUGAAAUCUAUUUGGAGAAUAUUGUAGAACACAGUAAAAGUAUUCGUUCAUAUCUUUUAUACAAAAUAAUUCGUGCUAGAAUGCGAUGAGUUCCGGAUCGUAGAGAUCAAUUCACGUAUUCUCGGAUCGUCCACGAAAGUCCUCUAAAUUCUAACACUCCAAACUGGCAGUAGAUCGAGUUACGUUCCAAAUUCUCUAGAAGCAAUAGGUUAAUGGAUGAUGUGAUUUUUCUCUCUUAUAAUAUGGCGCACAUAUUUUUCAUGAAUUUUUGAAUUUUUUUUUCUAUUUUUUUCCUGUUCAUAAUAAUCUGUAUAUUUAUAAGGAAUCCCAACAACUUAAGGAGUAGAUAGAAGUUUAGACGGAAUCGGUUUAUUACUGCUAUUCUAAUAUAACUAGAAUAUAUCUCUAAUUAAUUUUUUAAAUUAAAAAUAAAAUUAAAUUUAGUCUAUAAUUAGAUAAUAUAAUAAAUAUCAUAAUAAUUGUCUAAUCGAGCUCGACUAUGAACGCAUUCAAUACAGUUCGACCGGAUGCCAACAAAUAUUAUAAAAGACACGUGCCUAUACUUAUUUAGGUGCCAUAGAGUUCACAAAUAAAUUAGAAAAAGAUAGUCUAACUCGUAACCAUAUGCAUAUCAAUUCGAAUUUCGAAAUCGGUUAAAAACAAAAAUUAAAAUUAAAAAUUAAAAAAAAAAUCAACUUACGACCUGAACGUCCAAAAGUUCAUGCAUGCGUGUACUAAAUCUUUUAUUUAAAUUCAUGGACAAAGUGAAAAAUAAUAAGCCAGGACCUAGCAACGUUUGCAUGAUUUUUCCCAAUUUAUUGUUUUGCUUCUAUUAAUAUUUAUUUUUAAUAAAUAUGGUGAUAAAUUUUUGUACAUAUAUUGUAUUUUCUUAUUCUAUCAUUGCAACCUCAAAAUUCAAAUCUCUUAUGAGACCGAGAAAUUCAAAUCUCCCAUAAUCGGAAGAAAAAGGAGAGCCUGGGAAUAUAUAUUUAAGCGGCCAAUUCUAGCAUAUAUAAAUUACAAAACGUCAAAUUCGAUUCCUCCUCUUUUCUAGACCAUCUUCAAACCAGCUAAUCCAAUCAGAUUACGUGUAUUAUUAAGUUAUUAAACUUGGAUACGAAACCACCUUCUAACACCCUAGCUAGUUCAAGGUAGGGUCCGCAAUCUAACUAGCCGUUCGCAAGCCAAUCCGUGUUCGGCUCGAAAUGAGCUCGAGAUCAAACUGCUCGUUUAGUAAAUAAGUCGAAUACGAACUGAAUUUUUCAGCUCAUUUAAUAAAUGAAUCUGUUACGAGCCAGGGUCAGCUAGCUCGUGUUCGAUUCGAUAACAACUCGAAUUCAUAUAAUUUAUAUUUAUUUAUAUAUAAAUAAAUAAUUAAUUAUAUUUAUAAUUUAAAUUUUUAUUAUUUAAUUUUUAGUCCAAUCUAAACAUAAAGCCAAACCCUAUUAUUAUAAAAUUUAAACCGUUUGAUCAAAGUCUAGCAGAUAAGAUCCAAUAUAUUUAUUUUCUCUCUCUCUAUAUAUAUAUAUAUCAUUUUUAGUUCUUUAACUUCUUAUUCGUAUGCCAGUUCUUAUUUGGCUCAUGUUCAGCUGCUCAUUAAUAAACAAGUCGAAUAUGAGCUGAAUUUUUUGACUCGAUACUUUAACAAGUCAACUCUUGUUCGGCUCGGUUAUGAAAGUAGCUGCUCAUGUUUGUGUCUUUGACACCCCAGGUCCAAGGGAUAGGAAAUUUACAUCACGUACGGGUAAUGGAUUUACACUGCAACUUAGACCAGUCAGGAACGAAACCCAAUGUCCAAACAAUUUAGAUUCGAACCCAUCAAACCGACAGGCUUCCGUUCAACUAAUAACUCCAUCUGAUUUUAUAAGAACCGACCAGAUUUUUUUUUAUUAUAUAAUUAAAAGUUAAUUACAAAUAUAUAUAUAUAUAUAUAUUAGAUUUUUAACAAUAUAGACUUUAAAUAUAUGAAUAUUAUACUUAGAAUGUAUUUUGUAUUAUACAUAAUAUAAUAAAUAAUAAUUAUAAAUUUAUGACGUUAUGCUAAUAUGAUUCGAUCCAAUGGUUAAAUUACUGGUUGACCUAAUGAAUUAUAGCCCAAUAAUAAUUUGAUGAAUUAUUUACUGUUUUUGAAAAAAAAAAUUCAGAUUAUUAUUGUCAUUAUGAAAUUUUAAUAGAAUCGUUGAUUGUAUAUAGGGGUGUCAACCAGUAAUUUAACCAUUGNUGGUUGCAGCUCGUGUUCGGCUUACGAGCUGGCCAACGAAUAAUAAAUUAAAUAAAUUAGGUUGUAUAUAUAUAAAAAAUAAAUUUAUAAAAUUUUAUCAUUUUGUUCUAAUGAUGAAAAAUUUAUAUAUAAAUGAGUUUUUUCAUAAUUGAGCUCGAUUUUUUUUUAUUUUUUUUGCUAAAAAUCAAAUAAUAUAUAUAUAAUUAUCAUUUAUAUAUAAAUAUAUAUAAAUAUAAAUUAAAUAAAUUAUAUAAAUAUAAAAUAUAUAUAUUCGAGCUGUUAUCGAGCCGAACAUCAACUCACCUGUAUUCCACUCGUUUAUUAAAUAAGUUAAAAAAUUUAACUCAUGUUUGGUUCGUUUACUGAAUGAACGAUUCCAUCUCGAACUAAUUUCGAGUGAAACACGAACUAAUUUCAAGUCGAACAUGAACUGGUUUGCGAACAAAGAGCUGGAUUGCCACCAAAUUGUAUAUGGGUUGUUGGGAAUUUUAUUUAGUUACGAUGAUUAUAUUACGGUUUUGUAAUUUUUACGGAAUUAAAUAAAACAGAAUAAUAUUUCUAAAUAAAUUUGUAAAAAAAUUAUUUAGCGAACUACAAAAUGAUUUAGGGGACCUCUCUCGCCUCUGGGACGCUCACCACCGCCUAUUCUACUCCAUCUCAAUACGACAACCCAGAGUGAGCUCCCUCUCCGUCCCUCUCUCUCUCUCUCUCUCCAUAUCCUUCUCUUUUUUUCGCCAUGGCGUCGCCGAGCUCGGGGAUCGGCGGUAAUGGCGACGAACCCAACGAGCCUGCCUCCAUUGACGAGCUCUUCAACAUCAACUUCGUCCCCUCCGAGCUCUUCUUCAAGUUCCGCAAAGAAAUCGAGGGUCUCCGCGUCGGCGUCAACUUCGAGGUCGCCAAAUUCCCCCCAAUCCCCCCUCUCCACUUUCUUUUUCGAUCAAUUUUGGUUCUAAUUUGGGAGAAUUCUCAGCGAGGGUUAUUGGAGAUUAAAGGGCUAAUUUUCGGAAUUUUCGUCUUCUUUUAGGAGAAUUUUUUUAAUGAUUUUUAGGUGUUUUAUUUGCUAAAUAAUGGCAGAUUCAAUUCUGUUGUUCAUGAGAGGGAGUUGAUGGAAUGUUCAUUUAAUAGAUGCUGUGAAUUUUAUUCCAAAAGAAUGUUGUGAUUUUAUGAUGAAAUGCAUGCUUCGCUAUUGUAUACAUGGAAAUUGAAGAGCAUGGAGAUGCCAACUCAGGUUCAAGUAUUUUGUGCUUUUUUCAAGGUUCAAGCCCUAAUCUGUUCUAAAGUAAUGCCUGUGUUCAUUUAAUCAGUUCUUGUAAUGAGCGAAUUUUUGUUACGGUAAUCUAUUGCGCUACAUUACUGUCGUGUUCAACCAUUAAAAGUAAGGGAUUGAUUAAUUUUGUUACAUUUUCCAUGUGAUAUCAUCAUGUCAGCAAACAUCCUCCAAGAAUCCAAGGCGUUUUAAUAACUAAACAAUCUCUUGUCCUUAAUACAUCAUGCACGGCUUUAGUAUUACUAUUCAGAUUCAUAUUUGAGAUUUGUAUUGUUGAGAUUCUGGUGAGAAAGCAUGUUUCUUCAAUGUAUUUAUAUAUCUUCUUUUCCUCUCCAGUUCUUUAAUUAUCAGAGUAAUGAAUACGAGGCAAAAUUAGUUCUAAAACCAUUAGCUCCUGAUCGGAGGUGGAAGUUCUCAUACCGGCCCAUCCGUGGGGAUGUACAGCUACUUUCCAAAAAGAUACCAAUAACCAAAUUUCUUAAUCUCCAGGUACUGGUGCAUUUUCUUGUUAUUAUCAUAUGAAUUCUGGCACAUAAUCAUAGUUCUUAAUAUCAAUUUUCUCCUGGAGAGCAUCGUAGGCUCAAAAUACCUAAGAACUUAUUGAGCAUAUCAUUCAAGAGGUGGGGACAAAAGAAACCAUCAUGACAUUAGGCUGGGCAAAAUAUGAUCUAUCCCUAUCUAGAAGGGGCAAUAAAUUAGUGGGUUUGUAUCAUUUAAAUAUAUAAAAAGUGAAGUUGUCACCCUUUCAAAAUUGGCUAGCCAAAUUGUUAAUCAGCUAGUUAGGUAAGUAUACGCUAGGCUUCACCAAUAGAAAUCAAGAAUCUCUAAUCCCAGAUUAUAUUUCGAGGAUCCUGUAACCCUAGAUUAUAUUCUUAAUAGGCCAAGGGAUGGCUGAAUUCGUCGUCCAUCUUAUAUUUGAUCACAUGGCAAUCACUAUUUUCCGGUCUUGAAUAUUUUAGCUAGCAUUUUAAAUUUUCUUGUUAAUUUUAAUAUACUCUUUAAUGCUGUUUUUAGACACCACGAUAUAACUUGUAUGCUUUCUGUACAUGAUAUUUAAUCACAGCCAAUAGGAAAACAGAACAAUUGUUAAUGUCUAAAAUUUGAGUUUUUAUAUGUAAAAGCGAAUCAUGCUUAGUGGUACCUACAUGUUUGUUUCAUAGAAUAUGGCAAUGUAUCAACUCAAGGUGCAACCAUGAGCAGGCAAAAGGAAGCAGACUCUUGCAGAGAUUCAGAAGAGAAUGAUGUAGGACUGAAAAGACAGAAAGAUGUUAUAUAGGUUUAAGUACAGACACAUGAAUGAGGUAGUUUUACCAUUUAACGACAAGAAACAACAUUUCAGUUGGUGUUGCAUCGCAUAGAUUAGCAGGUGAUGGCUAAAGAAAAUGAAAAGAUGUAAUGAUUUAGAGUGAGCUGGAAGUGUCGUGAUUAAGUGUUCUUCAAAACUUUGAGCUUAUAAUGAACAUGUGUUUUCACUACUAAUAGUAUCUCAUUAAUUACUUGUGUAAAGCUUUCAGACAAUUUGGCUUUCUUUUAGUUUCUUCUGGUACAGCAAACAAUGUAUUUUGAGAUGUUGUCACUUGGUGGUAUGUGUUCCAAUCUAUCGCAAUCUUGACUUCUGAAGGUGAUACCAAAAUUUGACUUGUUAUGAGUCGAGUAAGAUUUAAUUACUGAUAUAUUUUCGGCCUCGUGAAUUAGCUUUUACUACCUUUAGGGAGGGAAAAAGGAACAAGCAUGGCUUUCUAGUUACCAAGAUGAGUUUUUUAAGGGCCACAGAAAGGAAGAAAAACAAAAUGGAUCUUUAUUCAAUUCAAAAGGCGGGGUUAUUCUCAUUGUAGUUCUCUCUUCUUCUUCUUUGCUUUUCUUUUCUUUUUUGGUUAUUGAGGUAAACCUUUUCUUAUUUUUGAGUAGAUUAACUUCUAAAAACUUAAUUUCGGGUAUAUGUUGGCUGAAAUGUUAUGAUAUUAUGAAAAUAUAUAUAGAAACUGGUUCGAAUUACUUCAUAUGGUUAUUUCCAUGUUCAAGAGUGCAGAAAUUUUUAGUGUUGCGAAAAAACGUUUUUGAUCAAUAAUUCUAAAAUAGAUAGUGAGUUAUAAAAGGAUAGAAACAGUUCGGGUUGAGAUCUAUAUAGUAUUUUGAUGAAAAGCUAGGCCGUUUCUUCUUUUUCCCUGUGUAUCUUUUGGCUUUUUGUAUUGGAUGAAAGCUACUAAAGUUGUAGAGAAAAAUGAUUGCUCGCAUUUAUCUCCUCAGUACUGUUUGUUUCUCUCUUUUGCUUAAGAGGUCUCCUGCCCCCAACUAGGAUUUUUAAUUAUAAUUUGAUUAUGUGAAAAGAGUCCUAAUCUAUAAAUGGUUUUUUGGAAAGAUUUUCAUGCCUAGUUUACCAAUCUUAUAUGUGAUCGAGAGGGACAUGGCGGGCCUAAUGAUUCAUCAUGGAAAAUCAGUUUAACUUUCUAUAGUAGGAACCUGCUUCUAUAGUUCUCUCUCAUCUUGUUUGCUUUUUCUUCUUUCUCCGCUUAGCAUUUACUCUUUUAUCUACCUUUUGUGCUAUUUCUUGAACCAUCAAGUUCCUUGAGUGAACCUGAACUAUUAAUCACUUCCUCUUUUGAUCUUUUCGGUUGCUGAUCAUAAAGUCCUAGUUGUUGAUAACAUCAUAGUACAUGUAAUGCUCUUACCAUACUAGCUAGCGUAUGGCGAAUUCUUGAUUAAUGUGAAGAUCUUGCGUGAUAGAAUGUCUCUUGAAACUAAGUUGUUCCAUGUUCAUCAUUAUAAUGCAGGUUGGCAUUGGCCACAGUUUCCAAAUGAAUGCAACAGGAUGGAAGUGGAAGCUCUCUACUAGCUUUGGCGGAGAUGGUGUUUCCCAGAUUAGAAACAAGACAUCUAUUGGCUUGUUUCCAGGUUUUGAUUUGAGGAUUGGUUGGAGGGCGGAGUAUGUCCUUCCUGAGAUUCAUGGGUAAGUCCUACUUGCACUGCUAACAAUCAUGGAUGGAGGAUCCUCUGUUAUAAUGAAUAUAUCUUUAUAAUGAAAAUUCUACGUAAGUGUAUAUAACAAAGUUAAUAUCAUUUAUAGAAAUGAUAUUAGUAGCUAUGAGAUCUAGUGAAUUUUUCUGGCAUAUAUGCUUUCUUCCACUUUUUAACUUUUCUCUUAACUCCAUUACAUAUAUCCCUUGUUAUCUCUUUUUCUACGGCAGAGUUACAUUUUCCUUGGUGAAUUUUGCUUUGACAUUUUGGAAGGCCAACAAUGUAUUUUCAUCGACGCAAUCUAUUCCUAUUUAUGAGUUGGUAUAUGUAUAAUCGACUUAAAAGGAUGUCUAACCUACUCGUGGCAGGGCUGUGGGCACAGGAGAACCCGUUUUCAAUAUGACCUAUGGUCGCUUGCAUGCAUCAAUCGAUCGGGUGGAGACCAUUUUGACUCAUGCUUCUUAGACCUUCUUAUUUUAGUUUUGAUGAGUCAACAGGCUUCGACCAAGCAAUUGGGGCUAGAAAAGUGCUCAUCAUGAUAAAAUCGGGAAGCUGCGGAGCUUGUGAGGUCUGUGAUUGGAGAAUUUUCAUGGCUAGUGCUCCAUCCUUUCAUGCAAGGUGCAUCCGCGUAAUGUGUUGUUUGCACUUUCUAGUUUGGGAUAUCUUCAAAUGCCCAUCCUGCGGUUUUCUCUGUGUCCUCUUUUAUUGCAUUUAACUGGCAGUGGUUAAUGUUUCACUGAGCACUUUCCAUUUGGGGUAAUUUCUGAUCACUGAACAAUACCACAGGGUGCUUGAGUGCAAUAAAUGAAACUAUAAGGUAGAAGAGCAACUGUGCUAAACGGCAAUUGAAGUUAUUCCUAUAAUUAUGGUUAUGAAGUUGAAUUACUGUACAGUAUACAAACAACCACAUCAGAUAGUUUAUUUGAAGGGGUUCUGCAUAGUAAUCGAACUUGAAUUUGAAACUAAAUUUCAUUGCAUGUUUCUGUAUUCUCCAAUUAUCUUGUUUCAUGUGUGCUUUUGUUCUGUUUUUCUCAGUCUUUCUGUCCCAUCUGAAUCUUCUAUUCCUAUCCGAUACGAUUACAAAAUCACUUAAUGUUGCCAAUAAGUGUUAGUUAUAUCCGUGUCAGCUUAGGAUCCACAGUGAUUUAGGGGUGUAAACGAGCCGAACACGAGCUGACUCGUUAAAGUAUCAAGCCAAAAAAUUCAGCUCGUGUUCGGCUCGUUUAUUAACGAGUCGAACACGAGCUGGCCAACAAACAAUAAGUUAGAAAGAAUUAGAUUGAAUGUAUAUAAAAAAUAAAUUUAUAAAAUCUUAUUCAUUAGACUUUGAUCUAAUAGUUAAAACUUUACAUAUAAAUGAGUCUUUUUAUAAUUAAUGCUUGUAUUUAUAUUUUUAUUUUGCUAAAUUAAUAAAAUAAAUUAUUAUGUUAUAUAUAAUUAUUAUAUAUUCAGAAAAUAAUUAAAUAAAUUAUAUAAAUAUAAAAUAUAUGUAUUCGAGCUGUUAUCGAGUCGAACGAGAGCGAAUUGAUCCUAGCUCUCGUGUUCGGCUCAUUUAUUAACGAGCUGAAAAAUUCAGCCCGUGUUCAGCUCGUUUACUAAACGAGUGAUUCGAUUUCGAGCUCAUUUCGAGCGGAUCACUAGUUGGCUCGCUAACAGCGAGCUGGAUUGCUACCCCUACGGUGAUUGCAACGUAUUACCUCCGCAGUGAGCCAGCGAUAGCCCUAAUUUAUCAUGCUUCCUUUGUUUUCUGCAUGUUGAUUGGUUUUAAAAGAUUUAUUCCGUAGUCGUGUACUUAUUCUGCAGCAACACUGCUUGAUUAUUUUAUGCACCGAGUUCUCAUGCUUCGCCAUUAGUUUUCUUAUCUUUAAUCGGAUCCAUUUUCAGUUUGUGAUUCAAAACUGAUUCGGUCGACCUCAUUUCAUGCUUUGGAUCCAAGAUUCAGGAGGGUCGACCUUGCUUUGUAAAUAGGCUUGACCCAACACUUUUGGGCUCUGGAACAGCCACACACGAUUAUCGGUUGAGCCUUCCUAUGAGGAUAAAUUGUGUAAACUUGGAAAUAGGAGAAUAUAUUGCUUGCUUAGCCUUGAUAGGUUCUUAUUUGCUGUGUUUAGUUUGCGCAAGAGUAUGAAAUAGCAGAGUUACUUCUGGUUCCAACUUUGUUAUACAUAUCUUUCAACAUUGCUAUCCGAAGAUCAACUUUUGCACCCUACUUUAAUGACUAUUUUUUUUGGAGGAAAAGUCUAUUUUUGCCGAUUUGGUGAGCCGAAUAGCACCACUCUUUCUGUAAUACCAGAAGAGAUAAUCUAAAUACUGGAAUAGGGUGUUGCAAGAAUUACAUAACUAGAGAUGACGUACAAGUAGUAUUAUUUAAUAGUGAAAUUCAUGGUAAUCUUUAGGUUGGAAGAGGGGGUGGAAUUGUUAAUCUUAUAUAGUGAUGUCUCUCAGGCCCACCAUUAUUUAGCUCUCUCAACAGUUAAAGCUUCAUGCUGCUUUACUAAGAGCUACUUUCUCUGAGGGUAACCCACAGAAUGUGGAGAAAAUCAAUCUUUAGCUAAAAUCUCAGACCGCAAGGCAUAACUUGCACUAACUGUACUUGAACUUUCAAUCGAGUUGUAUUAUGGCUCACAAGCUUUUAAAGCUUAGCAUCCAACGUCCUAAAUUUUUAGGACUUUAUGUUAAUCCUCACAAUAGUCUAAUGUUGAGGGGAAAAAAAUCACACCUACAUCUACGCUCCAAGCACAGAUUUAAACCCAACUGUCCUUUUUUUUUCAAGUGAUGCUAAGCCCUCGAAACUCAAAAUAUAAGGUAAGAUCUAAAUCCAAGGAUAAGCAUCCAUGGACCUUGCUAUGCAAUGUAAGCCUACAACAACUUUUCCUCGCACCAAAUAAAAAUAACAGGUAGAUAUAUCUUCAAUAGGUGGGAGUCUACAAUGUCUACAUUAUAAGUUGAAACGCCACGGUAUUAAACGGAUCACAUGGAUGCUCUCUUAUGUCUACAAUAACAAUAAUAAUAAUAAUAAUAAUAAUUUUCGAUCGAUCAUGCGCUCAAUCAACCGACAUUCCCAAAGAGGUCCCCAAAGCAGCCCACUUUCCCGCUGGGACCAGCAGCAGAAGCACCUUCAAAAAAGGCAUUCCGAGAAAUUUCCAAAUCCCCAGAAUUUAAAACCUCAUAACCUCUCCAAUUUACGAGCCCCAGAAUCACGAGGAUGGCUCCGCCCCGUGUCAGAGUCCAAGGACCACAAACGCACCCCACACACUCAUCAAUCAUCGCAGGUCCCCCACAGUAUACAGCUAAGAGACCCUGCCCCACUCACACACCCAAUUAUUAAUUCUCCACUCCCCCCUAUCGUUGCAAAACACCAACAUCCUUUUCUCUGCCACGUACAUAACACGCAACAAUCGUACCGCAGACACAUUUGAGACACCCCAAGUGACCCUCUGUCCUCGCUCCCGAAAUAAGCAAAACAGCCAACCAGCUUUCUCUGAUACUAUCCAAAAACUAUUUAAUACAGUUCACAUGAUCCUGAUGCUACAAAAUAUCGAGAGCAAAUAAAACCAAGAUCACCGAAUUUACAAAGCCGCUUUCGUACUCCCGUCGAUAAUAAUUUUACUUUACUUCAGUCGGUGUUCUGUGAUAUCACCUCGCCGAACUUGAGGAAGAGCUGGGCGUCGGAAGAGCUCAUCGAUGCGGCGCAGGUUAGGGCGCUGGGGCUCUUGAGGUUGGAGUACUCGUCGAUGUAGCUGGGGAGGGACUGCGGCGGGGGUAGGGUUAGGGCCUGGGCGGGCUUCGGGGACGGGAGGGGCCGGACGAGGCAGCCCAGCACGCGGGUCACCUCGUGCAUGGUGGGACGAUCAGACGGCUGCCGCUUGGUGCACAGGAGGGCCAGUUGAAAGACCUUCUUGACCUCCCCGAGAUCUUUGCAUGUGGAAGAGACGUCCGGAUCCACCGUCUCCAUCACCGCAUUGUUCGUUGCUUUGGAAAGUAUCUGCCGAACAGAAUCAGAGGAGAGCUCAUAUCAGUGUUAAAUGGUGGUGACCACAAAAAGCUGUUUCAUGCUAUUGGCACUCUGUCGCCUAAUAAAAAGUACUACUGUACCCCCAUGAACACAUCCACAUGAUAGGUUUCAGAGUAGAUGGUCCCACUAAGGAUCAUUGUAUCAUGAGCGAGAAGAACUAGACGCAAAAGAAACUAGGAUAGAUCAUUUUUACAUAUAUAUCUAUAUAUAUAUAUUUAUACAUAUAUAUAUAUAUAGGGAAAAAAAAAAACGGCCCCUCUUUGAAAAACCCUCUACAAGACUAAAUUUCUCCUAUGAGUUUGAUGAUUUGCAACCGAAGAGGAGUUAUUUUCGCAAUUAAUUCUGCAUUCAAGGGUCCUAAUGAUGCUUUUGCAGGGUCAUAUAAAGAAAAAUUGAAUCUGCAGGGACGUACAUGAAAAACCCUCUGCUAUUGGCAGAGUAACCUAAUUAUAAUUUUGUACUGCAACACGACAAAUAAUGAAUGGAAAUGUACACGUAGACGGCCACAUAAUAAGGGUUUUCAAGUAUUCAAUCACCCCAUUGAAUUAUUGAGUAGAAAGACCCUCUAGAGCACAAGAACAAUUGGAAUAGAAGAACAAUUGGAAUAGAAGGGACCAAAAAGUCUAGUUUGUUACCAGGUGAUGUAGAUUGCACUCGUUAUCCACUGCCUUUUUACCAGUUAAGAUUUCAAGGAGGACAACGCCAUAGCUAUAGACAUCCGAUUUCUCAUUGAGCCGGGAGGUGCGUGCAUAUUCGGGAUCAAUGUAGCCAAUGGUGCCCAUUACGUAAGUCGACGUGUGAGUCUUCGACACGCACAGGCUCUUUGCGAUGCCAAAGUCAGUGAGGUGAGCUUCGUAGUCCUUGUCAAGAAGAAUGUUUGAGGACUUCACAUCACGAUGUAUAAUGCGGGGACUGCAGUCAUGGUGCAGAUAAGCCAGGCCUUGUGCCGCUCCCAAAGCGAUCCGGAGACGAGUGUCCCAAUCGAGCUUUUUCUUCUUGGUCGGGCCUGCACAGGCAAAGAAUGAAAAAGAAUGUCAAACAGCUUAGAAGAACGAAAUUUUUGAUGAAAAUUACUAGCUUAUAAAGAAAAUUAUGUUCAAUGAUUACAAAAUCAAAUCAUUUGAUUUUUCUUUAGUGACAAGCUGAUUGCGGGUUCCUAGAAUUGAAAAAGGUCUGGAUCUGUCUGCACGAUGUCAUCUUUAUUAUAAUUGAAGUAGAACAAAUGGACCUAGCUCACAAGCAUACCAUAGAAAACUGCACCAAGUUCUGUUAUAAUCAACAGGUUUUGUCAAAAUGAUAUUAUAUAAUACUUUGUCAAGUGAGAGAAUAUUGUGUUAGGACUUGGAUACAGAAUAUUUGGUUAAUAUAGUUAGAUAUACAUUAUCUUACGAUGGAGAGUAUUUCAACAAAUAUUGAGUUUGGGAAAGUCAAAAUUUUGAAGUUUAGGUAUCCAUUUUAAAAUAUGCUAUAGUUUAGCAAAAGUCUGUAUGCUUUACCCAAAAAGUGAUGUACUGUUCAUCGUAUCACAGAGACAGAGUCUAACAUACCAUGCAGAAGAUCCCAGAGGCUGCCAUUUUCCAUGUAAUCAUAAAAAAGCAGGUUGCCGGAUGGGGACAAGGAGUAUCCUUGUAGGCUGACCAGGUUUCGAUGCUUUAUACUCCCAACAGUCUCUAAUUCAGUCUCGAAUUCCUUUGAGCUCUGUGGAUAGUGGGAGUAGAGCCUCUUUAUCGCCACUGGCUUACAAUUCUUGAGCAUGCAUUUGUACACAGUGCUUGAUGCACCAUAGCCGAUUAUGUAUUUUUCACUCAAGUUCUCGGUCAUCCGCAUAAUGUCUUCAUACACAUGAAGGGCCAUGUUCAUAUGCAGUAUCACAAGCUUGGGUGUAACAUUCACUGCAAAGAAGUCGAGUAUUGGUUUAAUAAGUAGUUGGUUGUUGUUCCCUGGCAUUAGUAGAUUAUAUCAGAACCAUAGAUGUUCAAAAGAUUGGCUCCAGUGCAAGCGGAAAAAUUAGCACAUACUCAUUGGCAAGUUAAAUGAAACCAAACAUAAAUGCAAGAAUAAUAGUAGCUAUCAUAACAACACAACAUCAUCAAGUAAGGCUUGUGAAAGAGUGAUGACACAGUAAAUGACCUGGUUUGGUUAUUGAACCAUCUGGGAAGGGGGGAGGAUUGUGCGGCCUGCAAACAGCUACCAAGAUCAUUAAUAGUAUUACAAGGCCACCCAAGGCAAUUCCAAGGAUUGCGGCUUUUGAGAUUGGAGCUGCAUUAGUUAUUGCAAAGAAAGAUCCGCAUAUGAGUAUUCUUAUCGAACAAGAAGUGUGUUUUUUCCUGGUCACAGUAUAGCAAACUGAAGUUGCUAAAAUAUUUACCUCUCUCUGCUGGAUGUGAUGAACGACAAGAUGAACUUAGCCAAUAGCCACAAAGCCCAGGAUUGCCUAUAAAGCUGCAAAGGAAAAUCAAGCACUCAUAACACCAAAACCAACCAUAACAAUUUAGCUGAAAAGGACAAAUACGACAACUUGAGUAUUUUUGCAGAGAUACUGCAAUGAUUAGCAAUCCUACCUAUCAGGUGAAAAUCGUGAGAAAUUGUUGUCUGUGGGAAUUUCACCAACCAAAUUGUUGUAUGAUACAUUCCUGCUCGGUUUCCAACAUGACAGGAAUUGUCAGCUCCAACAGCAAAAGAGCAGCUACCAUAGCAAAUCAACUGACAAUCUAUAAGAUCAUGAAAGAUUAUAGACUUACAGCACAGUAAGACUGAAGCAGUUGGUGAGAGAUAUAAUGUCACCUGACAAAUUGUUACUCUCUAAUUUUCUGCAAAAGAGUGUGGCAUACAAAAGAAAUCAGAUGAUUUUAAAACUUCAGAUAAUUAAAUAUGUGAUUCGAGAGAAGGGUGUAGAAUACAAGACUCACAGUAAGAAGAGAUUUUGUAGCAGACCAAGUUCUUGUGGAAUUAGGCCAGAUAAUUGAUUAUGAGAUAUAUCACUAGAACAUUGAAUUUCCGAUGAAACAUUCCAUGCGUAAGCUAAGUAUGAAAUGAAUAAAUGUAGCUAAGCAAUUGAAGAGUUAUAAAUGGUUGGAUAUCCUUACAUCUCCAUGAUACUUCGUAAAUUUCCAAACUCCCCAGGAAUGUAGCCAGCUAGAUGGUUGUCACUCAAGUUUCUGCAGAGCAUAAAAGAGAGAUUUUACAAAAAAACAGAAAUUGAGAAAGAAUGUCGCUGAUUAUAAAAUCUUACAAUUUUAGAAGAUGCUCUAAAGAACCAAUAGAGGAUGAUAUGGGACCGCUUAUUUUGUUACAUGAAAGAUCCCUGCAUAAAAUGUGUUGAUAUUGUUAUAAAAUAUCUAGCGAAAACAAAGGUAGUGUUCACGAAGAUCAGAGAGUUUUAUUUGUCCAUCUGCACUUACAGAGUAUCCAAAUUACCAAUUCUCGACAGUUCAAUAGGAAUAGGACCCUUUAAAUUGUUUGAUGAUAGAUUCCUGCAACAGGAAGAAAAAGCAUAUGCUAAAAGUCAGGCUUCAUUGGUUAGAGACUCGUAAGUUAUGAUAUAUCACCUCAGCUACAUACCAACAAAUACACUUUUACAUGUUCGAACUUGUUUACUCAGGAAAAAGGAAAAUAAUGCAGAAGGCCAAUUUUUUAUAGAAGCUAUAAAGGUAAACUCACAAGUAAGUCAUGCUUUCGAGCUUUUUGAACGAACGUGGAAUGGUUCCAUUCAGCUUGUUCCCAUGUGCAUUUCUGUGACAAAAUCAAUAAAUGAAAAUUCUACUUUAACACACAUACUCAGCAAUGAGGGAGGGUGAAAACUGAUACUUACAAACUAUUGAGAUUGACACAUGAGCUGAGGUUAUCAGGAAUCGGCCCUUCAAGAUAGUUGUUUGCGACAUUCCUGCAAAACCAUCUCAGAAGAGACAGGCUAGUUUCCGUGCUGAACUGCUGAACUAUACUUAACGUCAAUUAAAGGUCAGUAAAAAAGCUUACAGGUCAAACAAAUCGCUAAGUUUCCCAAGCUCAGGUGGAAUGCUCCCAGUGAGCCGAUUAUCAUUAAGCUCCCUGAUGGUUUACAAUUCAUAAUCUUUUAAACUGUUGAUAUCUGUAAGAAAUUAAUAACCAAGAAGCAGUGAAAUAUUUAUCCUCACAAAUAAUGAAGUCUUGUCAUGUUUCCAAGCUCUGGCGGGAUGGGCCCUGUCAAUUUAUUUCCUUGCAGAUACCUGUAAUAUAAGACGAGCAUUUAGUAGCUGUCACAUUAGAAAACACAAAGUGAACUGUGUUUCAUAAGAACACAGCAUUUGUUAAGCUACAGUAUACAUAUAUAAGACGACUACUAGUUGAGAGAUUUUUACAUACCAAAUUGGUGCGAGUGUUGGUGAAAGUCCUUAAGUUGUCAGUAUGAACUAUACAGAACUAUACAGAGGACUACAAUCAACUUAAAACUACUGGCAUUCUUUUAUGAGCGAUAGACUUCACAUUUAUAGUCGACGUAUAGUAAUAGAUCAGGAAAACAGUGAAAGAAAACACUACUUAAAGAAUAGCAAUUAACAAUCAUACAUUUUAUCAGGCGAGUGUCAGAAUUGAGGGGGGGAAAAAAAGAAUCAAUCAGAAUCACAAACUUACAGUUUUUCAGUGUAGGUCAAGUUGCCUAAGAUAGGUGGAAUGGGACCACUUAGAAGGUUACAGCUUAGAUCUCUGCACCAAUAAAAUGUAAGCCUUCUCAAUCUAACAAUACCACAUGCUUGCACAGGAAAAAGAAUUUCAUGCACAGAAUGCCCACUAUGGUAAUUUAGCCAAACGGCAUAAUAAAAUGCAAGCAAUUUAUUAAUGAACUACUUCCAUCGAAAUAAAGCCCAGGUUAAAAAAUUGGUAUAAAAUUUGUCGAACUUACAACACUGCAAGAGCCUGCAUAAGACCAAUCACAGAUGGAAUAGGCCCGGAGAACUUGUUCCCUUGCAGCGACCUGUUAAACAUUGCACAAAAAUUUUUUCGUAACUCAAAUGUUUUCGUUAAUAGAAAAUAAACAUGUAAAUUUGAUGCAAAAAAUAAGAAACAGAUCAAGUAACUUGUCUCCAAAUAUAAAAAAAUAAUAAUAAUAACUUAACCACCACAUACAAAGUAGCAACUUGCAAGAACCCAAUGUUGAAGGGAAUAUCUCCAGAAAACUGAUUGUACGAUAGAUCCCUAGCAAUGCAGCAAUAAGCAAUUAUAGCCCACUUUGCAUCUUGAGGAGGAUUAAAAAAAUUAGUUUGGAUGGAGGGCUGAUAUACGUACAAAACCUGAAAACUUGUACAGUUCCCAAUACUCUGAGGUAUGCCCCCUGUCAAGCUAUUGUUCUUAACAUCGCUACAAGGUACACCUAUUAUUAGAGACUAAAAUGCAGGAAUAUGCAGAGGAAAGCGGAAAACAAAUAUGGAAACUGUAGACUUACAAGUACCACAACCCAGUCAACUGGCACAUAUCGGGAGAUAGGAUUCCCUCCAAAUUAUUCCCUCGCAAUCCCCUGUUUAAUAUAUAUAGCUUGCAAAUCAAUACCAAAUAAAAAAUCUCUAGGUACAUUGAAAACCUAUAAAAUGAGUUGUAAAGAAAAAAAAAAUGUGGCCAAACUUCCGGUAGAAGUCACUGCUAACAAUUACUCACAGAUACUGCAGAACUUCAUUCCAAUAAAUAAGCCUCGGAAUUUCCCCACUCAACUUGUUUUGAGCCAAGUCUCUACAGUGAGAUGGAGUUAGAAUUACCCAAAUCAAGAUGUAGCUGAUGAAGGAGAACAAAUAUACUUACAGAAUCUUCAAAUUUGGUAUCUGAGAUAGUGUUGAAGGAAUAGGCCCGAUCAAUUGGUUGUUUUUCAAUAUCCUGAAACAAUCGAAAAUAAGUCAUUGUACUGUUAACUCCUCGUACGUACUUAAAAUCACUGCAGUAUGUAUCCACAAGACUUACAAGUUCUCCAAUUGCUUUAAUUUAGAAAUUGAAAAUGGUAUAUCACCAAAGAUAUUGUUGUAUGAUAUGUCUCUGCAAGACCCCAAGAGCAAGAUAAAUAAAAUUACAAACAAAAGCUUAAUAGUUGUCUACAGAAAAACUUAAAAAGUGAAACUGGUCCCUUGCCACUUCACCAAAGCUAACAUAGAAAAGUUUAUAAAUGGUGAAAAAUGAAAACUUUCAUAAGAAUACUCGGACUUACAUCACUUUUAACGACGGACAAUCACCAAUUUCAUCUGGAAUCUGUCCGGAAAAACGAUUUGCUUUCAAGUCUCUGUCAAAUUACAUUGCAGAGAACUAAUUAGGAAAGUAUUACUACCAAGGUAGGUACUGCCUGUCUCUCCAGCCAAAAAUUUCACAAUCAGACCCAAAAAGCAUAUUCAACUUUUAGCUCAGUGUUACUGUUAUUGAAUUAAUUUCAGAAAAUAACAGCAAUAAUUACACUAGAAUGAGACAAUGCUUAUUAGACUAUACAUAGAGAUUAGGCUCUUCAGGUUCCCAAUUGACGGUGAGAUCUCCCCUUCAAGAUUCAAGCUUGAUAGGUUUCUGAAAUUCAUCAAAGCAGCAUUAAACAUAUUUCAUGCAACUUACAAGGAAAAUGCAAAAACAGUGUCUUAAUUAGAAAUAAAAACUGGAUAAAAACAAUAUGUCCUUACAGGGCAAUAACAUUGAAGGUUACAUUGUCGCAGAUCACUCCUCGCCAUGAGCAGUAAUCGGAGAUCGAGGAUUCGCUCCAGUCAUACAGUAUAUUAUCCGCAUUGCGAAACGACUUCUUUAUCUCCAGCAAUGUAGCACCUAAAUAACAAGUAUUACAACACAAACUUAGACAAUAUAAGUGAAUAAUUUUAAGCAUAGAGGUGUUUUAAAAAAAGCAAGAUUGAGGCUGUUCAGAAAUGAAAUUAUGAAGCUCUUCUCCGUUUAAUCAUGAAAACCUAUUUGAAUGUAGGGCAAAUUAAAUAGAAUAGGUGAAAUGGGCCAAAUUUAAAUUUCAAAUUAAAGAAUUACACUGUACACAAACAUCAAGAUUCAAACUUUCUUUUCACUCAAGUACACUGAAAAAAAAAAUAGAGCCCGAGAUAAACAUAUUGUAUAGCAAACGAAGCCAAAAAAACUGACUUAAAAUAUGUAGAAAUGGGGAAAAAAAACCCCACAAAACAUAAGAAAACAAAACAAAGAAACCUUGUUAUCUCUAGCUGGAAAGAUGAGGGAAGAGACGUUUAGAGGGGGCAAAGAGAAAUAGAGAUAGAGAGAGCGAGGUGUUUGCUAAAGAGCCCCCAAAAAAAGUACUUUUUCAAAUAAUAAAAUAAUAAGAUUGGGGGUGUGAUCCCAUCUUCUAUUCCAACAGGAAGAGGCUUAGAAUAAAAAAAUCAGAGCACAUACAUCACGUAUAUAAUAAUAACAUCAUCUCCUAAACACUUCUCCUACUAGAUUACAAACACAAACACAUCCACUACAGAAACAACAGUAGCCAUAAAAAACCCGAAACAAAAAGCAAAAGAAGGAAAAAAUCCAGCUAAAAAACGAUAGAAUAAACGAGUUUAAUCCGAAUCUAAGACCCCUACAUUGCAUCUCUACACUUACCAUCUCCGUCAUUCCCACCACAAACCGAUCUAAAACCCCCACACAGAACCAAAAAUGAGGCGACGAGCAGUAGCAGGUUUCUCCUCCGAGGAUCCUCCAUGGCCUCCUCCUCCUCCACUACGCUCCUCCUCCUCCUCCUCCACUACGCUCCUCGUCUGAAGGUUCUAGAAGCUCCGACCCGACACUCCCAACCCAUCCAGAACCCACUCUAGAAAAAGAGAGAGAGAGAGUAGUAGUAGUAGUAGUAGUAGCCGUAGUAGUAGAGGCGCUAGGGAGAGCUCGUCGCCAUUGUUGUUCCCACCACUGAGCUCGUAGGGAGAGAGUGAGAGAGUUGGGGGGGAGUAUGUAGGGAGAGAGAGAGAGAGAGAGAUGGAGGGAGGGGGAAGGGAGAUGGGGAUCACGAAGGGCUCGCCCCUGACCCGUCACAUCGAUGAGGCAGCGUCUGUAAAUACAAUCCAACACCCUCUUNAGAGAGCAGAGAGGGUGGCAGAGGUGUUCUUUUCCGCUUUCAUUUGUUUCUUUCCCCGGUUUGUUCGAGUUUUUAACCGAUUCGAGAUUAAAAAAUUUAAAAAACUAAAAUUAAAAAAACCCACUACAAGUACAUUUGGAAUAGCGGUACAUACAAUGUAGUAAUAGUGCGGGGGCGGAGUAUUAUUAUUAUUAUUAUUAUUAUUUUAUUAUUAUUAUGGAUUUGAUGAGUGGAGUGAUGAGUGUACGGGAAACGGAGUACGUGAGAAACGACAAAAGCUGGGAAACGCCGUCUUCGGGAUGAAUUAUUAUUGCCUGCUCCUAACCUAUCCGUACGCGCCAUGCACCUCAUUAACUUUUGACCAUGAAUGCCUUAAAUUUAAGAAAUAAUAGCGUGCUAACCAUAUAAAAUUAAGAUACUAUAAACUUUUUAUUUUGUUCUUUAAAAAUGCUACAUAUAUAUUUUACUGCUAGGGCUACUAUACUGUUAUGAGCAUAGAUUUUUUUAUAUUUAUAAAUUUUCUAUGAUUGGAUGAAGAGAUAUACAAUUAGAAUGAGAUGGUGGUCUCCGAUUAUGAUGAUAGUGGUUCUCCUAAAAUUGAGUCGGUGGUUGGUUGAAUAAUAUAAUCUAACUAGUGACAAUGAUUAAAAUAGUAUAGAUCAAAUGGCAAAAAACUUACGAAUAUAAAAUGAUCUAUACUUAUAAGAGUACAAUAAUCGGACUUUAUAUUUUACAGUACUCUUAAAUCUUAUUUUUAAAAAAAUAAUAAUAAGAUUAGUGGAUUAAUUUUAUCUACACAAAAUCUAGAAUGUAAGAUUUACACUCUUUUUAAACGUACAAGUAAUAUUAUUAUAAUUCGUAACUUUAAAAUAUCUAAACUUUAAAAAAUUAUAUAUUUUUUUUGGAGUCAAAACUCAUCAAAUUUUCAGAGUAAUAAUUUUUUUUUUCUAAGUGUGAUCAGCAACCGCGAGAUUAAGCUCUAUCACCCAAUGUGAUCAGCAAUGGAAUAUUCCAAUUUUAUAAUAAUUUUAAUUAUUUAUAACCCAAUAAAUAUCAUUCUCAACAUCUAAAUAACUGAUAUAUAAAAUUACAAUAUAUCUAAAACUAUAUUACUAAAGCAUCAAGUAGUUUUGAUAAACUUUUACACCCGGUGCAGGCAAAAUUUUCUCCAUUUUGAGGUGAUGGGUGCGUGUCACGUCGUGUCUAAUUAAGUAAUUAAGUGCUCUGAUACUGUGAUGGUGAGAAUUAAUGUAGUUUAUUAUUCAGGAAAAUAUAGACUUCUCCUUUUCAUUAAUUAAUGAAUAAGUAAAAAAGGUAUGUUCGUUUUUGCACGUGAUUAGAACUGAUUAUUAAUUAGAGACUCUUUUAGGCUCAGGAGAAGUGUUAGUGUUGCAAUCAUUUGGUUGACUCUGGAUCUUAUUAUAUUAUAUCCAAAAUACGUUAGUUGGUUUAUUAUUUUUUUGACUAAAUAAUUGCAAAAUACACCCUUAACCUUUCAACUUUUUGUUUUUUUAAGCAGAGACGCAUAGGUGAUCGUCCGUAGAUACAGUUCCCACAAGACAUAAUUAAAUUAGAUAAAAUUGCAGUAUAAAAUUACUGCAGAUUUAAAAUUUUAGAAUAAUUAUUAAAUCCCGGUAUAAACGAGUUAUUAUUUUAUUAAUUUUUUAUAUGCAACUAAUACUGGAUGUGCCGAUGUGCAUCAACACCGCUCAAUGUAAAUUUGAUAAGUCUAUACACACAUUUUUUUUUAUAUACCAGUAUGAAUACAUAAAUAUAAUUGAUAUACAACACAAGUGACUAGUGCCAAUCAUAUCACACCAUACUGGUAGGUAUAAUAAUUUCUCGACUAAAGCGUAGGUUUUUGGAUAAUUUAUUUAAGGAAAAACUUUAAAAAUUUUCCAUGUGAUUUUAUAGUUUCUUAUUUUAUCCCCUGUAAUUUAAAAUGUAUCAAAUUGCCUUCCUACGGUUUCGUUUUUAUCUUUUCGGUAGCUUUUUCGUUAAUAUUUUUACCAUUGAUUUAAGAAAAAAAAAUAAUGAAAUUGAUAAGAAAAAGAAAAAAAAGAAACCAAGGAGGGGGCAAAUUGUUACAUUUUAAACCACGUGGGGGCAAAGUGAGAAACUACGAAACCACGGAGGAGGUUUUUGAAGUUUUCCCUUUAUUUACUGUGUGUAUUGAGUUUUAUCAAUACUAUUCGCCAACUUAUUUAUAUAAAGUUUUGCACUAAAAUCUACUUUUUUUUAAUUCUAUUUUACACGUGUUAAUUAAAAAUUUGGGUUCGCCCGGUAAAAUUCUCUCUCAAUUUUUUUAAGUAUUCAGCAUAAAUUAUUAAUUAUUCAUGCCGAAAGUAUAGUAGUUUUGUUUAGUUUUCUUAUUAUUAUUACUAUUCCAAUCGAAGGUAGUAGCAAUAGGUUCUACAUUUUAGCCAAAUGUGGAGGUAAAAGCAACGGCAAAUUUAGAAGCAGCCGAAGUGUUAGCAAUUUUAUCAUCUUUCGAAAGUUCCUUUUCUUUCAAACCAAACGUCCACCGAGCUCAUUCAUUCAAGUUCGGCACAAAUCAAGCCGCCAAACACAACGUACUUUAUAAUCAGAGACUGCAUAUUUCUCCUAGAGUUUGGGCCAGUCGGAAAAUUAGAACUAAAUCCAAAGUAUUUUGAGCUUUCUUUUUCUAAGCCAGGAAUUAACUUAAUCAAAUUCGUCAAAAUUCAGCCCAAGCCAAGCGGACGAACGUAACGUGAUUUCGUCAAAAUCAAGUUACACUGGAGCUCAAGACCGAAACGUCUGAGCCUACCGAGCUUUGUAAUUUUUUUUUUACUUUUCUUCAAUAAAAUGUAUUAUUUUUAUUAUUACUAUUUUGUUAAAAAAAAAGUACUAAUAAGAGAUAUAAAAUAGGUGAAAUUUUCCAAACCGCAUUUGUAGCAAGCAGUUAAUUGAAGAAACAUUUCCACAUGUGAAUACAUGAUUAUGACUACUGAACCAAGUUCAGAUAUAUUGGUUGGACAUUCGCCUGUUCCACGUGGCUUGUCCAUGCUACAUGCCGGUACAUUCAUGCAUGUAGAAAAUGUGUACAGUGUAUGCUCAUAUAUACCUCGUUUGCUGUUAUUACUAGUUUUUUUUUAUCUUAUAAAAUAUUAAUCAUAUAUAGUUUUGAUAUAUUAAUAAAAAAAAAUCAUUUUGUACCUUUUUGUUAGUGCUUAAAGCUUAUUAUUAUAAUAUAAUGCACCUCGACCAAAUGUUAAAUGUCAAUUUUAUAAAUAUAAAUAAAGGAAUAUUACUUAUAUAUAUUUUUUGAAAAAUUUCACACUUCUUAUUUACCUCGUUUAAAAGGUUUCAAAUUCUUUUCAAUGAAUUUUUUGAGUUACAUUCUAUUAAAAACAACAUUUAUUUAUGUGAAAAUACUAUUUUGCCCUCUCAAAUACAUGUCAUUCUAUUAUUAUCAAUUUUUUUAAUUUAUCAUUAAGUUAGGGAUAAAAAAAAGAUGUUUUGAUUUUUUACCUUUUCAAAUGUAUCUUUUUAUCAUCACCAACUUUUCUUAUUUGUCUUUAAGUUAGGAAUAAAUGAGAUAUUUUGAUUUUUUUUUUUUAAACUUUGGUAGAAAUUGAACUUGGAUUUAACUGGAGGUUACUUACUGACGUAUUAAUAGUAAGGUUAUUUUUGAAUAAUAAAAAAAUAUAUGAUAGAUAUAUUUAAAACAAAAAAAAUUAAAAAUAUAUAAGAUAUUUCAAAAUUUUGAGAGAUAUAUAAAUAAUUAUCCAUAUAAAUAUAUAUUUGGUCUCCCAAUCUUUAUCUUAAUUUUUCUCGAAGCUUAGAUUUAAAAAAUGCCCUCCAUCGCAAUUGGGCCUCAUUUUGAUUUGUUAACAAAGUUUAAACUUUAGCCCUUUUCUAGUUGUGAGAAAAAUUUAGAGACUAUUAGAAUAAAAACUAUUUCCACAAAUUCGAAACUGAGAUUUUAACCAAAUUUUGCCAAAUAACCAAAUCUCUCUCUCUCCUUGGUCUCACUUACUCAUGUUUUUAUUAAGGUUUUUUCCUUUUUUUUUACCAAAUAAAACUUGGCAUUUUUCACGUGGUUGUCAAUUGGUUCAUUUUUUGCAUUUUUUAAAAAAAGAGAUAUGAUUUUGCGUUUUAGCAUAGUUAACUAUUGGCUUUACCACAGUUCAUAUUGUGUGAAUUAAUAUAAGCUAGCUCUUACGAUCCUAUUAAAAGCCAUUAAUUAGGUUUCACGAGCUAGGUAUCAACAUGGGGUCCAUUGGGACCAAAUUUAGUGAUAAAUAAUAAUAUGUGAGAUAAAGAAGAAUUUACUUAAAAAAGCAAUGCUGCUUCUGCACCUUUUUUUGGGGGGUACAAUUCAAUUUGUGCUUCUGUGAUUUAGUUCAUUUUUGUUGGUGUCAUACUUUGAUUUAAAGAGUUACACUUAACCACUGUUCUAUGCAUAUAUUAUUGUUAUUAAUUAAGGGCAAUACUACUAAUGGAAACAUAAAAAUGUAUGGAGAUUCCCUCAAGUAUAGGGUUUUCUGAAAAUGUCCCCUAAAUUUUUGUUUUUAGGUAAAAAAUUUACAAAACUUAUCUGAACUAUGGACAAUUUUAAUUUCGUUAUCUAAUAAUUUUAAAAUUUUAAUUUUUUACCAAAUCUUUCUAUUUGUUUGAUUUGAUUUAGUCAACGAUACUUUACUUUAAACUUUUGAUUGUACUAUUUAUCCUUAGAAAUUUAGUUAUAAUAUUUUAUACAAUUCUCGCAAGUAUAAAUUUAUUAUAGUAAGUAAUUAGUUUAAAUUUUAAAGUCAAAAUACCGUUGACUGAUUCAAAUCGAACAAAUUAAAAAGUUGGUCGCCCCAAAAUGCGCCAUAAUUUAGAUAAGUUUUGUAUACUUUUACUUUAUUUUUAAAUAUAGAUCCCUCAACUUCUGAAUUUUUUAGAAUUGACAAAUUUUUAUUAAAAUAAUUAAAUCAAAAAUAUCACCAAAUUAACUGAUAGCAUCAUGAAAUUUAAUAAUUUAAAUUAUUUUACAGAGAAGAAAAGUAGAUUAAUUAACUGCUAAUAACUAAUUAAGCUGAAAAUUUUAAUAGGCUUUGUUAACUUAGUUAACUACAAAAAUUUCAAAUUGGAAAUUUUGAAAGUUAAAUAGUGAACAAAUUGACAAUAAAAUUAUGGGUAAAUUUCAAUUUGCUUGCUGUGGUUUUAAUGCAUCUUCACUUUGUCAUUUUGUAUUUUAAAAGUUAUAUUUAGUUAAUUUUUUAUUUUUUAUUUUUUUUUGUCACAAUGACCUACUAUUAAAUAAGAUAGUAAACAAAUACAUUUCACAAAUCAUAUACGUACCUCCUAGCCACUAUCCAGUAUACUAUAGCUGGAUUAAGAGGUUCUAUGCUUUUAUGCUUUAUAUGUAGAACCAUUCUAAAUUUAAAGAUGUUAAAUGAUGUACAUACUAGGCAGAGACUAUUUUUGAAAGACCAAACCCCUACCCCACCCUCCUCUCCUUUCACUUCCACCACCACCAAAACAACAACAACAACAACAAAGCAACUAUUUAAGCAAUUUAAUAGGAAUAGUUUUCAUAUUCAUGCCGAAAGUAAACUAGUAAAGUAGCUUAGUUUAGUUUUUAUUUAGGGGCAAUUGCCUAUAUAUUCCUAAAAUAUUUUCGAUUUUCUUAUUUACCCCUCUUAAAUGCUAAUAUUAAAAAUACCUUUUUUAUGUUCCAAGUCUUUCUAAUAUAUUCCGAGAGUUAAGUUCCGUUAGUGAGCUGCCGUUAUCUCUGAAAAAUUACCAUUUUGUCCAUUUCAAUAUACCCUUCUAUCGUAACUAACUUUUCUUAUAUACCCUUUAUAUAGCAAAUACUUUUCUUAUUUGCUCUUCAAAUAUUAAUUAAUUAAUUAAGCACGUCGGGAGCGAGCAGAUGAACGGAUGAGAUCGAUCGCAGCUAAACUAACCUUGGUGGCUGGAGGCAUAGUUAGUUAAUUCGGAUUCGGCAAAAAUUCGGUACGGAUAUAAUUCGGAUAAAAUUCGUCUUUUAAUUUUUAAAUUCGUUGAAAAAUAUGGCUAAAAAACGAAUUCGGUAGUUGUUCGGAUAAGUGAUUUAUACGGGUAUUAUACAUUCACCAAUUAAAAAUUCGGGAUCAAAUAUAAUUUUUAUAUAUAAUUUUUAAAAUUCGGUAUUAUACUAUAUAUAUUAUUAUUAUAAUAUUUAUAUAUAGAUUAAAUAUAUUUAAAAUUAUAAUAAACAUAUACUAAUAAUAAAUAAGAGUUAUAUAUUUAAAAAUAUUAAUAAAUAAUUACAAAUUUAUAAUAAAAUAUUAUAUAAUAAUAUUUCUAUAUAUAAAUAAAAUACUAUAUGUAUAUAUAUAUUUAUAAAUAAAAUUAUAUAUAUACAUAUAUAUACAUAUAUAUAGAGUCCGGCUACUAUGCUAUCAAUAGCACGAAGCACUUGAUGCUACCAAGUUUUCCACCGUUAGAUCCACCCCUUUGAUCAUUUUCACCCGUUAGAUCAUACUAUUCAACCAACCACCUACUCAACCCUAGGGGGCCCACAUCAUCCUAACCACACAUCUCUCAAUCCAAUGGCCGAAAACUUGGUAGCACCAAUGAUUUGGUGCUAUUAAUAGCAUAAUAGCCUAGUUCCAUAUAUAUAUACAUAUAUAUAUAUACAUACAUAUAUAUAUACAUAUAUAUAUACAUACCGUGGACCUCCCUUUCAUCCAGUGACCUCGUGGACCGUGCACACCCAAGGGCAAGAGCGCGCCGCGCUCCGACGUCUGCGAGGGCAAGAGCACGCCACGCUCCGGCGUCCGCAAGGGCGUGGGCGUGGUGCGGUCGGGCGUGGUGGGGGAGGGGUGCUGGUUGCGGGCGACCCAGAUGUCUAUGAUCUUGCGGGCGGCGUCGGUGCUCUCGUGCAUGAGGCGGACGACCUCUGCCUUGGGCAGGCGCAGGCGGAGCGUGCGGGCGCCAUCAGAGUGAGCGUGGGCGUGGGAGUUGAGGAGGGAGAGGUCGGAGGAGGAGGAUGACGACGACGAUUCAACAAAUCCAUAGGCUUCCGGCACCGGCCAAGGCGGCGGAGGAGGAGAAGAAAGACGAGAGCGGUGAGAGGGGUAGUGGUGUGGGAGGUGGUGGUGGUCUGGGAGGAGAUGAGGCGAGGUGGAGGCGGAGGAGCCGGCGAGGUGGAGGCGAAGGAGCCGGCGAUCACGUUGGGAGAGAAAGAGAAUAACUUAAGAAAUUAGCAUAAUAAGGUAGAGGUAAAAUAAGUAUUUUAUAUAGGUUUUAACUUUAGUAUACAUUUAACCCAUGUUUAACUCGAGUUAAACUAACUGAGGAUAACUGCGGGGGUAUUUUGGAAUGACGGUGGAGCAUAUGAGGGGCAUUUUCGAAAAAAAAAAAAAGUAGAGGUAGAUCGGAUAUUUUCAGACGCAUGAGGGGUAUAUAGGUAAUUAUUUCUUUUAUUUAUUAUUAUUAUUCCAAUUAAAGAUAGUAGUAACAGUUUCUAAAUUUUAGCCAAACGUAGAGGUAGAAGCAACAAUAGAUUUAGAAGUGUAGCCGAAGUGUUAACUGUUUUAUUAUUAUCUUUUUGGCUAUCUGUAAAUUUUGGCCAAGAAAUGAAUUUUUCGAAAUUCUUUUCCUUCCAAGCCAAACAUCCAAAACAUCCACCGAAUCCAUUCAUUCACGUUCAUCACAAGUCAAUCGACCGAACUUGACGUACUUUAUAGUCAAAGCCUGCAUAUCACUCCUGAAGUUUGGGUUAGUCGGAGAAUUACAUAUAAAAUGUAGAUAAUGGGAUGAUAAAAUAUUAUACAAUAUUGCCUGUGAUUUUAAAUAGUAUUGUUUUGCUUUUCCAUUAAGUGAUAAUUAUUUAAUGUAAAAUUAAAAAAAACUACAAAGUAAUCAAAUCAAAAUUUUUGAAUAAUUAAUGACAAAAUAACAAUGCGCUAAAUUAUAGAGGAGCAAAUUAAAUUUACUCUUGAAAUUAAAGUCGAGGGUCUAUUCCAAAAUUCCGUAACGAAAAGCAUAGCUGCGGUAGUCCACAACCCACUUUGGUCCUCAAACUAUGAGGCGCACGGUAUUAUUUCUCAAACUUAAUUUAUAAUAAUUUUUUAUUGAAAAUUUAUAAAUUAUUAUAAUUAAACUUUACAAUAUAAUUUAGUUGAUUAAAUAAUAAAUAUUUAAGGGUUAUUAGCAUAAAAGUAAUCUGACAAUAUUAUAAUUGAUAAUACAGUAAUAAUUAAAAAUGCAUGUGAAAUCAUUUUAACAUCAAAGAUAUAUUAAUAUUUAAUUAACUAAAUUAAAUUAUAAUUUUUAAUUAUAAUAAUUUAAAAUUUUGAACAAGAAUAUGGUAUAAAUUAAAGUUUGACUAUCAAAUUAUCACGGUCAUCAUAGUUUGGGGAUCAAAAGCAAAUAUGCUUGAUUCUCGUUUCCCACAUCAAAUUAAUUUUUAUCCUUUGCUUCCACUCCACAUGGGAAAGGAGUCUUCUGUUUGAAGUCGACGAUUUUCGUGCUAUUAAAUUAUUUUGAAUGUCGGGAUUUUUGAGUCGGCCAUCUGUUUCAGUAAUUAAAAAGUUCAAAACUAAUAACUAAAAAUUUAAAAAUUAUAAAAAGCAAUGAUAUAUAUAUAAGACUAAAAUUUUUAGACCAAAAAUAUUAAUAUUCUUUUAUAUAGAAUUAAAAAAUUUCUAAAAAAUUAUUUAUAAAAAAUAAUAAUAUAAUACUAAAAUUUCAGAUGAAUGAUAGUGAUAUUCUUUUAUAUUAGUAUAAAAAUAAAAUCUCUUCCUAACUUAGAUGUUUCAACAUCAUUAAAUUUUUACACGACUCGUCACAAUUAUUAAAAUAAUUAAUUUUGAGCCUCUCUUAUCACGAGUUAUAUACUAUCAAAAAAUUAUAAAAUUUAUUCUCUUAAAAGUUUAGAUAUGCUAGAUGAAGUCCAAUUGAGCUGUUUUGAAAGUUUCAAUAUUGAAAACAAAGUGAUAACACAGAUAUUACUGUAUUUUUAAAAAGUAUAAACUUUAAAUACCAUCCAUAUGAUUUCGCACUUCCUCAUUUUAGUACCCUAUGGUUUAAUAAAGUGUAUCAAGUUAGUGUCAUGUGGCUUCAUUUUUAUCUUUUAGUCUACUUUUUUGUUAAUAUUUCGUUAAAUUAUAUACAAAAAACUUCAGAUACCCCAUUUAGAUUUAUCGAAUAUUCACUUUAGUACCCUUUAGUUUUAACUUUGUUACUAAUUUAAUGAAAAAAAUUAGUGGAAUCGAUAAUAAAGAGAUAGAAAAAAAAACACAGGGCACUAAAUUAAUAUACUUUAAAUCACAUGACAUUUAAAUGAAAAAGUGUGAAAUCACAUGAAUGAUCUUUGAGUUCUGCCCAAACGUGGGAGCCUAACUUGGGGACAAAAUUUUUGUGGGCAUCCGUCCCCAAACAAGUUGUCUGGGGACGAAGCCGAUGGGCACCGCAUGAUGUACGGGCACCCAUCAUGACCACCCCUUUCCACCAUCGGCUUCUUUCUAUCUCUCUCUAAAAAAUCGGCGCCCACAAUUAUUUUUUUUUAUUUCAUUUUUCAAGGUUGCGAUGGACGCCGCACACGGCCUCGUCCCGAAACAAAUUGUUUGGAAAGGAUGNUACUUUAAAUCACAUGACAUUUAAAUGAAAAAGUGUGAAAUCACAUGAAUGAUCUUUGAGUUCUGCCCAAACGUGGGAGCCUAACUUGGGGACAAGGCCUACAACCGUUUAGUAAUUAAUCCCUGUACGGACGUGAGAAAAAUAAAAAAAAAAUCGCCGAAUGACGUCACCUCGAACCAUGGGACCCACACUCUUCUGACAUCGGGGUAUUAUUGGAGAGAGGAAUUAUUGCAUGCAACGAGCGCAUAUAUUUUCUACGGAUAUAAUUAAGGGUAACUUCAAAUACCACGUCACCACAGUCCCGCACUUUUUUAUUUUAGUAAAUUGUGAUUUAAAAUAUAUCAAGUUAGUACUUAAUACUUUAUAAAUUUUUUUUUUUUCCGUCAAUUUUUUAUUAAUUUUUUUAAAUUAUAUAUAAAAAAUUUUAGAUAUCCCACCUAGUUAUAGUUUAUCGAAUAUUCACUUUAAUACCCUUUUGUUUAAUAUUAUUAUUGAUAACGAAAAAAAUUAGUAAAGAAGACAACAAAAAAAAAUCACAUGGUAUGAAAGUGAUACACUUUAAACCAUAAUUAGUUAAUUCGGAUUCGGCAAAAAUUCGGUACGAGUAUAAUUCGGAUAAAAUUCGUCUUUUAAUUUUUAAAUUCGUUAAAAAAUACGGAUAAAAAACGGAUUCGGUAAUUAUUCGGAUACAUGAUUUAUACGGAUAUUAUACGUUCACCAAUUAAAAAUUCGGGAUCAAAAAUUCGGCUAUAUAUUAAAUAUAUAAUAAUUAAUAUACUUUAUAUAUUAUUAUUAUAAUUUUUAUAUAUAAAUUAAAUAUAUUCAUAUAUUAAUAAUAAACAUAUAUUAAUAAUAUAUAAGAUUUAUAUAUUUAAAAAUAUUAAUAAAUAAUUACAAAUUUAUAAAUAAAAUAUUAUAUAAAUAUUUCUAUAUAAAAAUAAAAUUAUAUAAUAUAUAUAUAUAUAUAUAUAUAGUGAGGCUACUAUGCUAUCGAAGCACGGAGCCUUCCGUGCUCCAGCUCGUUUUCGAUUGUGGCACUUUCGAAUCGUCGAUCGGCUCCGUUAAACUUGAUCUAGAGUAUUUGAAGUACCUAGAAAAUAAAUUUUAUAAUUUUACGAUAUCAUUUGCCUAGUGAACGAGGGGCUCAAAAUCAACGCUGAAAAUAAAAAUCUUACAAAAUGUAGUAAUAUGACAUUAAAAUUUUAAAUCAAAGAUAUUGAUCUUGUUUUAUAUAGUAUAAAGAAUUUUCUAUCAAAAUUUCACGUGAUUUGAAUAUUUCUACACCGUUAAACUUGCAAACGGCUCACUACGGCCAUUGAAUUUGUUGAUUUUGAGCCCCUUCGUUCACUAGGCAAAUGAUAUCGUAAAAUCAUAAAAUUUAUUUUCUAGGUACUUCAAAUACUCUAGAUCAAGUUUAACGGAGCCGAUCGACGAUUCGAAAGUCGCAAUAUCGAAAACGAGCUGGAAGCACGGAAGGCUCCGUGCUUUCGAUAGCAUAGUAGCCUCACUCUAUAUAUAUAUAUAU
rnacentral:lncRNA from 1 species